rnacentral:lncRNA from 1 species
GUGGUAGCUUGGUCCUCCAUAUGAGUUUCCAGGGCCAGUUAGCUAUCACGGGGUUUCUAGAGCACAACGGUUGAUACCCUUCCUUGACUGUAUAAACUCCUUUCUGGUGUCCCCAUUUGAGCUUAUCAACUGCCUGGAGAUUAAUGUGACAAUGUUGUAGUCUAGCAAAAAGGUCUACCAGAUUGUUAUGGUCCCCUGAUAUGGAUCUGGUUAUGGGGCGUUGUAGUGUGAAACCAAAUGUUUUCUACCUACGACCUAUGGUGCUGGUUCGUUAAGAGAGAACCUGCAAUCUCUUGAGUUUGAAGUACUCAAAGACUUGAAUAAUUUUCUGCUUAUAUUUUCUCAGACACCAGAUAGUUUAAAUACAAUACUUAUAAAAUAACUACCCCUAGAAACUAGGACAUGACUUCCUAACUUAACUGGAAUGAAAGACUGCACCUAUUACAGGAAAAUAACUGCACUAUUUCAGGAAAAUAACUGCUACUAAAGAGAAAUUACUGCAGUAACUAUUGGAUAACUAAGGAGUGAUAACACAGAUCAUUCACUUCCCAAUCGUGCGUAUUCCUUCUAAAUCUCAGAUCCCAAUUGAUCCCUUCUCUAUUAGCAGCAAUAACAGAAUUGGGAUCUUGAGCAAUUCUAAACAGAUCUGGGAAAUCCUCCUGAAGAGUGGUAUUUCCAAGCCAUUUGUCUGUCCAAAAUUUUAGGAGUANNNNNNNNNNNNNNNNNNNNNNNNNNNNNNNNNNNNNNNNNNNNNNNNNNNNNNNNNNNNNNNNNNNNNNNNNNNNNNNNNNNNNNNNNNNNNNNNNNNNNNNNNNNNNNNNNNNNNNNNNNNNNNNNNNNNNNNNNNNNNNNNNNNNNNNNNNNNNNNNNNNNNNNNNNNNNNNNNNNNNNNNNNNNNNNNNNNNNNNNNNNNNNNNNNNNNNNNNNNNNNNNNNNNNNNNNNNNNNNNNNNNNNNNNNNNNNNNNNNNNNNNNNNNNNNNNNNNNNNNNNNNNNNNNNNNNNNNNNNNNNNNNNNNNNNNNNNNNNNNNNNNNNNNNNNNNNNNNNNNNNNNNNNNNNNNNNNNNNNNNNNNNNNNNNNNNNNNNNNNNNNNNNNNNNNNNNNNNNNNNNNNNNNNNNNNNNNNNNNNNNNNNNNNNNNNNNNNNNNNNNNNNNNNNNNNNNNNNNNNNNNNNNNNNNNNNNNNNNNNNNNNNNNNNNNNNNNNNNNNNNNNNNNNNNNNNNNNNNNNNNNNNNNNNNNNNNNNNNNNNNNNNNNNNNNNNNNNNNNNNNNNNNNNNNNNNNNNNNNNNNNNNNNNNNNNNNNNNNNNNNNNNNNNNNNNNNNNNNNNNNNNNNNNNNNNNNNNNNNNNNNNNNNNNNNNNNNNNNNNNNNNNNNNNNNNNNNNNNNNNNNNNNNNNNNNNNNNNNNNNNNNNNNNNNNNNNNNNNNNNNNNNNNNNNNNNNNNNNNNNNNNNNNNNNNNNNNNNNNNNNNNNNNNNNNNNNNNNNNNNNNNNNNNNNNNNNNNNNNNNNNNNNNNNNNNNNNNNNNNNNNNNNNNNNNNNNNNNNNNNNNNNNNNNNNNNNNNNNNNNNNNNNNNNNNNNNNNNNNNNNNNNNNNNNNNNNNNNNNNNNNNNNNNNNNNNNNNNNNNNNNNNNNNNNNNNNNNNNNNNNNNNNNNNNNNNNNNNNNNNNNNNNNNNNNNNNNNNNNNNNNNNNNNNNNNNNNNNNNNNNNNNNNNNNNNNNNNNNNNNNNNNNNNNNNNNNNNNNNNNNNNNNNNNNNNNNNNNNNNNNNNNNNNNNNNNNNNNNNNNNNNNNNNNNNNNNNNNNNNNNNNNNNNNNNNNNNNNNNNNNNNNNNNNNNNNNNNNNNNNNNNNNNNNNNNNNNNNNNNNNNNNNNNNNNNNNNNNNNNNNNNNNNNNNNNNNNNNNNNNNNNNNNNNNNNNNNNNNNNNNNNNNNNNNNNNNNNNNNNNNNNNNNNNNNNNNNNNNNNNNNNNNNNNNNNNNNNNNNNNNNNNNNNNNNNNNNNNNNNNNNNNNNNNNNNNNNNNNNNNNNNNNNNNNNNNNNNNNNNNNNNNNNNNNNNNNNNNNNNNNNNNNNNNNNNNNNNNNNNNNNNNNNNNNNNNNNNNNNNNNNNNNNNNNNNNNNNNNNNNNNNNNNNNNNNNNNNNNNNNNNNNNNNNNNNNNNNNNNNNNNNNNNNNNNNNNNNNNNNNNNNNNNNNNNNNNNNNNNNNNNNNNNNNNNNNNNNNNNNNNNNNNNNNNNNNNNNNNNNNNNNNNNNNNNNNNNNNNNNNNNNNNNNNNNNNNNNNNNNNNNNNNNNNNNNNNNNNNNNNNNNNNNNNNNNNNNNNNNNNNNNNNNNNNNNNNNNNNNNNNNNNNNNNNNNNNNNNNNNNNNNNNNNNNNNNNNNNNNNNNNNNNNNNNNNNNNNNNNNNNNNNNNNNNNNNNNNNNNNNNNNNNNNNNNNNNNNNNNNNNNNNNNNNNNNNNNNNNNNNNNNNNNNNNNNNNNNNNNNNNNNNNNNNNNUAUUCCUUCUAAAUCUCAGAUCCCAAUUGAUCCCUUCUCUAUUAGCAGCAAUAACAGAAUUGGGAUCUUGAGCAAUUCUAAACAGAUCUGGGAAAUCCUCCUGAAGAGUGGUAUUUCCAAGCCAUUUGUCUGUCCAAAAUUUUAGGAGUACACCAUUGCCCAAUUCAAAGUAAGCGUUCUGAUCAAAUGUAUCCCACAACAUCCUAAUACUCUUCCACAGUCCCACUCCGUAAGGAAGUGUAGUAAUAAUUGAGCACCAUUGAUUCAGCCUUCCAUGCUUAGCUAUGAUGACCUCUUUCCAGAGUCCUGCGUCUUCCAAGUUGUAUCUCCAAAGCCACUUCAUCAUCAUACUUUUGUUGUGGGCUGCAAGGUUCUUAAUGCCAAGACCUCCUUGGUAUUUUGGUUGUGUGAUCUUCUCCCAUUCGAUGAGAUGAAAUUUGUGUUUCUCCCUGUUGCCUUUCCAGAGGAAGUCCCUUCUUAUCUUGUCAAUCUGUUCUAUAACCUCAGUUGGCAUUGGGAGCAAGGCCAUGUAAUAAGUGGGUAAACUGUCUAGAACACUAUUGAUAAGUGUUACUUGAUUGUUGUUUUCACAUAUUCUUUCUUUAAUCCAUUUGAUUUAGCAGUUGUUGGUUCUCUUUAUAGAUUACUUUGAGCCUCACAUAUUCAUUUUUAGCUGCAGUUAGAUUUUAUUACACAAAUAAGUAUAUACCUUCGACUUGGAGCCAAACUGUUUCUUAGUAUUUACUGAGAGGAGCAUCUCGUUGAAAGAGAGGAUGUGUUCCCCUGUGAGUAAGGGUAGUUCUUGUAAAAUGCUUUUCAUGCUUAAAUGAAUUAGCAUGGUAUUUUUAAUUUGCUUACAAUUCUGGUCUUUGGUGUUUAAAUUAUUGUUGGGGGAAUAUAAAUUUAGACUGUUUCAGGGUGAUUUUUUUCUUUGCCACCUUCUCCCCACCUUCCUCUUGAUAAUUGAUGAAGUGCAGUUUCAUCCAGGUGUAUGUAGAUCUCUUUGCCUUAGCAGUUCUUUUGCUGGGAGUGGCAUUGGCAUGCUAUGGUUAGUAUCUCAUACACUGGUAUUAUUUAUCCCGCUUCCACAUUAAUGUGGUCCCAGAAAAUUGUUGUCCUGCCAUUUUCAGUAAUAAAAUCUUAUCUAUUGCUACUAUGCACCAUAAAUCUUUACAUGGGCACUUCAGUACUUGUGUAAUAACUAACGUCUUGAUCCACCAUUUCUUCACAGAAUCAGCUGAUAUAAAAGAUUUGAGUUAUUUUAUUUAACAAUAAGGAGUGAUUUACAAAUGUUCAAGAGUUCUCUCUCCCUCUGUGUGUGUGUGUCCCCAGAGGUGGGUCAGGGGAGUGGAGAAGUGAUUUCAGAAAUAGUUUAAACAAUAAGAUAUGCAUGGUUGAUAGUUUUAGGGGGUGAAUCUGCUGUCUCCCCAGAAAGACAAAUAUUUCAUCAGUAAUAUCGCGAUUGAAUGAGUUGAUUGUUCAACCAAUUAUCCAUUUCUCAUCGAGCUGUGCGAAAUUUAAGAAACAGUUGUCGUAAAGAACUUGUUGUUUAAACCAGGUCUUUUGUGUUCUAAUUAUUUUAUGUGAAGAUUUUCUAUUUCAAAAUCUGUCCUUUCUGACUAAAAUAUCUCCUCUAUGCAGGACUGGUAUUGUUCUUGAAAAUGAGCAAAGUGAGAUCUGAAAGGGCUUCAUCAGAAAUGUGGAAGGUACUAACUCAUCUUUCCUCGGUGCAUCUCUACCAUUUUCUGUAUGGCAGUUGGAAUCGUUAUUUGCAGACUGCAGAAAACUUGUGUGUCACGUCAUGUCAUACUGAGAUCUUUUACAGUUCUAGUUUUAAGAACUGAGCUUGAAUAAACUGCACUUUUCUUUCUCUUCUUUUCUUCCUUGUUAAAAUUUAGCUCUCAUGACACAGAUUGUGAUAGAUUAUUUUAUUGUGAAGUUCGGUUUUUUAUUAUAUGUUUGUCAAAUGAAGGUUGCAGGCUUGGCAGUUGUUUCUGUUCUAUGUUUCACUUCAAGUGCCACUGUCGCCGUAUUCACAGAUAUACCCGUAUGUCUUCUGCUGGUCUCAUGAGAUCGUCUUUUGUUUUGACUGCAUAAGUUUCUAAAAGAUAAUGCUUUUAAUGCAGCUUCUUUUUAACUGGCAUGGACAGAAGAUAAAUGGUGUUUGUACAUCUCUUCUCAUGGUUUUGUAUUAUUUUAUAGGUACCCUUUAAAACUUGUUCCUUACUGAAAGCUUGAUUUGAAAUUCUAGACUUCAGUGGGAACUUCUGCUUUCUGCCUGCUAAUUGUUUUUACCAAUUGUUGAAGCUACGAGAUGCUCCUCAAGCCCACCCCUUAUACCUAAGAGCUACUAACUGUAGUUAAUUAGAUGAAGAAGGCUGAACUAAACAUGGUGGAAGGAACCAAUUUAACAAUCAGAGGUUGCUCUGAUGAUGUUAUAUAAGUGCAUUAAUAUUUUUUUAUUUUUUUUGAGAUAUAUAAGUGCAUUAAUAUCGUAAACAUUUUGAGUUGUUGUGAGAUGUCUCUCUGGACGCACUCAACAGAAGUUGGGAGCUAUGUUGUAAGGACUUAACAUAAGAGCUGGAUUGGGACAUAUCAGAUAUUUCUUUAAAAAAUCGGAACAUGACUGAGAGGGGAUUUAGUAAUGGUGCGUCAAGAUAUUGCUUGCCUCCCUCAUAGUUCCUGCUCUUCCCCCCAGACUCCACUUGUAAGAUUACACUGGUUAUGUUGUUGUUGUUCUUUAGUUUAAGAAAUUGCAUCUAUCUUCAUUGUAUUGGGCUAUGGUAUGGAGACUCCAAUUACUUCUUCAACCAAGAAUACUAGUAGCUUGUACGUGUUUUGUUGGGGGGAGCUGAUCUUACAAUGCAGUUCUUUCCUACAAAUUAGAGUUCUAUUCACAAAGGGGGGAAACUUUCUAAUACUCUGUACCUGAUGAAAAUAUUUUCCAGGUUCUUCUAUACCUUCAGCAUUUGUGUUAUGGGUGAUGAGAGAACUACCACCUCCACUUGUCACUUUCAGUCAACAGGAGUCGAGGACAAUAGCUUUUAUAAGUGACAGUUCAGUGACAGUUCAGCCUCAGCGAUGGACAGCUGCUGCAAGUGUGCAAAAUCAGGUUACUUGCCUUCUUUUGACUCUAAUGCACACCUUGUUUGUUGAUUGAUCUCUAGUCAUGUGCAUCAUGAUCUUGACUAAGGAAUAUGUAGAAAAUGCAUGUCCUUUUACAAGGGCUAUAAACCUAUCACUGAUCAAAUGAAAAGGAAAAAAGUUAAAAGACAAAGCAAAUAAAUUAUUUAUCUCCUCGCACAUUACACUAGGGACGGGAAAUCAUGGUAGGUGAAGCUAUGGGUACGAAUCAUUUUAGCUGUCCAUUAAAUUUUUCGUAAGAUCCACAAACUCGCCAGAAUUGCAGCUUAGCAGUUGAAAGACAACUUAUACAAACAUUAUUUUUAACCUCACUUUAACCGAACAUCAAAACCCAAAAGAGAAUGUGAAAGUAGAGUGCAAAAUCAAUGAAGAACUCAAACUUUCUGCACUGGAGAUCUUUCCACUCAUUUCUUGAUUUUCAUUGUCUUAGACUAGAUGGAUUCACAAACUUGUACCAAUGUGUUCUAAGCAUUGUGGAUGCAGGUCUCAAGGGCGAGCCCCAUAUGAUCAUCGUGAUGGAAUUGUACAUUGAUUGGUGAUUUUCAGCUAGAAAUGAGGGACUGACAAUACAAAAAAUGAGAGAACUUCUCAGUUGAGUGGUCGGUAUUGUGGUUGAGUGAUCGAAGAAAGCUCAACUCAACGGAAAAAAUACCCCAUGCAACUAUGCAAGGUGGUUGCUCAGGGUAAACAUGCCUGCAUAACUUGGAUUCCUGUACAUAGCAAACAUUGCGAUGAACUUUCUAAAUUUUACAGAUUCUUUUUGUUGAUAUGAUGAGGUUUUAGAUUUUUCUUGCCCUUCAAAACUUUUCAUCUGAUUAUCUUACAUAUAUGGUUGCCAUAAAAUGGGAUAUAAUGCAAUUUGCGCUAGAGAAUAAUUAGCCAUUGGUCAGCAUUUAAAAGGACAAUAUCUAUUUUACCCUACUAAGAACUAUUUUUUUUCGGGAGAACUAACUAGCUCUGGGUUCAAGUGGCAUUUUGUCGAUUCUUCAACAUCAGUCCAUUUCAUCGUAUUUUAGCAACUCUUUUGAAAAAAAAUAAUUUCGUCCCUUGUUUAAAAUUCUCUCGGUUUUAUAGAAUUUUAUUCUUUCCUUUUUGUUUUCAUCUCACGUGAUCUUACCUAUAAUUUGGUGUUGUGUGAUUAUAAUUUACGAUUGUAGUGCCAUUCUUAACAUAGAGAUGUCCUUUAAUGAUGUUGUAAUCUUACCGUUAUUUUAUUUUUCAAGUGCAUGCAUUGACUAAUUGGCAGAGUAAAUUCUGCAUUUUGGAUGGCUUAAAAAUUCGUCGUAUAAAAUAUACAAUGUAUUUGCAAUUAGCAUUAGGAGGACCCAUAAUUUGUCUUUUAUUUGCAAGCGUCGAAAUGAAACGAGCUGAAUGGUACAAUAUGAAGUAUACAGUCAAUUCCCAACUUUUGGAUAUAUGCUGCAGUAAUUUAACAUAAAAAAAAAUUACUACUGUAUUAUUAAAUGGAACAUGUAACUGCCCAAAAAUGAAAAAUUUAACAUUGUGAGGUGUUUUGGCAAAGCUUGCCUGCACCUUAGACACCAGGUACAUGUAAUUUCCCAGCGGUAACAUGUAUCGAGUAACUCUGACUACAAAGGCUCGAGUUAGAUAUGAGAAGUGACCGCCAGACCACAACCCUUAGGUCCACAAGUCCCGAACGACUCUUUUGAUAGAAGAACAACGACAAAGUAAAACAGAAAAGAAGCUUUCACAUGUUAAAGAAAUUGAAACAAUUUUUGGGCAUAAGUAAAUAUGGAAGACCAAUGUGGUUCCUAUCGAGCUAGAAACUUGCUAAUGCAUUAGCAGUGGCACUUCAAGAAUAAAUUAUGCAAACCGUGCAGCCUUUGGAGCUUGAGAAAUACAUUAACCGAAUAUAUUUAACAGCUCCGGCGUCCUGUCUUCCACCUCGAACCUAGUAGUAAAGCAACCCACCAAUUGCCAUCUUCAGUAAAUUGUUUAAAAACCAUGCUUGUAAGAGAAUACUCUACAAGCAUACUCCAAAUCUGCCAAGGUAAAGUCCAUUAACCGGUUUCAGCUACCAACAAGGAAAACAGGUUUAUAUGCCAUUGUUAUGGGAAGCAACAACACAUAUAUACCUUCCUAUACAAGUUGGGGUCAGCUAUAUAAAUUCUCACCUAUCAGGUUUCUACAUUUAAAUUCAUCACAUGCCAGCAUCAUAUUAUUCUUAUAGAACACAACAUGACAAAAAUCAGAAUAUCAUGCAGAAGAUACAUUAUUACGAGCCAUAAUCUUGUCAUACAUUACCAAGCACACAUCUUUUCAGUCAUAACCAAAAAGAAGCUUCAUCCUGUAUUCAAUUAGCAUUUGGAUGUAAUACGCUAGAUAAAACAUGAAGCAAACACGAAGGUUAGUUUGAAAAUGUGCAAAUUUCCUACAAGGAAACCACCAGGAGGAAAUUUGAAUUAGCCGGGGGAGAAAAUAGAAAACAUUUAAAAAGAAAAACACUAGGAAGAAACCUAAACACAAAAUUUGAUUCCUAAACAUUUUGCUACCUCUCAUUAAGGUUGAGUACAUGAAGUUUAACACAUAGAAAGUUCACACAAUCAUAAGUUCUUGAGAGCAUUGAGAGUAGCAUAAAUAGUUCACUAAGACUAAUUUGGAAAAAUAAAGAGAAAAAAUAUAGAACACCAGAAUCCAAUCAGUGACAAAAUGAAGACAAAUAUCAAAGUGAAAUGAGGAAAAUAUGGCAAAGCAAUGGCACAAUCCCAUAACAAAUGAUCCAACCUCCUAAUUAGCAAAAACAUUUUAAACAUGAAAUUCUAAACAAGCGUACCUUGAAAGGUUGAUUACUGUACUUCUCUUCCUACUGAUCCAAAAUCUUCAGGAGGCCAUACCUAAUCACAACGUCAGAACUUUUAGAUUUCUACAACACAGCAAAAUUAAAGAUAGAAUGCUGCACAAACAAGUCUUAAAAUAUGGAAAAAUGAUCAAAAAAGUUGCACAAUUUGUUUUACAACAUUCCUAGUUUACUAAUUCAAUAUGACUCUCCAGAAAUAGCUAGCGACAUAUCUGUUGGCUUAUGAAUUCAAGUCAGAAACAUAAAACAUAUUGGAUGAAUUUCACAAGUAUUAUCAACUAGUCUACAAGAACCUGAAGUAUUAAACACGUUCACAAGAUUUGGUGUGCUUAUGCAUAUAUGUAGAUCUUAGCCCUAAGCCCCUAACUAACCAAAUUGUAGCAAACAGACCAAUUAAAUCAGCGUACACACUAUUUAGCACAACAUAAUCCUCUGAAAAUGCUGCUUAUGCACAAGCUAGACAUGAUUCCUAUGGCAGGUUUCUUCUGGCAAGUCCUACAGGAGACUUAGCUAUUCUUUUAAUCUUAUCAAACAAUACAAAAAUAAAAAUCUGACUUACCAAUUCAAACUUAACCAAAUUUUAUUUUAAAAAAUUAAAAAUUGUCUUAUAAGGACAUCAAUAUGAUGGCAUGAAACAUACCUUCGAAAACACCUCCAAGAAAUUAAGCAAAAAGUAAUUCCAAAAUAUAAUCAAGUCAUAGCAAUUUGGCAAAUUAGCUAAAAAUCAAAAUAGAGAAGAAUCACUGACAAUCCAAAAGACUCUGCCCUGUACAAGUCCAUAAGGUACAGGUCCAAAGUUCCUCGAAUCGUUGGUAUUAAAUUUGUUAUCUCCUUCAAUCCAAACAUGUCCAUCUGGUACCUGUUCACAUUCAAAGCAUAUUCACUUAAGAAACAAAAGUGGAGAGACGAAAAGAAAGGGGGCAGCAAAAACUCAACUACAUUACUACAAACUGUUACCAACGGCCAAAGAAUCACUGCAAAAGGGGAAAAUCAGUUGUAAAUGAAGGUAUUUGAUCAAUUCUUAAUUACCACAAUAGUAUGUUCUAUUCCAUUAUUUGCAUGAUCCACAACAUAUCUAACAGUAUCACCACCCAUACCCAUGAGUCUUUUGAUCACAAUUUUUCUCGGGUUCUCAGGGCUACGCACUAGCACCACAUCUCCACGUUGCAUUUUCUCAAACCGAGUUGAUAGCCUUUCAGCCAAAACAAGAUCUCCAGUCAGAUUAAACGUUGGAAGCAUGCUUGGACCUUGAGUCUGCCCAAAAUAUAUAAAAUAAAAUACAGAUUUAAAAUUGCAGCUCAAUUGUCCCAAAUCAUGAAGUAGUAAACUAAGAAAAAUAGUAAUGGCUAUGAUAUCGUACGAGAGCGAAGGUGCAGAUGUAGCUGUUGGUGACAUGAAUACCACAGAGGAAUUUGGCUACGAGUAGUGUUUGCUGAAAUGCUUCUUUGAUAAAAGGCGUCAGUUGCUUCAGAUUUUCCAGACCCAUUAUUAGUCAAUCUGCAUCUCAACCCUAAAGAGGCUAUCUCACCAAUUAAAAUGGAUUACAGAAUCAGGCGAAAGAGAACACAAUAACUCCGACCUCUACUCGACGGCGAACACGGCCCCCGCGAUUUAAUUGUGCAUUCUCCGAUUGAUGCACAGCGAACACGGCCCGGAAUCUGGUGGUCUAGUUGUGCAUUCUCCGGUGUAGAGAAAGUUGAGAAAAAUCUUUUCUCAAAACAGUCCUUAAGUUUGAGCAUCAACUCAAAAUAGUCUUUCAAAUAUACACUAACUCAAAAUAAGUCCUUAUAGUUUUUAAAAUUGACAUGUAUUAAUGGAUGGAAAUCUAACAGCUAACACUGACCAUUGUAUGACCCAUCCAACAUAAUUAUAAAGCAACAGUGAUUUUGUAGUAUUUUUGAGUUAGUGUAAUACUCCGUUCAUCCGCAUUUAUUUGUGUUGUUACGUUUUUCGAUAGUCAAUUUUGACUGAUUUUCAAAUUUAAAUUAGAUUACAUUAAUUUGAUAUUUUAAAUAAAAACUUUAGAUAUUUAAAAACUAUACGAAAAGUAUUAUAAAUUGUUAUUUUUGCAUAUCAAUAUGAUGAAAAAAUACAUUGUAAAAUAUUAGUUAAAGUUUUUGUAGUUUAAUUUGACUCUGAAAAAGGAAAAUAUAACAAUUAAAAGUGGACGGAGAUAGUAAUAGUUAGAAUGAUUUUGUUGCUAAAGUAAUUUUGGUAGGUAAUUUUUAUAAUUUGAAUAACUAUUCGCAGGACUAAAUUUUGGGCAAAUUACAUAAAUCUCAUACUUUUAAGGCAAAAUUACAAUCUAUCCCUUAAAAGUUUAUAAUUACAGAAAUCCCUCAAACAUAUACAAUAAUAUAAGCGCUGAUUAAUUAAUCUGAUGCGCGAGAUACAUUAAUCGUUAAGUAAGAUACAUUACAUUAUAUACAUGAUACACUAAUUUGAUGCGCGAGAUACAAUAAUAUAAGCGCUGAUGCAUUAAUCUGAUGCGCGAGAUACACUAAUCUGAUGCGCGAAAAUGAGGAAUUUUGAAAAUUUGUAAAACUUAUAGGGAAUAAUGGUAAUAAGUAAACUAAAGCGUGGGAUUUUGUAAUUAAUCCAUAAAAAGCUCAGUCUUUGCUCCUUCUUUAGCUAAAAUAUUCGCUACCCUGUUUUGUUCGCCCUAAGUGUAUCUAAGCAUUGAAAUUUUUCCUAAUAUAUUUACUCGAUGUUAACUUACCAUGUUCUCCUUAUAUUCACUUUUUAUAAAUAUUUUAAUUUGAUUUCAAAACUUGUUUCAAUAAAUUCUAUGAUUGGCACAUAUUACUUACUUUUAUAACCAAUCAAACACCAAAAAAUAUUCCAUAAAACUAGUUUCGAAGAUAAAACAUUUCUAUGACACAUGUAUAUUUAAUUUGUACUGUAAACAGUUCUCUCCAUAUAUAUAUACUUGACACUCAAAUUAAUUCAUUGAAGCUAUUUUCCUACCAAAGUUUUAAACAUUCUUUUUUGUGAACCGCUAUAAGAUAAUUAAUGAAAAUGUGUCAUUAUUUUUCCUUCAAAAAGUCAAUAUAAUAUAUUAUAUAUUAAAUGGUAAAGCAUGCUAGCUUAGCUCAUAGCUCAUUGCACAACAUUUAUUCACUCGUUUUACCUCAUGCCUACAAAAGUAGACCACGUCAAAUUCAUUUUGUUCAUACACUCGAGAUGUGAGAAACAUCAAGUUAGAUAAAUAUAACUAUCACUAUCUCUAUAACUAUAUUAAAAAAAAAGAGUUAAUAAAAUGAUCGUAGGAUGUGAAAUAGAGGUGAAUCUCGAGAGCUCAAAUAAAUCUCUUUGUUGAAAAAUCAUACAUAUAAUUAAGUUAAUUGUUACUAUAUAAGUAGAUGUAGAAUUUACUCAAUAAAAAUUCUGAUACUACGAAACUUGGAUAAAAUAUGAUAAGUAUAAAACAACGUCAACUAGAGAAACAAUGCAAAAACUUUUGAAAGUGUGAAUGGCUAAUGACAACAAAGAUAAAUGACAAUAGUAAGGUUGGCAAAUUGGCGUGCUGCUGUCCAAAAAUUGCAUGCUUAUGCACAAAAUUCAAAGCUAUGAAAGCCUUAUUGAAAACAAAAGACAACCUUUGAAAAUGAAAGGGGAAAAAAGAGAUUAUUUUUUUGGACUCAAAUAUUUAAGUUUGAGCCAACAAAGAAUAUAACCAUAUGGUGGUCCAUUAAAUGUUGACAAUUUAACACUUGUUGGUUAAUAACUUUUGAAAAAUGCUUGCUAUUAUCUGAAAAAGGAUAAAAUUGUGGCCCUUUGAUCUUUCAGCAUCAAGGUUUUAUUGGAUGCAUGCUUGAACUUUCUUAUGGAUUUUUCAAAUUGCUAUUACUAUUGAUGCUAAUCAAGUCACUAAUUAUGAUUAAUUAAGAUUUUGUUAACCAGUGAUACAUUUAUAUAUAUCCUAUAUCCUCUCAUCUACACAAUUUUCAAGUGAGAUAUAUAGCAGUUGUUUCACCUAGAAAACAUCUUCGAAGUAAGUAACUUCUCAAAAUAUUUGAUCAAUUACUAUAUAUGCCUUUCUUCUUUUUUGAGUCGUUUAAGUAUUGAUCACUCUAAUCCUUUGCUUCUUCAAACCUCACUUUCAUGCCAGAUAUAGCGACAAUAACAAUAUUAUAGAUAAAUUCUAAAAGAUACAAGCACAUAUAGAUGGAUAAAAUACAUUACACAUUAAUAACUUUUGACUUUUCAUAUCACAAACUACAAGUAUAUGAUAGUUAAAACUAUACCAUCUUGCUGUCAUAUGUUACUUAGUUUUGACUAGGUUGACAUAAACAUGAUUGGACAAACUAACCUUAACUUAAUAAAGAAUGCAUAUGAUCUUAAGAAAGUUUAAUUUCUUCUACAUGUCGAUCAGUUGCAAAGUACAACUCAUAUAUUUCAUAAUAUUAAUUCUAUAGGUUGGCGUGGGAUGAAUAAAUGAUUAAUUAUGUGUUAAGUACUUGUAAAAUAAUAAAACUAGUUACAAUAAUGAUCACAGAAUUAAUGUUUGUUAGUUGUCAAAUGUGAAAUACAAGUUGUUCAUUCUUCAUUGUAUCUUAUUCAAGCGUGGGAUAUUAACUCAUUCUAUAAUUUUAAUUACUCGUUAAAAGAUCAUUAAAAAGUCUAAAUCUUCUUUCUUACAACACCAAUGUUAUCGUCAUCUUCUAUAAUGUCUUGCAAUAGAAUGUUUGUCCGCAUGAUAAUUAACUUGCUUAUCUUAAUUGUAAUUAUUAUCUCCAAUUGAAUUAGCAAAGCAAACUAUUAUAUUCUCUCGUCCCAUUUUAAUUGUCGCUUUAGCUCAAAAAAUUUGUAACCUUAGAAAUUCAACUGUAGAGUUGUCAAAGGUUUCCAAAUUAUACUUCUAGUACAAUAAAAAAACGACAGUUAAAAUGAGAUGGAUGAAAUGUCUUUAGCCAUUUUCAUAUUCUAUUAGGAUAAAAUAGUGUAUCCAUGAGUAUAAAAGAAAGAACAUAAACGAGACAAUAUAUGCAUCCUAUUAACGAUAACCACACAUUAAGGCAAGAAAAUAAAGGAUUGUUUGGUUUGAAGACAUAUUAGGCUGACAUUAAUUAUUUUGGUAUUAUUUUUAAUAGAUUAUUUAAUUAUUUUUAAUAAAUUAUUUAAUUAAUUGUAUUAAAAAUAAUGUGCAUCACAAAUUUUUUAAGAAGAAAUUAUUAUUUACGAAAAUAUCCUCCUAGUAGAUUUUUUUUUUUGAAGGACCUCAUAGAUAUUUUAAUCAUUUUAUCCCUGAAUAACUAAUUUCAAUACUAUUAUUUAAUCCUUGGAGAAAUAACUUAUCCUGAUACUAAUUACUAAAUAUGUUAUCUAGAAAUUAAUUAUAAUAUUCAACAAAGAAUAAAAUGAUAGUACUAAUUUUUAUUUUAAAACUAUCUAUGUUUGUCCAAGCUAUCUAACGAUUUCUGGAGUGUUUGAUCAGUAAUAUUCAACGAAACAUUGGCAUCACAUAAGUUUUUAGUGAGUUGUGCUUAUAGUAUUUCAAACAUUUUUAUUGUUCUUUUCAUUGCAUCGGUUAUAUCUUUUUAAAAAAUAAUCAUAUAUUGGGAACUGUAGUGGACUUUGGCUCACUUCGAAAAUCUAAAUCCAUACUAACACAAAGGCUUGAGUCAAUUGUUCAUCAAAAUCAAAGCUAAGUUAAUUUAUUUGAUUUUUAAAUUAUUAAAAUUAAAUCAAAUAUUAUAUAUUGAUUUGAUUGUUAUUAAUUUUUUAUUUGAUUAUUCGGUUAUUAAGCAUACCCGAAUAAAAGAAAUAAUUUAUUAAAAAAAUUAAGAUAACAAUUCAUCCAAAAAGAAAAACAAUUUGAAUGACUAAAAUUACAAAACUUUCUAUCACUAAAUUAACCAUAAAUAAAACACAAAGAUUCGCCACUUUUGACCUAAACAAAGAAGAGACAAUUACAUUCUCAGUCCCAUAAAAAGAUUGGUAUAAAUUACGUAUAUACAUAAAAUCAAUAAACUUAAUACUCUCUUUUGGAAUAAUAAUUAACGAUGAGCUGUAUUUAUACAUAAUAUAUACGUAUAUACCUUCACACAUUUACUACCUUGUCAUAUUAUAUUUGUUAUAUAUAUGACAUGUACAAAAAAAUAACUUUUUUCUUCUCUAUCUUCACAUUUUUUUUUCUUGAGAAUAUCAUGUUAUCACUUUCCCUUUUCUUAUUCUCAAACAACAAUGAGUAAAAACUUGAAAAAAAGAAAAGAAAAGGAAAAAGACGUUCUUCUUUGGUUGAAAAUUCUAUAUAUGAAAAAGACCAAAAAUGCAAAUCGUUAGGUGAAAAAUGUCAAUGAAAUUUGAAAAACAAUUCAUUCAUAGUACAAACUUUGGUUGGAUAACUUUUCCAAAUAAAAAAAUUUAGUAGAGCAAUAAGUAAGUAAUUAAAUUAUUGAAAUUAUAUAAAAGGCUCCACUAGUCUUGACUCGUUUCACUAUUCCCAAUAGGUAAUCAAAUUCUAAAAAAUACUCAAUUGAGAUUAAAUAUGACAAAUAAAAAUGAACGAAGAAAAAUAAAAUAUUGGAGGGGAUAUGGGUAAGAUGCGCCAUUUUUGUCAAACCUGAUGAGGCCCACUUUAGCUUUCACGCGUGCUCUUGUAAUCUGAUCGAACGGUCAAUAACUCACCCGCAUUAUACGGAAAACUUUUCUCUUUCUUCAAUCCAACGGUUCAGAUUUUCCGCCUUUGACUCUUUCCUGUCUCUACCCCUAAGGCUCAAACUAGUAGUCCCCUCCCUACCCCUGACCCCUACCCCUCUUUUCACUCGCAUAUCCCAAUAACAAACCACGAGCUUCUUCUUCAACAUUUGCAUCACUCUCUAUCUGACACUCACCUCCUCCCUCUCUAGAAAAAGUUUCAGAAAAUCUAGUGAAGAAACAACAAAGAUCUUUUUUUUCAUUUGGGUAUGUUCAAAGUUAUUUUGUUUUUAGAUUUGUUGCUUUAAUCUUUGAUUUGAGGUAGAUUGGGUUGUUUCUGGGUUUGGGAUUUUAUCUGACUUGAUGUGAUGAUGUGGGUAUUUGUGUUCUUGGUUUAAUUUUGUAUGGUAAGUGAAGAAAGGAGAAAAAAAUUAACCUUUUGAGGUUUUUAGAUUCGAUAUGGUUUCUUGUAUUGAAUUGAUUUUAGGUUUGUAUUGAUUCAAUGAUGUGUGUGGAUGUUUGUGAAUUUCAUAGAGGGGUGAUCUCUUCUACUCAACUUCUUUUGCAUCAAUUGGUGAUUUUUUAACCAUUUGUGAUUUGCUGGGAAUUUUAGAGUCCCAAGCCUUUGUUUUAGUUUUCGACAGCUUAUUUGUAUGAAGGAGUUUUAUGUUUGUUUUAGUGUAAAGAAUAUUAGUUUCCUUUUGAAGGAAGCAUUGUAAGUUGGUGUUUAUUUCUAUGAACUUUUAAAAUGUUAUGUUUUGCUAUUUGUGUGCUUAUUAUUACUUUAAAGAUGAGCUAUUUGGGUACUUAUUAAUUAUUAUUGAUAUUUGGAGUUAUGUUUUGCUAUUUGUGUGCUUAUUAUUGUUAAAGACGAGCUAUUUGUGUGCUUACUGAUUCUUCUGGGUCGAGCUCGUCGCAUCAGGCUUGCCUAGUGCGGGCUACUUCUCCUAUGUGGUUUGUGAGCUAUUGCAUAGAAGUGGGGGUUUUACCCUGUGCGCACCCAAAGGGUAGCGGCUGCGGGUUUCCCUUGUCAUAAAAAUAAAUAAAUUGUGUGCUUACUGAUUCUUCUGGGUCGAGCUCGUCGCAUCAGGCUUGCCUAGUGCGGGCUACUUCUCCUAUGUGGUUUGUGAGCUAUUGCAUAGAAGUGGGGGUUUUACCCUGUGCGCACCCAAAGGGUAGCGGCUGCGGGUUUCCCUUGUCAUAAAAAUAAAUAAAUUGUGUGCUUACUGAUUAUUAUUGAUAUUUGGAAUUAUGUUUUGCUAUUUGUGUGAUUAUUGUUAAAGAUGAGCUAUUUGUGUGCUUAUUAAUUAUUAUUGAUAUUUGGAGUUAUGUUUUGCUAUUCUGAUAGUGGCUUGGAUUGAAGACUAUAAUAUACUGCACUGGACCAAUCAACAUGCCGUGGGCAUUUUCUUCUCUGAGUUAUUGUGUGAAGUGUGUGCGCUUUGUGGUAUUCUUUCGCGUGAUUCUGUAACCCAUUUUUACUAGGUGAGAUAGCCUCUUUUAUUUCCUAAAAUCUCUAUCUGUCUCUUCAGCCCUUAAUAUUUUAUUUGUCAGUAUGUAAAUAUUGCACCUCUGAGGUAGAGGUAAGGUUUGGGUAUGCUGUUGUUGUAGUAUGUAAGUAUUGCGGAUUAACUAUUCCUGUUGAGGAUUUACUGACAGAACAGUAAUACCCAAGAGAUAAGAAACUGGUUACUGCCAAAAAGUAUGUAGAAGAAGAUAAUUUUAGUUGGUUUGACAAUAGAGAAAUGGAAACUAAAGUUGUAGUGUUGUACUACAUUAGUGUUAAUCAGGUGAUGAACUCAUUAACUUUUUAGAGGAUUGCAUUACUUAUUUGAGAAAUAAGCUGUUGUGCUUGUAUUGAUGUUCUUUAAUGUUUUACUCAUUUGUGCUUGUUUGGUUUGACAGAUUGCAAGAUCUCUUUUUUUUCAUAUUUCUUGAAACUAAAGUCCAUUUGGAGGUUGAGAAUGUACAUUGCGAUUACCUUGAAGAGAUACAGAGCAGUCAAAGAAGCUGGUGAGAUUAAAAUGCAUGUGGGGAGUGUUGCUUAUUACCAAUUGAUGCUAGUUUGUCAGGUAAUUGUUCUUUUAGCUUUUGCUCGUCUUUUCGAUUAAAUUGGUAUUCACUCUCCUGCACUGGUAUCCAACUAAACUUGUACUGUUAAAAGGAAACGAAACCAAGCAACUAAAACUUAAUUGAAUGUUGUAUGGGGUGAUGCUUUUUGUGUUUCAGUUUUCAGUUUAUGAUCUGACUGGUAUUCUGUGCCGGGUGCAUGAUCUUUUACUCACAUUCUUUAUAUAUAGACUUGGCUUAAACCGUAAUGAAAAUGUUAACACUAUUCAUCUUUCUAUCAAUAUUUACUUCAUCACUGAGGUUGAGUACAGAAUGUUGUAUAACCUCAAUGUAGUAUACUGCUAUAUAAUUUCCAUAGGCAUCUUGAGAUCCAUACAGAUGACUGCCUUUGUAUUGAGAUAUAAAUUUUGUAUGCCUUCUGUAUAAUGCUCAUCCUACCAAGUGUAUGGUGGUUCCAUUCACCCUCGAGAAAAGGAAAAUAGUUGGAUUAUUUUCUAGGCAUAUAGUUUCCUUCUUUUAAUAUUUUUCUUUUCUUGUAUUUGUUCUAAAUUUAUGACAACCCAAUGAUAUGGUUCUUUGUUUUUUGUUUUUUUACAGGCUGAGUACUUCCGUCAGUUGCUUAAACCUGUAACGUAGUCUGCUAAAGUGAAAGCUUUGGGGAGGUUGGGAUUGCUUGCUUCUUGUUGCUCUUAUUCAGCAAAGCCUGUGGAAGUUGGGGUUUGUUGGUUCUCUUUCAGUGUAUACGAAAUCAGAAUGACCUCAUUAAGCACUGAAUGUGGUUACAGUUGAUUGGAAUUGUCAGUGCUUUUUUACUACAACUAAUACACCUUGAACGUUACUCUCGUUUGUCUGUGCCUUCUGUAACUCUUAGCUAUUUUCAUAUUUAAAACUUUCCAAGUGGAAAACACAUUUCUAGUCCAGUUUAUUGGUUCUUUUGACUUAGUUACUCAUGCCGAAUAACUAUCAAUUUUCCCCUCAAAAGCCUUUUGUCUCUCUGGAAGACAAUGCAGCUGGUGGUAAUAUAUUCGAUAUUCCUGCUCCAUCAGUCUUUGGUACAAUGGCACUCCCUACUGGUUUCAAAUCUUCUGUGCCCUUUCAUGGUUUCGAAAUUCAGUCCUCUGAGGCAUGUCCAAAGAAUUUCAUCAUCUUUGAUCAGACUGAUUACCGAAGCCAGAUCAUGUACCACCCUGCCAUGGCCUCCAAGUUUCCAUAUCCUGAUUUGAAUUAUAAUUCAACCUGCUUCCAAGACGGCAUGGAGAGAAAAAUUGCAAACAAUGAGAAUACAGAAGUUUCUUCAUAUUUGAAGGAAGAUUCAGAUGAUAUAAAUGCAUUGCUCAGCUUGGAAGAGGAAGAACAUGAGGAAUAUGAUGAAGAAGAGGUGAGCACUGCACGCACCGAUGCAAACUAUGGAUGCAGUUCCCCUGAAUCAUACUCAAACUAUGAUUGUCAAUCCAAAAAGAGCAGAACCUCUUCUUUCAGGAAAUCCUCUGGCAGUAGUACUAGCAAUUGCAGUGAGAGAAAACGCCGGAAACUUAAGAAGAUGGUCAAGGCAUUAAAGGGAAUCGUCCCUGGUGCCAGGAGGAUGAAUACUGUCACCGUUCUUGAUGAAGCUGUCAGAUACCUCAAGUCACUUAAGGUGGAAGUGCAGAAGCUUGGAGUCGAUAAUCUGAAGACAUAUGCUUGAUCUCCUGUGUGGUAUGGGUAACUUCGCUUCCUUUAUCACCAUCUCAGUCGAAGUGAUUAUGAACCCUAGUCAUAUCUUUUGCAUAUGUGAAGAACUUCUUACACCGUAUUGCUGAGUUGCUGCUCUGGAGGGGGUAACGUAACGUAGAAUAUGGUCCUUUGUCCGGCGAUAGGACAAUAAGUCAGUCUGCUGUAGUAGCUAGCUGCUAUAUCUAAUUUCUCAUUCUAGCAUAUAAUAUGUUUCCACUAGUUGCAAACUCUAUUAAGGUAUUUGAAUAAUUUCUCCAAUAUGUGAAACUUUCACCUAUUGGAGCUGCUGCUAUUUGUUCUUGUUGUUCUAUGACUUUGAUGAUUUGUUUAAUGGAUAAUGGGUUGAUGAUUACACUUUAUGCAAGCGUGUUAUGGUCGAAUCUCGAGUGUCUUUUUAUUUUAUUUAAUCUUUGCAUGCUGUGAUCUUUAGUUACUUUUUUGUCUGUUGGGAAUCAUGAGACAUUGGGAUUAUGUGUUGUGCUGUGUGAUCCUCUCUGCUGCUCCACUUGGCUAGUGCUGUUACUGUAAAGUACACCACUUUAGUUUUGCUUUGGCCUAUAAAUUUGGAUGAUAUGAUUAUGCCCUCAGAAUUUCAUCUUUUCAAAAUUUUACUACCUUUUUUCAAAGAAUGAAAUGCUCUUAUUUUACAAAGUUUCUGAUUUGGCACCCACCCCUAUAUACUUUCUCGGACUUGUUCAGUUUGGAAAAUCAAGAAUUCAAGAUUUAAUUUACUACUCUAUCAUUUUGUGUUUAUUUUACCAUUGUUAUUGAAUGCUAUGAUUCAUACCCUAACAUUUCGAUGAUUUUUAAUUAAUAGGGGUGAUAUUGUAAAAUUAUCUUAUUAUUUAUUAUUUUUUUAUAAGUGAAGUCAAACAUGAAUAAGUAAAAAUUAAAUAUUUUACCGUUGAAUUAGGACUUUUGAUCCCCUCUUUACCCUUUCUUCCUCUCACUCAAUUACUAUUACAGUCCGUGUAGAGCAUGAACCCAAUAAUACUAUGCUAAAUUUUAAUACUAUAAGUUUUCUUUUUAUGAAAAAAAGGAAUUAUUUUCAUUUAUGUUUUGGGAGCCUAAAGAACAUGUUUUUCAAUAGAUGGCACCAAAAGAGCAUGCUCUUAAAAACAUGUAUCAAAACAGAUUGUUUACCCAAUAUCAUAAUUAUUUCAUUGAUGUAGCAAGUCAACUGCUAUAUUUCCUUUGUGAUUUAUCAUUCCUUAUGAAUGUAGAUAUCAAUAAUAAUUUGGAAAUUCAUUUCCAUGAAUUGGUUUGCGGAGUAAUAUGUCUUUUGGACGCCUGACACAUCUAGACUACUCUUUAAUUUAGUUCAUGUUACUUCAGGGGAUUAACUUUCACCUAAAAAAAAUAAUUAGGAUAAAGUUUUUUUUAACAGAAAACAAUGAUUUGUUGAGCUAAUGAGAGUUGAUUUAAAUUCUAGUAACUUCACACAGACACAAUUUUUUUUUUUUAUACUUUUGUUGGUUCCAACUGUUAUGUAAGAAGGUAAAUUUCAAAACAAACUUUAUUAUAAAAAUAUUUUAUUUUUGUGGCAUGGAUAGUCCAAAAGCAAGGGAUGGAUCCACAGUAAAUACACCUGAUCACCUGUUACAUAAGCACUGAUGCAAGCAAAUUAAAGGAUAAAAUUGUUAGACAACUCAAAAUAAUUCAAAGGAUCUACAAACUCCUUUCCUUAACCAAUGGAGUUGGAUCAAUUCAUUGUAAUUACAAAAAUAACCUGAUUGGCCUAAUUAAGUUGCUUUGGAAAGUGGUGUGCUUAUUUUUCAUUAUUAGAGUCAGGCGUUAAAACGGAUAUUUUUUAAACUCUAAACACUAGAAAGGACACUAUCUAAAAACACAUACUAAAUAGAUAGUUUGUCCAUUUAUGGGCGAACUCUAUAACUAUCAUAUUUUAAUACUGUUAUCCCCGUUAACUCUAAAUUUAUUCAAAAUAAUAUUACACAAAUUUUAAAGGUAGUUCGCCGACAAAUGGGAGAACUAAGAUUCUUUUUAUAAUUCCUCAUGUGAAUCUAUAUCUCUUUCUUUCUCACGUGAAGUUAUAUCUCUUUCUUCAACAAUAAAUAUGGGUAGGGGUGUCAUGGUCGGGUUGGUUCGAGUUUUUCAAAUAUCAAACCAAACCAUUUGUGUCGGAUUUUUAAAUCUAAAAACCAAACCAAACCAAUAAAACUCGGGUUUUUCAACUCCGGUUUUUUUUUGGAUCUUUUGGAUUUUCGAAUUUUUUCGGUAAAGUAUUCAUACAAGCAUAUAAUUUACUUGUACUUCAAAUAUUUCUUUAGUCCUACCAAAAAUACAACUAUCUAAGGUGUUUCUUAAGAAAAUAACACAAAUAUUAUAUGAGUAAUGAUACUAAAAUAUCCAACAAAACAAUAAUAAUAAUGAAAUCGCGUAAAACAAAUAUUGCAAAUUAACAAGUCAUAAUGAAAAUGAUCAUAAUUUAAAAGUACUAAAUCAUGCUAAAAUAAAUUUAAUAAGUAUUAGUUACAUGACUAAAUAUUAAAGGAAAUUAAAAUUAGAUUAUGUAUUUGAAUAAAUCAAUGUAAAACCAAAGAACAAAUAUUCAAUAUUGUUAUCAUUCUUAGUGUUGAAUUGAUUUUAUUUUUGCAUUAGUAUUAAUUUGAUUUUGAUUUAAGCUUUAUUAUAAUUACCAACAUCUGUGAACUAUAAUCUUUAUUAAACCAUUCAGAAUUCUAAGUUUUAAACUUGAAAUAAUAAUAUAUUAAAAAGAUAAAAAACUAUGAAAAAGUAUAAGAAAUAUUUAAAAAUUAUAUCAAAGUAAAUAUUUUUAUGUAUAAAAUAAAAUUUUAAAAUUAUAUAUAUAAUGUCGGGUUGGUUUUUUUUAGUUAAAACCAACCCAACCCAAAUAUAGUCGGGUUUUUUUUUCCAAUAUCAAACCAAGUCAAACCAACCACUAGUCCGGUUUUUUUUCUCGGUUUGCGGUUUGGUUCGGUUUUGUACACCACUAAAUAUGGGUUAUUCACUCCACAUUUUCUCAUUUAUCUUCUACUUUUUUAUACUUUAUAUUUUGAUUUUUGAAAUUUGAUAGCCAUGUCUCAACAAUCUGAAAAGUCUGUAUAUUCAAUUGAAUCAGAUGUUUAUAAAUGCAAAGAGUAUUGUAAAAUGAAAAUAUCAAGCACUCCAAGAAAUUCCGAUGGUAAGUUUUGGAGUUGUUGUGCACACAUUCAAAGAUUAAAAAAAUUAGGUUGUUCAUGUCAUUCCAUAUAGGCUCUAUCUUAUCCGGUAUUAUAUAAAACAAAUUAAAUUUGACAAAAGAGGGAAAUGAAGUUUCUUUAGCAUUUGGAAACUAUAUUGAGCAGUGGAAAACAACAAGAGUACCAUUAAGGUGUAAUAUAUGAUAUCACCUAUACUUAUUUUGCUUGACAACAUAUUCAAUCCUGGAUCCAAAACUAUUGCCAAACAAGCACAUUUUGAAAUUAAAAGUAUAUUUGAUUCAAUGAAGGAUAAUAAUUUUAACACUUGAACAUCUCAUCGUUUGACUGAUGCUGUAUAGACGGCAAAAAAACGCAAGCAAAAUCCAACAAUUAUAACAGCAAACAUAAAAAGCUGUCAAGGGAAACUUGAUGAGCAAUUAGUUAUAAAGGGAUAAGCAAUAGUGAGAUACAACAGGAAUCAUGAAAUAGAAUUUUAUGACGAUUUUGUAACUUUACAUAUAGUGGUCCUCUACAUGAAUGUUUCUUUAUUUUCAUUCUUCUUUAAGCGAACUGUUUUGGUUUAAGGGUUUUUUUUUACUAAACAUUGGAAAAUGAUAGUUUGAUGCACGGAGCAUCCUGCAUUUUACCUCACAAUGGUGUAACUAAUGUAGGUAGCUUAUCGUUAAGGGCCAAUUUCACGACUCACAUAUAGAUUACAUAGAAACUACAACUCCCAUUUUUUUUUCAAUUUAAUGAUUUUUUUUUUCUGCAAUCCAAAAUUUGAAAAGAAAAAAAUUAAUAAAAACUCUCUAGUAGUAAUUGAAAAAAAGAGAAGUUAUUAUUACCAGGAUCAGUGAUGGUCACCAGAGCACUAUUUCUGAACCAACAAGAGAUGGGUUAUGGAUUUGACUUAUAAUACAUGUUCAUAACAUCAAAGGCAUGGUUAAUGGCAGAAUUAGGGCUAAUUAAGGAGCAACCAAACAUUCUCUUAUCAUACAAAGCAGGUAUUAUCCUUCAACUGAGUGAUAAGCCACGGAUGCCGAAAGUGUAAAGUAGAACCCAACUAGUAACAUUCAUUCAUCAUAUAUACGGUAAUUGAUACGAGAGUCGUUUGGUUUCUAGUAUAUACAUGUGUUAAUUGACACAUGUGAUGCACGUGAGACACACAAAAUACACAUGUGAUGUAUGUGAGACGCAUAAAAUACACAUGUGAUGUACGUGAGAUGCACAAAAUGCACAUCACAUGUCACACACGAGAUGGACGUGCAACAUAUACAAAUACUUAUUUUAUUCAAUAUACUUUAGACAUUUACUUAAGGGUAAACUUUAAGCCACCAAUUCCAUUAAACCGUCCUGAAAAAGUUAGUUACAUCGUCAUGAUGGGGAGGUUGGGAUUGCUUUGUCUUAUUCAGAAAAGCCUGUGGAAGUUGCUCUUGUUGGUUUUCUUUCAGUGUAUACAAAAUCAGAAUGACUUCAUUAAGCAUUACUGUUGAUUGGAAUUGUCAGUGCUUUUUUACUACAACUAAUUGAAAACGUCCCAAGUGGAAAACACAUUUCUAGUCCAGUUUAUUGGUUCUUUGGUGCCAGCAGGAUUAAUACCGUCACCGUUCUUGAUGAAGCUCUCAGAUACCUCAAGUCACUUAAGAUGGAAGCGCAGAGAGGCGGACCAAUCCUUCCGGAAAAUUACAUUCUAUAUAAAGGUCAAAUUUGUAAAAUUCCUUGUGGUCCCGUGUUUCUAGUCCUAGUAACCUCAUAAUUAUAUAUAUUUACUAGAACCAUUUGUUUGCAACAAAUUUGAAAGUGAUAGAAAAUAAAUUGCAAUAAAAAAAAAAAGAAGAAACAUAACUUUAUUGAUAAAGAUUGCGGGUACAAUUAUAUUUCUCCCUUGAUUCUACUCUCCUAAGAUUUAUCCAUGAUUCCAGACCGUUAGUGACGUAUUUCUCGAACUAGAUGAUUUAGGUUAGACCUCUAUAUGAAUAUUCCAUCGAUUUGCAGAAUAUUCGAGAUUUCGAUCUCUUUAUGGAAUUUUUGAGAUGCCUUUUCAAGGGAUUAUAGUACCCUUUAUAUAGAUAUAAACUAGAGUUUAGGAUUGAGUAGCCUCUAAGAAUUCGAAUCGAAACUGAGCACACCUUCUAGAGUCCCAGUUCGACAAACCUUGAAGCAGAGGGCAUUUGUGUAGACAUUGAAAUUUUAUGAGAUCUACCAGACGUGUUCAAUUAUGUCAAGGAAAAUGAGAUUGUGUCAAGGUAUUAAUUAUUCUGAAAAAAUUGUUAUGUAUACAUUAUGUAUCUUGUAAAAUAAAUAGUGUGUAUAAUUAUAUGAUUAAGUUUAGUUAACUAACGAAUUCAAUUAGCUCUAUUUAUAUACAUAAUCUUUCAUUAAAAGAAUAUUUAUGAAUUUAUUAUAAUUUUAUAUUUACAUUAUUGAUUAUGUAUACAUGAAACUAUUUUGAAUUCAUUUAUUUAAAAGUCUUAUACAUUUAUGUAUACUGUAACUACAGUAUGUAUACAUUAGUUUGUAUUUAUUUUUGUAUUCAUCAGUCCAUAUUUACCUAACAAAUGUGUAUAUAUUUGUUUAAAUCAAGAUUGGCAUACACUGAUCAAAGUGUAUUUACAUGAGUAGAAUUUGAAGUUGUUGGUGGAGAUUAAAAAAAUCGAGAUCAUCAUACCAAUUUUUUUACAAAAAAUUUAUGUGAACCUUUCUUACUCAUAAAAUUUAUACCAAAAAAUCAAAAUCUAGAAUCAAAACUAUUGCCCAGAAAAGUUGAAAAACUUCAAUUCCUAAAAUCACGAUUUUUUCUAAUGAUUUGAGCAAGAAAACACUCCAGAGUAUAUAUGAAAGAGAAAUUUAUGAGAGAAUAAUGGAUAAAUAUACAAUUAUAUCUUGCAUAAUUAAUUAGAGCAAAUUAAGGAGCAGAAAAGAAAAUCAAGGAGAGAAAAAUAAAAAGAAAAUAUGGAGAUAUUUAAAAAGAAAAAAAAAAGAGACAAGAACGGGAAGAAAACGGUUUCAAAUAAUUAACAAGGAGAGAAAAAAAAUUGGAACAAUAAAAUAAUAGAAUAGGAAAUGAGUGAGAGAAAAAUCAGAUUUUUUUAAAGCUUUUCAAAAUAUGUGGCUUUUGGAUGUCAAAUAUAUUUUUUAUUUUUUUUUACCAAUAAACUAAAAGUAGGUCAUUUAUUCUCAAUUUAGUCUAUGAGUUGUCAUGUUGCGUCAUUUUUUCCUCCUUAAAAAAUUGUAGCUAGAGAUGUACUUUACUAAAUUAACCUUAUUAAUGAUGUUACAACACUUUGACUAUUACUCACUUAAUGUAACUAUUUAAUAUUAAAGAUACUAUGAGAAAUAAGUAAUAAAACUUCAUUAAUUUGCUAAAAUGGACAAAGACUAGAGGACUACAAGAGGUAUUCCAUGUUGUGAUCAAUUUUUUUUAGCGAUUUUCCGUCUUUUGAUCUUUGUUUCACUCAAGGACGAGUCGAUAAAGUAGAAUCGACGGAUAGAAUGGCAGAAGAAAGCAUAUCUAAGCAUCUACAUGACUCUAUUGCAUGCAAAACAUUCCUCAAUUACAGAAUAUAAACAUCAUCAAGAGUAAGGACACAAACAAUGAAAAGAAAAAGGAAUCGACAUGCACUUCGUCUACCAGUGAUGAAGUCGAAAAGGCUGAUGAAGAUCAAAUGGUUGACGAACAACUUCAUGAAGAUAAAAUUGCUUUAUGUGCAUUUGUAUUCGCUUGUUCCGUUUCAAAUUUAAAUAAUUUGGGAAUAUAAUAUGUAUUCCCUUUUAUAAAAAAAUUACUUAUGCUUGGAUACAACUCAUAACUAAACUAUAGUGUAUCUAUCAUUUUUCAUUGGUUUUUAUACAUAAAUUUUGUAUUCAUUCUAACUGUAUGCCAUCAAGUUUUGUAAUUUUAUCAUCAUUUUAUUUUUAUACUAUGAAUUGGAUACAACUUUUGUAGUUCAUUAUAUCAUUUUGUUGGAAUUCUGUGGAAUACAACAUAUUUAUGUAUUUCUUAUAUUUGUAUGCCCGUUAGUUUUGUAUUUAUGUCAUCAAAUUAUAUUCAUCCUCGGAAGUGGAUACAAAGUUUCUAGUUCAUAAUAGUAUCUUUGCAGCUGAUUGUGUGGAAUAUAUACAACAAAUUUUUUGUUUAGAUACAACUUUUGUAGUACAUAAUAUUAUUUUGUGGGGAUUAUGUGAAAUACUACAUUUUUUUUUUGUUAUAGUACUUAUUUUGUAUUUAUUCUAAUUGUAGGUCUACUAGUUUUGUAUUUUUGUCAUCAAAUUGUAUUCAACCUCGACAGUGAAUACAAAGUUAGUAGUUCAUAAUAGUAUAUUUCUAGCUGAUUAUAUGGAAUACAACAUAAUUUUUGUUUGUGUUUCUUUUUUAUUUGAUUCAUUCAAACGGUAUGCCAUCAAAAGUUUUGUAUUUUUGUCCUCAUGAUGUAUCUCAAUAUCUCUCUAUUUAAAUCUCAGUUUAAAAGUUUUUAAAAUAUUGUUUCCCAUGAUUUUCUCCUUUAUGUUAUUAACUAAUUGUAUUCUUUAAAAUUAAACAAAUGAAAAGUACAUAAUCAGCUCUAUAGCAAAAGAAAAGAUUGACAUUUUUAAUAAAUAUUGAAAAUAUGGCUAAGGGGUCCUAUUAAAUGCUAAAAUAUUGUCAUUUUGAUUUUUUUUCCAAAAGUGAACGUUGAAAAAAAUGAAGAAGCAAUAAUGGACUAAUGACUUUGGGCCGAGGUCUGUUGAGUCCAUGAACCUUUUGGGCUAUUUUUCUGUAAACAGAAAAUGGGCUACUUUCUUUUAUAAACUUCUUAUUUUUUCGUAUAUAAUUGAAACUUGCCCUUAUUAAUAUCUACUAUGGAGAUGACUCAAAUUUGCUAUUUAAUUACAAUAUUAACUUAUUGUCAAUCUACUGUGAAACAAGAAGUCAACAAAAUCUAGAAAAAAAUUAAAUAUAAGUAGAUUAUAUUUUAAUUGUUUUUUCCACAAAGUCGCCCUCGUUUUAAUUACAUAGUUAUCUCAAUAGGCUUGUUAAUUAAAAACACAGCUAUAUAAAGCGCUCAUCACAACUCAAGUUAGAAAAUAAAAACAUUUUAUCAUUCAGAAUGACACUCUCACAUAGCUCUGCUCCAUUUCUGAUAGUUUCCCUACUUUUGAUCUCCGUCACAUUAACAAGCGUAAAAGCCGAUCUGAUAAACGAUAUCUGCUCAAAAACACAAGAAAAUGAUGUAUGCUUAUCCGUUUUAAGGGAGGAUCCUCGAUCCAAGGAUUCAAAUCUUAAAGAUCUUAUGACAAUUGCAAUAGACUUGUCACAAAAUAACACACAAUACGUGCGUAAUCUUGUUGCAAUGUUAUUUAAUAAGGAGACAAAUUCAACAUUAAAGACGCGAUAUUCUUUGUGUUGGGAAAAUUAUAAUGACGCUAUUGCUAAUCUUGGAUAUUUGCCAGACUUAUUAAAGUCCAAAGAUUAUGAAGGUUUGAAUAUGCAUGCUUCCGCUGCUCUAAGUGAACCUUCCAAGUGUGAUGAUAAUUUUUCAGAACUACCUGUUGAACCGGCCCAGCUUAAAGUUGCUAAUGAAAACCUUCGAGAACUUAUUGAUAUUAUUUUGGUCAUUAACAAGCUACUGAAAGGUUGAUGUAUAAGAAUUUAGAGAUUUAUACAAGACAUUGUAAUCAACCUGAAAUAUAAAAGUUUUUAAAUCAUAAAGUUAUGUUUUUCGUUUUAAAUUUAGUUCAAGCACUUAUACUUGUUUAAUAACGCCCCUUAGACAUUAUGUCUAGUGAUAUUAGUUCACAGAUAAAAAUGAUUGGUAUUUCUUGUUCAGAGAAAAUCAUAUGUAUUUCCAUAUGCUUUUAGAGGUUGGGCUCAGUGUAAAUGAGUUGGUUUAUAUAAAAGAACUAGUUGACAAAGCAAUUGACAUGAAUAUAGGAGUAACAAUUAACAUCAAUUAACACAAAAUAACUUUAAAAUAUUUGGCAAAAUAUAGCCUAAACAUAAUUGGCACUAAGUAGUCAGAAUGAUGCCUAAUUUUAUGGGUUGAUUUUUUUUAACCAACUGACGCUACUUAGUUAAUUUAAUUAGCACAUUGUCCCUAAUUCAAUAUAUUUUUUGUUUUCAUUUUUUAAAAUGUUUUUUUCUUAACUAAUCUAAUUAGUUUAUGUUUUUCUUUUUUGUUUUACACUUAUUUCAAUGUAUUUUUUGUUUUCAUUUUCUUAAAUGUUUUUUUUUCGUUCUUAACUAAUCUAAUUAGUUUAUGUUUUUUAUUUUUUAUGUAGUGAAUUUUAUUUAAUUUUUUAUGAUCAUUGUGUAAGUUUUUAUUUUACUAUAUUUUUUUUUCUUUCUAUUCUAUGUUAUUUAUUCAUAUUGCAAUAAAUAGUUGUUUGUAUUUAAUUUUUCAUUUAUAAAAUCAAGAUAUACUAAAUUUCUUUAAUUCUAACAGUUAUAUUUUUAUCAAAAGUAUAAAUAAAAUUUGUAAAGUAGCAAAAAGUUUUUUAAGGAAUAAAUUAAUAAAAUUAUCAUUUUUAUUUAUAAUUUCCUAAGAAACGUGUAAGGAAAGUAGAUAAAUAAAUUAUUUAUUAAUUUUCACCUAGCUUGAAUUUCAGAAAUAAAAAAUAUCGUAUAAAUUGACGGAAAAAAUAUGUAUUUACGUAGGUGUUAUGGAUAUUUUUCAUACUUUCCAUGAAUAAAUUAUUAAAGUAUGGAAGUGCAAAAUUUGAAACAAUGAUUGAAAAAGAAAUCAAAUAAAAAAAAUAAAAAGUAAGAAUGAGGGUGGAAACGUCAUAAAGGAAGAGAAAAAGGAGUUUGGGCCAUUUUUUGAAAUGAGACUCAAUUAUCCACUUGUUAAAAAAUAAAUAGAAUCUCAUACAAGUUUUACUACAUCAUAUUUAUACCUCAUUCAUAAUAAAAAAUUUCAGAUAUACAAGUGAACAAUGCAAAUACUAAAGUAAAAUCCUAAUAUAUAAGUAGUAAAGUAAAGUAUUAGUAAAAUAAAGUAAAGUAAUAUGUAUCUAUAAACGGGCGCCGAAAAGAAAUUAAAUAUAUUUAUAUUUGUUGAAAAUAUCGACUUUGAACAAAAAUGAACCUACCAUGCUACUUCCUCUGUCCCUAAUUAUUUGUUCAUUUUUCCUUUUAUAGUUAUCUCUAAUUACUUGUCUAUUUUGACAAAUCUAGAAAGAACAACUUUUUUACCUAUUAUAUCCUCAAUUAAUUACUAUGAAAAAGGUAGAACUUUAUGAAAACCUUAAAUUUUUAAUUCAUCCACUUCAUAAUUAAUAGGGGGUAAAAUGAUAAACUCACUAUGUCAAUAAUUGUUUUCUUAAUAGGUGUGUCAAUUUAAAAGUGGACAAAUAAUUAGGGACAGAGGGAGUACUUAAUAACUUAAUUUGGACACUUUAAAAAAAAAGAGAAAAAAAUUAUCAAAUUUUAAUAAAAAAAUUAUUUAUGUUACACGUGGCUAUUUAUGAAUGGUUUGCUACUCUUUGUAAAUUAUCCAAAUAAAGGAUUUGGCUGAUGAAUGAGUUUUUCAAAUUUAGCUGAUAUAAUUAGUGACUUGACUCAUUAUUUAUUGGUUAUGUCUUAGAAGUGGUAUGCCAAAACUGACUACGUUUUUCGUUAACAAAAAAUUGACAUGAGUGGGUACUUUGUGCCGUGAUAGUGAUAUAGAUGAGUCUUUUUCAAACAUCAACGACACAUUUAAGAUUUAAAAAUAUAUAUAUUUAUAAUUUUUCCCUUCUAUAAAAAUAAUUCAUUGAUUCCCAAGUUCCAUUUUAACAUUAUACUGCUUCAAGUCUCCCAAUCAAACAUACAUAUCGUCUAUAAAAUACUAGGUGCGAUACACUUCAUUAUACGAAGAGACGAACUAUGAUUUUAAAUGAGUGCAUCUAUCCAGUACAAGUUUAUAUUAUGCAGACUCAAACAUAGAAUUUUCAGGCCUUUAAAAGUACAAAUAAUGUCAACAAAAGUAUCUAUUUAGAAGAAGCACAACUAUCUUCAUAUAUAUGUCAUAUGUGCAUAUACAUCUUAGAUUAGUUUCAGCAGAUUCGCUUAAGUAUGUUAACAUAGUAAACUUUUGAUCUUCAUUCCAAAAAUAGAUCUUGUAGAACACAUUUUAUCCUCUAGACUAGUAUCUAAUUUUUAUUUUUAUCAUCGUAAAAAGAGCUUGAUUUAUCAUCCAUUACGGCAUAUAAAAUGAAAAAUUUAUAAGAUAAACAAGCUAUGACAUAUGUAUUCAUGUAAUAGUCCUUGAAACUUCCCUCAUAUGUGGAAGGAGGGUAAACAGUAAACUUUGGUUUGACUCCAUUUGAUUCGCGACUUGUUUUGUUUUAGUGAAGAAGAUUGUAUCCUUUAAAAAUAUCUUGCAAACUGUAUUUCAUAAGACAUUAUUAACAAAUCACUGCAACGUGCAAAAUACUUAGUGUUAUUCCACCUGUACAUGUAGAAAUGAGAAGAUGGAGGAUCACGAUGACGUACUGAUUUCUUGUAGUCAUGAGUACAAGAAAAAUGACUUUUAGUGAAAGAAAAUCCAGUUGUUAAAAGUCCAAAUCUAAAAGCUCCGUCGUUGUUAACGAUCGGAUUGUAUAUCCAGUCGUUAAUGACAACAAUUAAUCCAGUCGUCACACUUACUUACAACGUGCAAGCCAAAUGAGGGAUUCCCGUAAAGCUCAAGUUCAAGAUCUAGUGUAUCAAUUCUUAAUAGCAUGUCAUUUAUCUUGUCCAAACAUAUACUAUAAAUUAAGCAAGAACAGACCUAGUAGUGAAAAUUUUUGACGACUUGGUAAAAGUAGGGAAUUCUCUAUGUUCAAUAGAUAUUGUUGAAAGCUUAACAUAAACAACACCAAUGAUAAAAUCACUAUGUUCAAUUGAUUGAAAGCUCAUUGCAUCUACAAAACAACCACUUCAAUUGAACGAACGUCCUAUAUAUAUAUAUAUAUAUCCUUUCUUCUCUGGAACAUCUGUCUGCACAAGAAUGAAACAAUUUACAAACAAAAGAAUACAACCCUCAACAAGGUUUUGGAGUACAUAUUUUUAACAGAAAAAAAAAUAAAAAAUCCUCAACUACCAAAGCCAACACAUAUUACAGAAGAAAUUGCUCAAAAAAUCAAUUAUGCCAAAAUAUUCCAAGACCCUGUAAAUCCAAGCCCUAGCAAGAGUCGAUUUGGGAAUCCAGAAGUUACCGCAAGAGUCGCAACUCAUAAUGGGGUUCCUGCGGUUAUUUUCAAGUCUAGUGACUAUUACGGGAUAAUGGGGAAAUUUAUGAGAACACGCCCUCAAAUAGAGAAGAUUCAAUCAAAGCUUGCAGAGAAAAUCACUGUCGUCAGAGGUAACGUAUAUGAUUUUCCCACUGUGUUUUUAGACUUAAAAAACGUGUGGUAUAAGAGGUCCAUUGAAAUCAAAGGUCAAAUGAUGUGGUUAGACUCCUGUUUGGGUGUUAUUGUCGGGACUACCAUACUUGGAACCAUGUUAAACAAAUCGUUGGACCAGUUGGGACGCCUCUAACUAUGGACCUUGCAACUGAUCACAAAACAAGACCUAGUAUGGCAAAGGUGAGGGUGGAGGUCGAUCUCACGAAGCCUAAAUUAACCUCUGUUUUUGUGGGAUCGGAAGAUGAUUCUUGUCCAUUGAAAGGAUACUAUAUGGCAGAUCUGGGCAAUAAUAUGGAAAAAACCAAUAUCAAUGAGGAAAAAUAUAAUACUAUCAAAGGCAACAAUGAAGCAACCGCUAGCUCUGAUAAAGUGCGCAACAGCGAAGACGAUCAACAAGAGAGUAAGAAUAUUGAACAGCACGGUUGGUAUUACAAGGAAUGAUCUUGUGAUUGAGGGAAAAAAAAGGUAGGAAUAAGAUGAUUGAAGAAAUGGAAAAGGAAGGUUCCCUCCUCAAGAAAAUAUUGGAUAAAAUCAAGAGAAAGAUGCCAAAGAAAAGAUCCAAUGUGAAACUUAGACUUGGACCCGGAAAAGUUAUAGUGCAGGAGAUAUUAUUAUUAGACAUGAGGGCAAUGAGAUGGAUCAACAACAGAGAAGUAAUAAGCAGCUUGAUGCAGAGAACUAUGGUAUUUCAAAUCAGAACAAUAUGUAUGUAUGAAGAGGGCACAGGAGACAAUAUAGAAAGGAGUGUCAACGAUCAUGAAGAAUCUUCUAGACUUCCAACGAAUAUUAAAAAUUUGUCUACUAUAAAAUUAGUGGUAGAUCUCAAUGACAACAUGAUUGAUAUGUAUAACUCUUGGGAGAAGGUGGAUAACACGGAUGAAAACAAUACUGAGAUCAAUAAAGAUGAUUUUCAGAAGAAGGUGAUGCACAACAACACAUUAAUGAGGUGUGUGACAAACAUAACAUGAUCUGUCACCUGUCAAAAGGGGCAGGAGUAGACACAAAAGAGACAACAAGAAAGCAACUGUAAAUGUUUCCAAUGAUUAGUCCAAUUAUUUGGAACAUUAGAGGAGUAAGAUCGAGAAAGGUCAUUCACAGACUCAAGAGAAUGGUUAACAAAUACAAACUUGACAUGAUUGUUAUUUCAGAGUCGAUGUUUAGUAGAGAUAAAGUGAUGGGGUACAAUAGAUUUUUGGGCUUCAAUUACUGAGUUCUAAGACCAAUGGUCAAAUAUGGUGUUUUUGGAGAGAUAAUUGCACUACUAUAAUCAUUCAGAAUCAUGUACAGUAACUCACUCUUACUAUUCAAAGAGACCACAACAAUCAGCAGCAUUAUGUAACUGCAGUUUAUGCAAAAUGUACCACAAUUGAGAGAAUUGAAUUAUGGAAGAGUUUGAAGGAUCUUAAUGUCGUUGAUCCCAAAAGAUUCAACAGAAGGAUCAACAUUUUAAAAAAAUAACAGAUCAUCCUCCUCCAAAGAAUAGUCAGAAUCAUUAAAAUCCUCAUCGUCAAAUUCAUCACUGUGUACCUCUAUGUCAUUUGCUAACAAAAAAUUCUUUUUCAUCUCAUUGCGACAUUGAUUAUCAUCAUGAUAAAAAUUCAAAUGUUCAAAAUAUAUCUCAACUACUCUGUCCUUUGGAAUGCAAGUAACAACUUUAGCGGCUUCCAUAUUACUCCCAACUAAUCGAACCUUAUAAGAGGUUAAACCAUACUUGUGCCAAAAUACCACAGAUUCCUUGUCAUAACCGCAUUGCUCGGCCAUAUUCUUAAAAUCUAUUAGAUUAAUCAUUGUACCGUCGACAUAAUCAAAAUAUUUGACUUUUCCACCUAUGUAGCCUCUUGUCGAACUACGCACAAAUGAUUCACCAUGAUGUACUUUCAUUGUGAAAAACGAUGACUCAUUCAUAGAAUCUACAUAUAAUAUCAAGUUAUAGACGGUGUAAAAACUUUUAUUUUUACAAAUAUAAUAUAAAUCUGAAUAUACAUAAAGCCAACAAAGAACUACAAGUUCAUUAUAAUGAAUAUCCAGAAAACAAAACCUUAUAUAUCAAAUAAAAAACCUAAUAUAGCUUUUCAAAAUCAGUAAUACUUACUUAUAAAUCAAUAUGAAAGGCAUUGUAAAUUAUUAAAAAAAUGCUUAAAAUGUCUUGAAUAUCGAUAAUAUCAUAAUUGGGUGUGGACGAUCGACCACUUAAACUUCGAAUCGACAUUAUUCCGAAUUUUGUUAUGCUGCAAGCCUGCAACCCGCAAUAUCUAGCGUUUUUAAGAAUGAAGAAGAUGUUUUAGUUUGAGAAAUAGAAAAUUGCAAAUAUUUUUCGAAUCAGAAAAACAAGAAAUUUUCAAUGAUUUUUUCUUCUUUUACCUUGUUUGUGUAUAGCCCUUUGCCCUGUCUUCAACUCUUGUUGAAGAGAAAAAAAUUUCUUUGAUCUUGAAUAGAAAAAAUUAAUAAUGUAAUUUAGUCAAAUAUUAAAUAAAAAAAUUAACAGAUGUUAUCCGUAGAAGAAAAUUAAUUAACAGAAUAGAAAUGGUUCCAUUUUCUCUCUCAAACGAUUCUAUUGGUGGUACGGUAACUGAGGUUCUCACUGAUGAUGACCUACUUGGUGGAUAGUUGUUGCUUCUGUUGAUGUACGAACAGACAUUGAGGACGACGAACAGAAGGAGUGUGAUCCAUAAAACAGAGACAUUGAAAUGACCUCUUCGGAGAACAAGCUCUUGAUGAAACCAUGGAUAGCAACACCUCAAGUUGGAACAACUCCCAACAGUCAUAUGUCGGCAUGCACUCCGUGUAGGUUUCAAGAUCAUUCUCUCAAGACUUGUGAAUCCAAAACUGGAGUUAACAUCUUAAAAGGUCACUAAACUAUGAGAAAUUAUCUUGUAAAGUCACUAAACUUUAUUUUGUAUCACUAAAAUCACUCAACUUUACACUUUUAUCUUCUAAAAUCAUUAAACCAUAUUUGUCACCAAAAUAAAUCUGACAUGGCAAAAUAAAUUAUUUUUUAUGCCAUGUCAUCGUGGACCCCACAAAUAAAUAAAAUUAUAAAAUUAAUUUAUUUUAAUGUCAUGUAAUCAUGGACCCAACAAAUAAACAAAAUUAUAAAAUUUAUUCAUUUUAUGUCUUCCCCUCUUAAAUUCUGUUUUUGCAAUAAAAUUCAUAACGCUUUUUUUUGGACUAUUUCAAUCAAAAUUUCUUUCUUAUCAACAACCUUUUAAAAAAUCUAAUCAACAUUGGAAAUAAAUGUUAAAUUCAAUUGCACAUACUAUAUUGCCUCCCGUGUCCACCAUGUGACAUAAUCAUACUUGUACAUCAAUUCCAAUAUAAAUAAGCAAAACACAAGUAACAUUGCAUUUCUAAAAAUAUAUUACAUACUAGGCUGUUAUGAGCACCAUUGUUAGCAGAAAAAAAAAAAGAACGACAACAAUAUAUAUGUCGUAAUAGGUGUCUCACAUAACCACAAAAAAUUACUAAGAUAAUAUCUAUACUUUGCUAUGAUUUCCAAUCUUCUUCUUCUUCUUCUGAACUUCAACAAUGUACUCCUUCAUGACUUUUCUCUUAAAGAGUCUGCCUCUCUUAGAAGUAUGAGAUAGUCUAGUAGUUUCGAUACCUUUAAUUGCAACUUCAUCAACACCUUGAGCAACCACUACAUCAGUUUGAACAACUAUUACCUGUUCUUCAAUUGGUGCCUUGUGAAAAAAAAAAGUAAAUAAAGAUAAUGGUAGAGAAAACAUUCAAAUUGUAUUAACUUUAAAACAACCAUUACCUGAGUUCUAGUCGACUGAUAUGCCAAAUUCAAUCCUUGGUGAUUAUUAUUCCACAUCUCCGGGCGAUACAUAUUUAAAUAAUCCCCGUCAUUUGAAGCUUCUUCAACUGGACUUAUAGCCUCCAAAUAAUGGCUUGAAGAUGAUUCUCCAGCUUUGACAAAUUUAUAAUGUCCUCUUGCAUUAUGUCCAUACUUUUUGCAAAUUGAACACAUUACCUGCGUAGAACCUUUUUUGGAUAACUUUUGAGGUCGCCUUUUUUCAGACUUCUGCUCAGCUCUUUUUUCAGCUUUUCUAACAGCUUCAGCCUUCUUUUUCUUCUCUAAUUCUCCAGGCUCUUUUUUCCUUGAUUUGGGCUUUCUUCCUCGCUUUUUCUUCACAAUUUUAGGUGGUAUUACCUCUCCACAAUCCACAACCUCAGGCCAGUGAUCUUCUGGAUUUGUUGGAUUGAUGUAAUGUGAAUAUACAUUCUUGAAAGUUUCAAUUGUGUAGAAUGUAUCCACAUAAUCCUCCACUCUUUCACUAUUUCCAAUAAUACAUGCAUAUGCAUGAGGACAUGGUAAUCCAGUAAGUUCCCAUCUUCUACAUGUACAACUCUUUGCCUUCAUGUCAACAAUAUUAACUCCACCAGGACCAUCUACCGAGACUCUUGGUCCCCCUGAAUAAUCAGUUUUAAACCAAAUUGCUUCCUUGCUAAUCUUGUUCAAUUUUUUCACAAUUUUUGGGCAAAUUGAACUAUCAGACUUUGCAACCCACUCUCUUUUCUUGUACAAUCUUUUCAUCAACUUGUUUUUUUUAUCAUUUCUAGCAUUGUAAUAAUAGCUUUAUCUCUAGCAUCAAGUAUAUACCUAAAAUAAGUGCUACAUUAGUAAUACAGAUUGUAAACUAAUAACUACAACAACUACAUACUUGGUGUAAUCUCACAAGUAAGGUCUAAGGGAUAAAGUGUGCAUAGACCUUACUCCAACUUAACAUACAUCAGUCAAUAAAGGUGAUCAACAUAAUCACAAAUAACAUACAACAAUACCAUCCUAACAAGAAACUUAUCAGUCGAUAUUUCCAACCUCAGCCUGACAAUGUAACUUAUGCAAUUACCUAAAGGCAUAAAUAACAGUGAUGACCAAAAAUAAGUGGAUGAAAGUAUUUAAUUAAUUACCUGUUAAAGCUUUCACACAAGUUGUUGAGUAACAUAUCACAUUUUGUAUUUAUUCUAAAUAAUGCUCUAGUCCAACUUUGAAAUGGCCUUUCUGGGUUAUUGAACCACUCUCUUGCCGCUUUGUCCUCUUGAUCAAGUUCUUCCAUGCAUUUCUGAAAGAUUAGCUUGUUGCUUGCCCUAGCAGCAUUCCAUACCAAAUCCUUCAAAGCUUUGCCUUUAUGUUUUUGCUUGAAGUUCUGAUACAUGUGUCUAACACAAUUUCUAUGUUCAGCUUCCGGAAACAAAUCUUUUACAGCUCCAAUCAGACCCUACAUAAGAAACAAAGUAGCAACAUAUGUAUGUUAAACAGAAAAAAGAACAAAAGAUAUAAAAGAUUUUUACUCACUUUUUGCCUGUCAGACAUAAAGGCAAUGUGGUGACUAUUUCUGAUGUCUAAAUCAUAUCCAAGAUUGUCAAUAAACCAGCUCCAUGUUUCUUUACUCUCUGUUUCAGCUAUCACAGCAUAAGCAACUGGAAAUAUACAAUCAUUUGGAUCUAUUGCCACGGCAGAUAAUAAAUUUCCUCCGUAUGUGCCUUUUAGCCAACAACCAUCUAGGCUAAUUAAUGGCCUACAACCCGAUUUAAAAGCUUCCUUGAGUGCUACCAGACACACAUAAAAUCCCAAGAAUUUCCCCCCAUCUCUCCAAAUUACAACAUUAGAUCCAGGAUUAGAUCUCAACAAUUCAGCUCUAUACGAUAGUAACUUGCCAUACUGAAGACCUUCAUCACCAUAAAUCCAUUUUAAUGCUUGAUUUUUAGCCCUCCAAGCCUUCAAAUUUUCUAUAGUAUAACCAAAGUCCUUCCUUACAAUUUCAACAAUACCACUAAUGUUCCAACCAGGAUCAACUUUAAAAAUAUUCAAAUACUUUCUAGCAAUGUACUUAGGAGAUAAGUGGAAAUUAUCAAACACCUUAGCACCUUUAUGUUUCAGAUAAAGUGACUUGAUCUGAACGGUUGGAUCGCGCUUAUUCACUUUACUAGCAUAAAUUCUAAAGGGGCAACCAUCAACCUUACAAAUACAAACCACCCUCUGUUGAUCAUUGGGCUUAAAACGUAACUGCCUUCUUUUCUAAUACCCAAUUCCCUACAAGCUUCUUUGAAUUGCUUGAAAUUCUUAAACUUCAUCCCUAAUGCAAAUCUAGGCAAAUUCUUAUUUUUACCUUCAUCAUAUUCUUCAUAGAUAUUAUUUUUCUGGCCAUUGUUUUCUCCUUUAUCAGAUUGAACAUCAUCAUCAUCAGGCAAUUCAUCUGAAUAUGCAUAAUCAAAUUCAAUAUCAACAUUUUGUAGAGGUACUAAAAUUCCAGAGCUAACUGGCACAUUGACACUUGCAUUUUUGGGUCUUCCUCUAAGCUUCUUGACUUGUUGAUCGUCAAUAAGAACUUGUUGAUCGUCAAUAAGAACUUGUUGAUCGUCAACAAGAACUUGUUGAUCGUCAACAAGAACUUGUUGAUCGUCAACAAGAACUUGUUGAUCGUCAACAAGAACUUGUUGAUCGUCAACAAUCAACAAGAACUUGUUCUUGUUGAUCGUCAACAAGAACUUGUUGAUCGUCAACAAGAACUUGUUGAUCGUCAACAAGAACUUGUUGAUCGUCAACAAGAACUUGUUGAUCAUCAGUAAGAACUUGUUGAUUAUCAAUAACAUCCUGAAAAUCGUCAUCUUCAUCGGACAAAUUAUAGUCUGGAUCACUAAACUCCUCAUCCACUUCAUUAGUUACAUCACCCUUAAUACCUUGUAAAACAACUUUAGUUGAAUUUCCCUCAAUUAAAACGUUUUUGUCCACACCAUUAUCCUCCCUAUUAUCAACUAAUGUAUCUUCAAUGCCGAUAUCGCUAACAACUUCCAAAUAGUUUGAAAAAUGUAGUUCUAAAGCCUUUGAAGUUUCAGGAAAACAUGAACCAGAACUCUGAAAUAAAAAAAAUAGAAAGAAUACUUAGCAUUAAAUAUUUGCUUUAUACUAAUAAUAGUAUAAUCAUAAAAAAUAAACAAGUUACUCUUACAAAUAAAUAUUAAUCCAUAAGAAUAAUUUAUAGCCUGAAUGAAAGAAAACCCCAUAUAGGCUAAUGCCUGAAUUUUUAAUUUUUAUAAUGGAGAAUAAGGUUACAAAUACAUUAGAUAAUCACAUCCUCUUACAUGAAAUCAACAAUGAACUAACCUCCUCUAAAUACAGGGGAAAAAAAAUUAGAAUACAAAAAGCCCUAAACCCAUUUUGAGAUUCUACAAUAAAAGGACAAUAUAGUUAAAAAAUUAUAUUUUUUACCUCGUUUUGAAGUAGGAUUCGUUUACCAAGCACGUAGUGGUCCCUUUCGUCGGCAUUGGAGGCUUGUGGGUGCGGGGGGGACCAUUCUUUUAUAGAUUUCAUCACAUUAUUCCUCGAAGAAAUGAAGGAAUCCAUUGUUUAUGGAAAAAUUUCAGCAUCAAUAACCUUAAAAUAGACUUUAAAGUGCCUCUUUGUGGAUGAGAAUUUUGGGAGAAAUAGAGAAAGAAGUAGAAGAAGGAAGCGGGAGAUUUGGGCAGAAAUAGGUUUUACUGUUUUAGAAGAAGAUAACUUAUGGGUGGGUAUGUAUAUUGAUAAAUUAAUUUUAUAAUUUUAUUUAUUUGUGGGGUCCACAAUGACAUGUCAUAAAAAACAAUUUAUUUUGCCAUGUCAAAUUUAUUUUGGUGACUAAUAUAGUUUAAUGAUUUUAGAAGAUAAAAGUGUAAAGUUGAGUGAUUUUAGUGAUACAAAAUAAAGUUCAGUGACUUUACAAGAUAAUUUCUCAUAGUUCAGUGACCUUUUAAGAUAUUAACUCUCCAAAACUGGGCAAGAUAGCCAAACCACAAAAAAAGACACAAUAUAAUAAAAAAUGUAAUAAAACGAUUUCAAAUCUCCAAAACCACAGCUAAUCUGUCUAUAUACGAUCUAAAAAUUGUUUAGAUAUAUCUCCCAAAUUCAUAGGAAAAGCAAAAUAUUAGAAAUUCCACAAGAGAUCAAUUCUUUAUGAUUGUAAUACUAGAAAUAAUUAGAUUGAUUACCACUAAGAUACUGAACAAAAUUGAGAAUUGCCCAUGGAAAGAUAAAUCAAAUACUAACUUGGAUCCAUUAAUCAGAUCUUUCACUUGCGAUGAACAUCGGGUGCGAUACACUAUUACAUUUGUAUUUUUUUGGAGAAAUCUGAUGAAAACAUUGCUUGAGUGUUUUUUUUUAAAAGAAAAAUCUUAUCCUUUAGUAAUUGAUUGAUUUAAAAGAAAUUUGGUCGGUAUAGAUACACUUAUAACGGUGUAAUUAGUAAUCUUUCGUAAAAUGGUGGUCGUUAAAAGUUAAUAUUCUCUUAGUUGAGCUGAUCGGAAAAGUUUCGACAACGUUCUUUCAUUAAAGAAGCGUUGAGGAGAGUACCUGUAUUAUUACAUUGUAUUUGGAAUGUUGUAAAAAUAUUGUUCAAAAAGUGGAAAAUUAAUUAUAAACCUAUCACCACCACCACCUUAGCUUCCACUCAUUCACCAUGCUCCAAAUUUGCAAUUUCCAUAGCCUGCAUGCAAACCCAAAAAGUGAAGGAAAAAGAUUAGUAAUAAAAAUAAAUAGAUUAAUUAAAAAUAAUAAUAAAAAAACAAUACUUGGAUCAGUGAUCGCGAUCAAACCACUACUUUUGAACCAACAUGAUACAUUUUGUGGGUCUGCCUUAUAAUACAGGUUAAUGACAAUAUUAGGCUCAAAACAGGAUCCGUCGGGGUUUAUUAGAGAACAGUCAGGCAUCCCCUUGUCAUUACAGACAAACUGGAUAUUUUCGUUCAGUUGUUCCUCUGAAGUAGAAGGUUUUGGAACACACCACUGCAACAUACAAAAUACGUAGCGUUAGUUUAUAAAAAAGUUAACACUAAUAAUAAAAUAAAAUAGGAAAUCUCUACCAUGUCUGAGUUGACCUCGAUUUGUGGCGAGAAUGUUAAGUUUGAUAAUUCUGGAUCAAUGCAGGAUCCAUGGAUGAGAGCAACAUUGAGAGGAAUGAAAAGAAUUGUCUAUUGAUUAUUCACAAAAUGUAAUACAGGGAUAUAUAUACAAUCUUAUUGUAACCGACUUGCAUAGCUACUACCUAACUGAUUGCUAUAGUGUAUAACUAACUUCUCUAACAAACUAUUCUGCUCACACUGCUAACAUUGCAAUGUAUAAUGUAACAGCUUGUAACUAACUUCACUAAUGUACACUGAUGCAUUUAUUUAAUUCGUUUACACCCUCCUUCAAGCUAAGAGCUAUGAAGAUAUUCUUCAUACCUAGCUUGGACAUAAGAUGCACAUGUGAAAUUCUCCCAAGUGCUUUAGUGAGGAUAUCAGCUGGCUGUUCUGAAGAUGAUAGAUAUGUAGUGACAAGUAGUCCGGCUUGAAUUUUCUCCCUAAUGAAAUGACAAUUAUGUCAAUAUGUUUCGUACGUUCAUGGAAAACAGGAUUAGCCGCGAUCUGAAGUGUUGAAGUACUAUCUGAAUACAAAGAGACAGGCAGUGAAAUAUUAACACCAAUAUCUUGAAACAAACCUACUAGCCAAACUAUCUCAGUAACAGUUGAGGCCAUUGCCCUGUACUCUGCCUCAUUUGAUAUAGGUGAAUCUCCAUGUUGAACCAAGUAACCAGUAAUAGAUCUUCUACUAUUAAUACAAGAACCCCAAUCUACAUCACAAAAUACCUUCAACACAUUAUUUCCUGAUGAUGACAUUAAAAUUCCCAAGCCUGGAGCUGAUUUCACAUACUUCACAAGCCUCAAUGCAGCAUCUAAAUGUGACCUUUUAGGAGAAUGCAUGAACUGGCUCAGACUUUGUACAGCAAAUGAGAUGUCUGGCCUAGUUAUGGUAAGAUACAAUAGUCUUCCAACUAAUCUUUGAUAACUAGCAGAGUCAUCUAACAAUGGAUCAUCAUGCUCAGAUGGUAUAAUAUCAUCAAACUCAGUACUCGUAAGUUUCAGAUUCAAUUCCAUUGGAGUAGAGACUGGUUUAGCUCCUGCUAACCCCAUGUCUGCAAUCAGCUCCAAAGCAUACUUCCUUUGGUGUAUAAGAAUACCUGCCUCAUUCCUGGCAAAUUCCAACCCAAGGAAGUACCUAAGUUCCCCCAGAUCCUUGAUCUUAAAAGCAUGUUGCAAUGCUUCUUUGGUUUCUUGAAUCAUUUGGCAAUCACUUCCAGUUAUCAACAGAUCAUCUACAUAUAUGAGUAUUAUGACUAUCAUGUCAUCCUUCUUCUUGACAAGAAGAGAAUAAUCUCGAGUACUUUGAGUAAAACCUGAGGCAAUCAAGGUGGUGGUGAGUUUAAUGUUCCACUGCCUUGAAGCCUGUUUGAGGCCAUAUAGUGAUUUUAACAACCUGCACACUUGGUUACCUUCAGACUUGCAAUUAAACCCUUCUGGUAGCUGCAUGUAUACUUCUUCAUUCAAAUCACCUUGCAAAAAGGCAUUGUACACAUCCAUUUGAUGGAUUUUCCAAUGGUUAGUGGCUGCUAAAGACACAACAGUCCUAACAGUAGCCAUCUUAAGGACAGGUGAAAAAAUCUCUUGAUAAUCAAACCCUUCCUUCUGAUUGUAUCCUUUUGCUACUAAUCUGGCUUUGAAUCUUUCAACUGUACCAUCUGCAUUGUAUUUGAUUUUAUAGACCCAUUUACACCCUAUGGCCUUCUUGCCUCUUGGUAGAUCUAUAACCUUCCAUGUCUUGUUAUCCUCUAGUGCAUUAAUCUCACACUUCAUGGCUGCUAUCCAUCUAGGAUCUGUGGAAGCCUCUUUGUAAGUAGUAGGUUCAAUAUCAGCUUAAAAUUUAGAGAUAAAACUCUGAUACUUGGGGGUGAGACCAUUAUAAUUCAAAACUGAAUCAAUAGAAUAGAGACAGUUAUUUGAGCCAGCCUUAGUAACAUAAUCCUUGUGCCAUAUGGGAGGUCGAGUGCCUCUAGUAGACCUCCUGAUUGAAGUUGUAGAGUUGAGGGAAUGAUCUGAAGAAUGUGUUGGAUUAGGAACCUGAACAUGCUCAUUGGUAGUUAACUUAUCAGUGUCAGUAGAAGGCAGAACAAUAUUUGGAGCUGUAACCAGUUCAUCAAAUACAAAAUGGUUGUUGGUGGACAAGUGACCCUGUUCAGUGUUAACACUAUCCUUAAAAGGGAAAACUGUUUCCAUAAAAACAACAUCUCUGCUCAUAAAGAAUAUUCUAUUAUCCAAAUCAUACAACUUGUAACCCUUUUGAGUAACACCAUAUCCAACUAAAACAACUCUCACAGCCUUAGGACUGAACUGUCAUGUCUGACUAGAUUUGUGGCAAAACACAAACAGCCUAGGACUCGUAAAUGAGCAAAUGUAGGGGGCUUACCAUAUAAUCUCUCAAAAAGAGAAACAUCAUUUAUAACUGUGGAAGGUAUUCUAUUCAAAAUAUAGACUGCAGACUGAAUACAAAGACCCCAAAACCUGUCUGGGAAGUUGGCUUGGAACUUAAUUGCUCUUACAGUCUCAAGGAUAUGUCUAUGUCGUCUCUCUACCACUCCAUUUUGCUGAGGUGUGUAAGGACAAGACCUCUCAUGUAUGACACCACAAAGCUAGAAAAAAUCAUUGCAGUUGAUGUUAAAGAAUUCAGAACCAUUAUCAGAUCUCACCCUUUUUAUCUUGAUGUUAAACUGUGUCUCUAUUUCAACAAAGAAAUGUUUUAACAAGUUAAUAACAUCAGACUUCAAUCUCAUAAAAAAUGUCCAUGUCCACCUUGAAUAGUCAUCCACAAUAGUAAAAAAAUAUCUCAUUCCAUUAAAAGUUUCUACUCUAUAAGGCCCCCAAACAUCCAUAUGCAACAAUUGGAAAAUACAUGUAGAUUGACUAGUACUUUGUGGAAAUGACAAUCUAGUUUGCCUUGCAAGAGGACAAACUUCACAACUGGGUAAAAUAAGUUUGGUAUUACCAGAACUAUGAAACAUAGGAAUUUUUCUGAUCACACUCAUAGGUACAUGACAGAAUCUUUUGUGCCAAACAUUUGCAUCAAUGUCUUGUGUUACUGCUAAGCAUCUCUGUGGUGGUGACGUAUGUGCCUCCCCUAUCUGUGUGCAUACUGUAUAUAGUCCAUUUUCUUCUCUACCAGUCACCCUCACCUUCCCAGACAAGAGGUCCUGAAAAACACAAUAUUUUGGAAAAAAGUAACACUGCAAUUCAAAUCUUUUGCCACUUGAGAAACUGACAUGAGAUUGAACUGAAAAGCAGGUACACAUAAGACUUGUCUAAGAAUAUCACCUCCACCUAUAUGACAGUCCCCAAUGUGUGAUACUUUAGCAGAAUCACCAGUGGGUAGCUGAACAUGACCUGCACCAUCUAUUAAUUCUUUAUGGUGUAAAUAAGAAGAAUCACCAAGCAUAUGGUGAGAAGCCCCAGUGUCAACAAUCCAGGUCAAUGAAUCAGCCUUAUGGAUAGGUGAGAUACCUGCCAUAUGUGCAGUUCCAGGUUUAUCAGCAAGUGUAGCUUGAUCCAACAUUCUGAGCAACUGCUGAUGUUGUCCUGGAGUAAACAUAGGCAUAACUGAAGAAGAAGGCAUAGACUGAUGAUACUGAUAUUGUUGGGAAGAAGAUGCCAUAUACUGAUGUUGUUGCUGUAAAACCCCUGAAUCAAAGAUUGAAUUACCAGCUACAACAUUGUGUUGUUGCUGCUGUAAAACUCAUGCAUCAUAGAUCGAAUUACCAGCUACAAUAUUGUGUUGUUACUGCUGUAAAAUCCCUAUAUCAUAGAUCGAAUUACCAGCUACAACAUGAUCUCUCCUGCCCUUGUAGUGAGGUGGAUAUCCAAUGAGCUUAUAGUAGUUAGUUUUAAGAUGACCAGUCUUAUGACAAAAAUCACAUUUCAUCAACUUGAGACAGUCAAUUUUCAGAUGUCCUUUCAAAUUACAAAAUUCACAUAAGGCAUGAGGAUUGUAAGGCUUUUUCUGCUGCUUCUGAGUGACUGAUUCGAAUCUAUUUGUGAAUAAUAUUGUUGGUGCUAAAUUCUCAGGUGAUAUUCUGCUCGAAUUAGCAACCAUUCUCUGGCUUUCAUCCUGAUUAAUCAUGACAUAUGCCUGAUUAACAGUAGGCAGUUGAGACAUCAAUAAAAUUUGGCUCCUAGCUUGGCUAUAGUUAUCAUUGAGUCCCAUGAGGAAUUGUAACAUUCUCUGAAACUGUAAGUGCUCAAAGAAAUCCCUAGAUUUAGAACAUGUGCAAGAGAAGGAAGCAUGAUAGAAUCAUAUUCAUCCCAUAGAUCCUUAAGCCUAGAGUAAUAUAUUGAAACAGAAGAGACUCCUUGAACAAGUGUGAAGAUCUCUUUGUGUAGCUGAAAAAUACGUGAACUGUUUACCUUGUGAAACCUUUCUUUCAAAUCCUUCCAAAUUAGAUGCGCAUCUGAGCAAAAAAGCACUCCACUGUGUAGAUCCUUGCUAACAUUGCACAAAAUCCAUGAUACUACAAUUGCGUUACAACGAUCCCAUAAACAAGCCAAAUCACCUGUGAAUUGAUCUCGAUCUACUAUACCAUCAAUGAAUCCCACUUUGUUUUUCCCAAGCAUAGCCAACUGCAUAGCUUUGCUCCACAAAGUGUAAUUAUCAGUUCAUGUAAGCAUAAUACCCACAUUGAGUGAUCCAGGUGCAUCAGAUGGAUACAAAUAGAGAGGAUGAAGAUGAUCAAUUGUGGUAGCAACCAUGACAGUACCCAAUUGAUUUCCAGUACCAGAAUCUCCCAUUGAAAUCACAAAGAAGGGAAGAAAUCGAGAAAUCGAGUGCACAACUGAAGAAAAUGAAGAAAAGAAGCUCGAAUCUGAACUUCAACUACGAAAUUCUUACUGCAUUGACUCUCAAUUGAAGCUCGAAAGCUCUAAUACCAUGUUAAGUUUGAUAAUUCUGGAUCAAUGCAGGAUCCAUGGAUGAGAGCAACAUUGAGAGGAAUUGUAACGACCCUAAAAACGAACUAGUGAAACUAGAGCCUCACAUGUGAAUUUGGAGUUGAGAACUUGAUGAAAUGAUGAGAAAUGACCGUGACGUCCGGAAACUAGUCAUUUGAACUAGUGAGUUGUAAGGGUCAACUUUAAAUGAUCAUAUCUUUUAGCUCAAAAUGAAUUAGGUGGAACUUUACGUAUCCAAUUAAAGGUCUCUGAAUCCUCUUUCCAACGCCACCGAGUUUGCCCAAUUCCGACCUUGGAUUAAAAAUUUAUGCCCGAAAUAUUAAAGCACUGCCAGGCUGCAACAAAGGGCGAACUAAGACGGGAAUGGGCACAAUUUUUAAGGUCAAGACUUUAUGGGUCCUUAGUCCUUUUCCAAAAUUGACCCUAUGCUAUUCUUUCCUUCCUAGCAACUAUAAGACCUUUUUAUGACCCAAUUCCUUUCAUUUAGGUCACUCCUCUUAGAAUUAAAAAGAAACCCACCUCCUCUCAAAUAUAUCUUUCUCUACAAUCCUCCAUUGAAGAAGGUGAAGAACUAGGAGCUAGGGUUUGACGAUUUUAAGGUGGUUCUUUCUCAAAUUUCUUGGGGAUUCUUAGUUAAGGAAUGGAAACUCUUUAUCUUUGAUUCCAUUUCUAAUCAAAGAGCUAAUUCAAAGUAUUUUCAAAGUUCUUCAAAAAUCCUAAAAUCCUAAUUUCGAUUCUAGCAUGGGUUCUUGCAUAAAAAGGUUUUAAAUGAUGAUUUAUAUAGUUAUUAAUGAUUAUUAAUGGUUUUUAGAAAGAAAUCUCCAUGAACCCAUGUUUUCUCAAAUUCUCUAAAUUUCACCAUAAAGUGGGUGUAUUGAUUUUGAAUAGAUGAUUAUAGAAUUGUGUUUAGUAUGGUAUGGGCUGUUCAUAUAUGGUAUCAUAUAUGUGAAUUGUUAAGAAUUUUUAUUGAAUUGAAGGAUGUGGGAUGUUGGCCUUGAAUGGGCAAAAAAAUUGUGAAUUUGUCUUCAUGUUGAUUAUGGGCUUAUGCUUAGCUUAAAUGGUAUAGUUNNNNNNNNNNNNNNNNNNNNNNNNNNNNNNNNNNNNNNNNNNNNNNNNNNNNNNNNNNNNNNNNNNNNNNNNNNNNNNNNNNNNNNNNNNNNNNNNNNNNNNNNNNNNNNNNNNNNNNNNNNNNNNNNNNNNNNNNNNNNNNNNNNNNNNNNNNNNNNNNNNNNNNNNNNNNNNNNNNNNNNNNNNNNNNNNNNNNNNNNNNNNNNNNNNNNNNNNNNNNNNNNNNNNNNNNNNNNNNNNNNNNNNNNNNNNNNNNNNNNNNNNNNNNNNNNNNNNNNNNNNNNNNNNNNNNNNNNNNNNNNNNNNNNNNNNNNNNNNNNNNNNNNNNNNNNNNNNNNNNNNNNNNNNNNNNNNNNNNNNNNNNNNNNNNNNNNNNNNNNNNNNNNNNNNNNNNNNNNNNNNNNNNNNNNNNNNNNNNNNNNNNNNNNNNNNNNNNNNNNNNNNNNNNNNNNNNNNNNNNNNNNNNNNNNNNNNNNNNNNNNNNNNNNNNNNNNNNNNNNNNNNNNNNNNNNNNNNNNNNNNNNNNNNNNNNNNNNNNNNNNNNNNNNNNNNNNNNNNNNNNNNNNNNNNNNNNNNNNNNNNNNNNNNNNNNNNNNNNNNNNNNNNNNNNNNNNNNNNNNNNNNNNNNNNNNNNNNNNNNNNNNNNNNNNNNNNNNNNNNNNNNNNNNNNNNNNNNNNNNNNNNNNNNNNNNNNNNNNNNNNNNNNNNNNNNNNNNNNNNNNNNNNNNNNNNNNNNNNNNNNNNNNNNNNNNNNNNNNNNNNNNNNNNNNNNNNNNNNNNNNNNNNNNNNNNNNNNNNNNNNNNNNNNNNNNNNNNNNNNNNNNNNNNNNNNNNNNNNNNNNNNNNNNNNNNNNNNNNNNNNNNNNNNNNNNNNNNNNNNNNNNNNNNNNNNNNNNNNNNNNNNNNNNNNNNNNNNNNNNNNNNNNNNNNNNNNNNNNNNNNNNNNNNNNNNNNNNNNNNNNNNNNNNNNNNNNNNNNNNNNNNNNNNNNNNNNNNNNNNNNNNNNNNNNNNNNNNNNNNNNNNNNNNNNNNNNNNNNNNNNNNNNNNNNNNNNNNNNNNNNNNNNNNNNNNNNNNNNNNNNNNNNNNNNNNNNNNNNNNNNNNNNNNNNNNNNNNNNNNNNNNNNNNNNNNNNNNNNNNNNNNNNNNNNNNNNNNNNNNNNNNNNNNNNNNNNNNNNNNNNNNNNNNNNNNNNNNNNNNNNNNNNNNNNNNNNNNNNNNNNNNNNNNNNNNNNNNNNNNNNNNNNNNNNNNNNNNNNNNNNNNNNNNNNNNNNNNNNNNNNNNNNNNNNNNNNNNNNNNNNNNNNNNNNNNNNNNNNNNNNNNNNNNNNNNNNNNNNNNNNNNNNNNNNNNNNNNNNNNNNNNNNNNNNNNNNNNNNNNNNNNNNNNNNNNNNNNNNNNNNNNNNNNNNNNNNNNNNNNNNNNNNNNNNNNNNNNNNNNNNNNNNNNNNNNNNNNNNNNNNNNNNNNNNNNNNNNNNNNNNNNNNNNNNNNNNNNNNNNNNNNNNNNNNNNNNNNNNNNNNNNNNNNNNNNNNNNNNNNNNNNNNNNNNNNNNNNNNNNNNNNNNNNNNNNNNNNNNNNNNNNNNNNNNNNNNNNNNNNNNNNNNNNNNNNNNNNNNNNNNNNNNNNNNNNNNNNNNNNNNNNNNNNNNNNNNNNNNACUAAAGUGUAGGGAUUUGGAGAUGAUGACAUGUCAUGGCUAUUUGAUAGGUUUCUAAGUGUUGAAGAUGAAGACUUGGUGAGUCCUCAUAGAUUCGAGGACAAUACCCAAUAUGUUCUUUUAUGUCUUUUUAGUAUUGUUUAAGUUGUGUACGGGAUUAGUCCCGAAAUUUGUACUCUAAAGUAUUAGAUGGUUUUGAGACAUCAUGUAUAAAGUCUAGAAAGUCUUCCGCUUGCUAUUUUUUUUUAUGCAAUGUUUUCUUGGUAAAGAAAGUUUUAAAUUCCUUAUGGUUUUAGUGUCUAUGCGAUGAAUGAAUGCUAAGUGGCUUGUAUUAGACCUCUUCGAGGUCGAGUACGCCGGUUACGACUAGGGGGUGCUCCCGGGUCGUGACAGGAAUGAAAAGAAUUAUGUCUAUUGAUUAUUCACAAAAUGUAAUACAGGGAUAUAUAUACAAUCUUAUUGUAACCGACUUGCAUAGCUACUACCUAACUGAUUGCUAUAGUGUAUAACUAACUUCUCUAACAAACUAUUCUGCUCACACUGCUAACAUUGCAAUGUAUAAUGUAACAGCUUGUAACUAACUUCACUAAUGUACACUGAUGCAUGUAUUCAAUUUCUUUACACCCUCCUUCAAGCUAGGAACUAUGAAGACAUUUUUCAUCCCUAGCUUGGACAUAAGAUGCACAUGUGGAGUUCUCCCAAGUGCUUUGGUGAGGAUAUCAGCUGGCUGUUCUGUAGAUGAUAGAUAGGUGGAGAAAAGUUUUAAAUUCCUUAUGGUUUUAGUGUCUAUGCGAUGAAUGAAUGCUAAGUGGCUUGUAUUAGACCUCUUCGAGGUCGAGUACGCCGGUUACGACUAGGGGGUGCUCCCGGGUCGUGACAGGAAUGAAAAGAAUUAUGUCUAUUGAUUAUUCACAAAAUGUAAUACAGGGAUAUAUAUACAAUCUUAUUGUAACCGACUUGCAUAGCUACUACCUAACUGAUUGCUAUAGUGUAUAACUAACUUUUCUAACAAACUAUUCUGCUCACACUGCUAACAUUGCAAUGUAUAAUGUAACAGCUUGUAACUAACUUCACUAAUGUACACUGAUGCAUUUAUUUAAUUCCUUUACAGAGGAUAGUCCACAUGUACCUCCGGAAACGAGAAGAUGGAGGAUCACAAUAACGUAAUGAUAAUAAGCCAUGUAUUUUUUAUUUAUUUUUUUAAGGAUGGAAGGACAUCUGGGUUGUGGAAAUUUACUACUACCGCAAAGAGGUAUUUAUACUAGAAAAGAAAACAACACCGCCGAAAACUAUGGCUGAAAAAAAGUCGUGAAUUAAAUGCAAUGUUUGUAAGCGAUUGGAAGAUAAACUAAGUAUUAAAUGAGUUUGCCCUAAUUAAAUAUAAUUUCAUUUGCAGGAUUAUCAAAUACUUUUGAGUAUAUAUUCCAUAAAGAUGUUUAUUACUAUAAUAACAACUAACACACUAUCUUUAAACCUAUGUGUUCAUUCGUUCUGUUGAUCUAGAUUGUUUCGUCAAGAUUUAGGGGAAAAUAAGUUAUAUAUAUAUAUUUAUAUUUACAAUAAGAGGCUAGGGAAGCAGUUGUUCGUCAACACGCCUGCUUUCCUAGCCAGGAAUAAUAUAGUCAUUUAUAAAACGUUAUGUAAAAAUAAUAUUUCUUUCGUUUCAAAAAGAAUAAUUUUUUAUUAUUUUUAAUCUGUUUAAGGAACAAAUUUAUACAUUUUACAUAACUUUAAUUUAAAAUCACAAAAUUCAAAAGUGUUCUUUAUUUUCUUAAAUUAUAAAGCCCACCCAUAUUUCCCUUUUUGCUUUAUCUCAGCCGGAAAAUGUGGGCCCUUGUUUCUGCCUAUUUCACAUUCUUUUCAAUUUUCAUUUCACUAUCCAACUGUCUUUUAAUAUAUGGACCCCACUCAACUAUUUCCAUUACCUUCUUUUAUUUGUUCCUCAUAACUUCUCCUUUAAUUUUUUUCGCUCCGUUUCUUUUGUGGCAAUUAACUUUUUGAAAUUUAAUUACUUCAUCUAUAUUUUAGCUAUAAAAUAUAUUAGAGGUGUAACUUUUUUAAAAAUAUUAAACUUUUUUAAAAAUUAAUUAACUCUUAAAAUUUUAUUAUUGUCACAUAUAUUUGAACAAGUGUAAUAAUAUAUAUUAUUAAAAAUUACGUAAAAGAUUGAAAAUAUUUUUAAAUGAUGUAAGAAAUUUGAUUGACUAAUUACUAAUUUACUUUAUUACUAAUAUAUAGAAGAGUCUAGGAAGCAGUCGUUCGUCAACAUGUCUGCUUCUUAGACAGGGGUAAUUUGAUAAUUUAAAGUCUAAUUUUGUUUGUGGUUUGCUUUGAUUGUUGGUACAAUUUGCUUCGUAAGUUGGUACCUCAUGAUUUUUCCUUUAAAUUCCCAUUCUGCCUUUUUGUUGAUAAUGUAAUUUGAUUCCAGUACUUUUUUAAAGGCUCAUUUGCCCACCUUUUUUCAAUAACCCCAAUAAUGCAUAUCGGUAAAUAUAAUGAAAGUUGAGCCCUUUAUUCAAUGCCUAAAAAGGCAUAAUGAUGAUGUUAGGACUUGCCUGGAUCCACAUCCCAUACGAUGUAAUGUUUAGUGAUAUUAUACUUCAUUCGUGUCAAUUUACGUGACAUGAUUCAAAUUGUAACACUCCGACUUUUUGAAACGUCUAAAAUUACUCAUAUCUCCAUGGAAAGACAAGGAGGAUGGGUAAUAAAUUAAGAAUUAUGUGGUAUGUCCUAUUUUAAGUGUUCAAGUGUUGCAUCUCAAGUUUUGAAGUUAGGGAAGUGGCAAAAUAAAAGUUGACGGAAGUUAUCGUAAGUUCCUUCUUAAAGAUUUCUCUGAAAUUUAGGUCAAAUGUAUUGGAGGUUUUCUCCCAAUCUAUAAAGACUUAUGGGGUUCACGACCUAUCGAAUCGAAGGUCUACGAGUCUAGUUUCCAACGCAUCAAAUUGUUCGUUCAUACGACUUCAGAAUAGAGAGAUAUUUGCAUUUUCCUGGGACUGCGCAAGCAGGCAUGUGAAGUGGGGCCCUAGGUUCGUUCAUACGACUUGCACUCAUUCACCAUGCUCAAAAUUUGCAAUUUUCAUAGCCCGCAUGCAAACCCAAAACAUGAAAAGGAAAAAGAUUAGUAAUAAUAACAAAUAGAUUAAUUAAAAAAAAAAAAAGAAAAAAAAAAGAAUUACUUGAAUCAGUGAUCGCGAUGAAACCACUGCUUUUGAACCAACAGGAUACAGUUUGUGGGUUUGCCUUAUAAUACAGGUUCAUAACCAUAAAUGCAUGGUUAAUAACAGUAUUAGGCUCAAAACAGGAUCCGUGGAGUUUUAUUAGAGAGCAGUCAGGCAUCCCCUUGUCAUUACAGACAAACAUAUAGAGGAUUAGAAGGACAAAUGCGUGAUAAGUCAUGGAUGCCUAAAGUGUAAAGUAGAACCCAACUAGUAACAUUCAUUCAUUAUACAGUAAUUGAUAUGAGAGUCGUUUGGUUUUUAGUAAAUACACGUGCUAAUUGACACGAGAUGCAUAUGAGAAACACAAAAUAUACAUGUGAUGCACGUGAGACGCACAAAAUACACGUAUGAUGCACAUGUGACACACGAGAUGCACAUGCAACACAUACAAAUACUUAUUUUACUCAAUAUACUUUAGACAUUUACUUAAGGGUAGACUUUAAGUCACCAAUUUCAUUAAAUCAUUCUAAAAUACCUCUCUUUUUUAUAAUUUAGAGGCUACCCUCUCCUUUUUCGUUAUAGUUUCCGACAAUGUUAUUUUUUUUCCUCCUAUAAAUACCUCCUUAGUAUUAGUAAAUUGUCACAGACGUCCUUUUAUCAGUACAUUCUUAAAAAAUGCAUUUUAAGAAUGUCAUCUUUUUUACUUUGUAGUUAUACUUUCUUCGAAUAAGAAAACAAGAAUCAAUCUGUACGAACUAGAUUAAUUAACUACUCAAGUUGCUCUAUUUUUGCUUACAUGUGUAGUAAAUCUAUACAAAUCAAAUGCACAAUGUAUUCUAGAAACUAUGAUAAGUUAUUGGAGGAGUAAGAAAUUAUAUUUAUCUAUACACUACAAAUAUAUCUAUAAAUUAUUCUCAUUUCUUAAAUGACGUGUAAAAAUUGUAUUACCUUCUUUUUCAGUAUUGACUUGAUACAUUUUUAAAAAAGUAAUAUAUAAAAUGAUAAUUUUAUUAUAUUAUACAUGUUUAUUAUUAGUUGAGAAAUGAAUUGAAAUACGAGAACAGCUAAGUGACCACAAUUAUUUGCCUCAAAUAUGAUCCCAAAUAUAAAAAAAAGAUCAUAAUUAUAACAUUUUCUUUUCAAAGCAAAGUCUUUGCUAGUGUUUGAAUUGACUUAUUUUUAGUAUUUUUUUAAAUGAUCUGAAAAGUGUAAAAAGUCAAAAGCUAAAAGUUGAGCGUUUUCAUUUAAAACGAGUCAAUCCUAUUGAGUUAGUUAAUUAACUAAUUAGUUGAUAUGUUCACAUCAUCAUUAGUCAGUUAGUUUGUUAUACUGUUAGAGCAAGUCAGGGUUAGUUAGAUCUAUAUAAAUAGAAUGUACUCAGUUGUAAUAGUUAGUUCUAUUCAUUCAAUUCAAGAAAAUCAGUUUCUCUGUCAUUUUCUCUCAUACUCCUUCAAUGGAGUUCUGUAGUUCUUCGGCAUAUUAGUUGAACCUCUUAUCCUUGAUCACCUCUUUCACAUGGUAUCAGAGCCUUGUUGCUCUUACUGGAUUCGUCGUCUCUGUUUUCCGAUAGUGUCAAUUUGUCUCUCCGUUGCAGUUGUUUAAAAGUUCAUCAGAUCUUGCAGCUAUGGUGGAAGUUACAGAUCCCAAUACUAGUUCUACAGGAAGCAAUGUUAUCGAUGUAAGUAAUCCUCUUUACAUUCAUCCAUCUGAUGGUCCCAGCCUGCCUCUUGUUCAGGUUGUAUUUGAUGGAAUCGGUUAUAGAUCUUGGAGGAGAAGUGUAAUGAGAUCCCUCUCUGUAAAGAACAAGUUAGGAUUCAUUAAUGGUGAGUGUAAGAAACCUGCACUCAAUUCUCCUCAAUAUCGACAGUGGGAAAGAUGUGAUAAUAUGGUCACAUCUUGGAUUCUUAAGUCUCUUGGAAAAGAAAUUGUUGAUAGUGUAGAGUAUGUUUCUGAUGCUCUCGAAUUGUGGAAGGAGUUGGAAGAAAGAUAUGAUCAAACAAAUGGGGCUAAGUUGUUUCAGAUCCAAAAGGAAAUCAAUGAUUUGAGUCAAGGUGUACUUGACGUGACUGUGUAUUAUACUAGGAUGAAGAAGCUGUGGGAAGAAUUGAACAAUCUGAGUGCUAAAGAUCAAUGUAGUUGUGUGUGUAUCUGUGGGGGAAAAGAGAACAUACAUAAGGCAGAGCAGGAUAGGAGACUCAUUUAAUUCCUUAUGGGAUUGAAUGAGGUGUAUACUGUAAUCAGAGGUAGUAUGUUAAUGAUGAAUCCCUUGCCAUCUAUGGCCCAGGCUUUUGCUUUGUUAGUUCAGGAAGAAAAACAAAGGGAAUUCAAGCCAAGUAACCAAAUGUUUGCAGAGGCAUCAGUGAAUUCAUCUAUGCAUGCUAACUCAUCAGGAUCUUCAAGUGGAAGACAACAGCUGUUCAGGACUAAUUUCUCUCCCACCAAUAACUACACUGGCAAACCAAGAUCGUUCUGCGAUCAUUGUAAGAAACCAGGUCAUACUAAAGAGAGGUGCUACAAACUGCAUGGUUAUCCUCAGGCUAGUACCACUGGGAAUGGACAAGGUAACAAUGGAUAUAACAACCAAGACAGGUACAAUAAUAAUCAAAGGCCACAAUACAAUAAUCAGUUUCACAAAUCUGCUAAGGGAAAAGGGAUAGCAACAAAUGCUUUUGGUAUAGAUACUGAAUCUAACACAGGAAACACAGCUGAAUCCUCCAAUUCUGGUCCCAAUCUUACCAAGGAUCAGUAUGGACAAAUCCUCAAUUUGCUGCAACAUUUCCAGUUGGGAUCUGCAGGAGAUGCUGUUGAAGAUCAGCUUCUAAGUGGUGCUGCAAAUUUUGCAGGUAUGAUUAGCUUGUAACUCAUCUGUUGAUUUUGACAAACUUUCAUGUGGGUGUUUCAAAUCAAAGACUGACUUAUGGAUACUAGACUCAGGGGCCACACAUCACAUGACCUACAAUAAGACCCAUCUUUCUGAUAUCAUUCUCUUACCAUAUCCUUUGUUAGUUAGCUUGCCCAAUGGAUACAAGGUGAAGGUAACUGAAGUUGGAAAUGUAAACCUUACAUCAAAGAUUACAUUGCAUAAAGUCCUUUUCAUUCCAUCUUUCAAAUAUAACUUGAUUUCCAUCAAGUCUUUAACACUUCAUCUUAAAUGUCUUGUUUCUUUCUCUAAUUCCUCUUGUAUACGGCAGGGCCCUUCAAUGAAGAGGCCUCUGGAAAUUGGUAGAGUACAAGAUGGACUUUAUCUGCUUUGCUCAACAUGUCUGAAAAAAGGCUGCUCCAACACUUCUUUGAAAACCUCAAGUCAAUGUGCUAGUUUGCAUAGUACUGCUAAAGGCCAUAAGUGCCCUUUGUCUACUGUUUCUUCUUCUUCAUGUCAUAUUGUUCCAUCUGUAAUGAAUAUUACUCAUAAUGAAAAUAAUUUUGUUCCAAUACCUAGUCUAUCUCAUUCUUCUAGUUUGUCUCGUGAAGUUAAUACCAAUACAGACCUCUUGUGGCACCACAGACUUGGACAUGUUCCUUUUGUAAAAAUGAAGAGUAUACCCUCAAUUCCUGUGAAGUUCUCCCCUAAGCAACCCGUUACCUGUACCAUAUGUCCAAUGGCAAGGCAAAAUAGAUUGCCAUUUCCUACCAGGAAUGAUAAAACUACCAAGAUUUUUGAGCUGCUCCAUGUGUACUUAUGGGGACCAUAUCAUGUGGCAACCCAUGAUAAUUUUAGAUAUUUUAUCACCUUAGUUGACGACUUUAGCAGAUCCACUUGGACUCACUUGUUAAGCUGCAAGAGUAAUGCACUGCACAUUAUCAAAUCAUUUGUUAAUAUGGUUGAGACUCAAUUCAAAACCACCAUAAAAACCAUAAGAACAGAUAAUGGACUAGAAUUUGUAAACCAAGAAUCCACCCUCUUCUUUCAAUCAAAAGGAAUCAUUCAGCAAAAGUCAUGCCCCUACACACCACAACAAAAUGGUGUAGUAGAAAGAAAACACAAAUAUCUCCUAGAAACUGCUAGGGCACUCCUUUUUCAAUCCAAACUACCCAUUAAGUAUUGGGGAGAGUGUAUACUCACAUCAACCUUCAUCAUUAAUAGACUUCCCUCUACUGUUCUUCAGAACAAAUGCCCAUUUUCUUUACUGUAUAACCAAGAGCCUCAAUAUUCUCAAAUGAGAAGUUUUGGGUGCCUAUGCUAUCCUACCAUUCCCAAAUCCCAUAGAACCAAAUUUGAUCCAAGAGCAACCCCACAUGUGUUUGUAGGUUAUCCAUUUGGGACAAAAGGUUAUAGAGUACUAAAUCUGGCUUCUAACAAGAUUUCUGUGUCUAGGGAUGUUACCUUUCAUGAGACAAUCUUCCCUUUCUCUAUGACUCAAUCAUUAGAUGGUCAUGUUCCUGGUUUUGAUUAUCUUACUCCUACAAUUGUUCUUUCUGAUAACAUUCAGUGUAAUCCUGAAUCUGAUAAUGAUAAUAUGCAAUGUGAUCCUGAUCAUAUGGACAUUACAGUUCCAACUGAGUUACCACCACCACUUGUUCCUCCUUCUCCCUCACCAGACCACAUUCCAUCUGUUAGAAAGUCUGCUAGAAUACACAAAACACCAGCCUAUCUAAAUGAUUACCUAUGCAAUAUACCUCAUUCUACAACUACAUUACCACCUCAUUCACUACAUGCAUCAUUUUCUAAUCACCAUCAUAUUGCCUCAAAGCUUCUGUAUCCUGAUAGCCAGUCUCUUGUGUUGAGUAUCUCACAUGAAAGUGAGCCAUCUUCAUAUGAUAUAGCAGCUAUGGAUCCUGCAUGGCAGACAGCUAUGGCACAAGAACUUUCUGCCUUACACGAUAAUGAUACUUGGGUUCUCAUGCCUCUACCCCUUGGAAAGAAAGCUAUUGGGUGUAGAUGGGUAUAUAAGAUCAAACACAGAGCUGAUGGUAGCAUAGAAAGGUACAAAGCUAGGUUGGUUGUUAAGGGUUAUACUCAGCAUUAUGGAGUGGACUACACAGAGACUUUUUCACCUGUUAUUAAGAUGACGACUGUGAGAGCUCUAAUUGCCACUGCUGUAAAGAAACACUGGAAUGUUUAUCAAUUGGAUGUGAAUAAUGCAUUUCUCCAUGGGGAGUUAGAUGAAGAGGUUUACAUGGAUAUUCCACCAGGCUUGGAUAUUCAGACUAAAGGAUUAGUUACGUUUGUAAGCUCAAUAAGUCAUUGUAUGGUCUAAAACAGGCUAGUAGGCAAUGGUAUGCUAAGUUGUCUGAAGCUCUCAGUUCCAGAGGAUACACUCAUUCCUUAAAUGACUAUUCUCUAUUUUAUAGGAAAAAUGGUUCAUCUACUGUCUUCAUAGCUGUGUAUGUGGAUGAUAUCCUAUUGACAGGUACUGAUCUUGAAGAAAUUGAUAGUCUCAAAGGCUUUCUCCAUAAUCAAUUCAGAAUUAAAGAUUUGGGGAAACUGCAUUAUUUCUUGGGGUUGGAAAUCCUUUACACUGAAGCUGGAUUGCUCAUUUCACAAAGGAAAUUUGUGCUUGAUCUUCUCAAAGAGUACCAUUGUUCUGAACUUUCCAGCCUCACCUCACCACUAGAUGUGACAGUCAAGCUCAAGGCAAAUGAGGGGAAGCCUAUUUCUGAUCCUAGUGCAUACAGAAAAUUAGUUGGGAAACUUAAUUUCUUAAUUAAUACCAGACUAGAUAUUGCUUAUGGAGUUCAGCACCUUAGUCAGUUCAUGCAAGACCCCAGAGAACCACAUAUGAAAGCAGCGUACCACAUGUUGAGGUAUCUCAAGAAGGAUCCCACCUUAGGAUUGCUUAUGACAUCUACUGAUGAUUACAAUGUACAGGCUUUUUGUGACUCAGAUUGGGGUGCUUGUCCUGAUUCCAAAAAGUCCAUCACAGGGUAUAUUGUGCUGCUUGGUUCCAGUCCUAUAAGCUGGAAAUCUAAGAAACAGGAAACUAUAUCUCUUUCCUCAGCUGAGGCUGAAUAUAGAUCCCUUCGAAAGGUGGUUGGAGAGUUGGUUUGGUUAGACAGAUUAUUUGGAGAGCUUACUAUUCCUAGAAGCAGACCUUUUCCUAUCUUUUGUGAUAGUCAAUCAGCUCUACAGAUUGCCAGAAAUCCUGUAUUCCACGAAAGGACCAAACACAUUGAGAUCGAUUGUCAUUUUGUGCGAACCAAGCUACAAGAAGGUCUUAUAUCACUGCAUCAUAUUGGAACUCAUGACCAACUGGCUGACAUCCUUACUAAGGCUCUUACAGGAGUCAAACAUUCAGUAGUUUUGGACAAGUUGGUUGUGCUGGUCUCACCUCCAACUUGAGUUAGUUAAUUAACUAAUUAGUUGAUAUGUUCACAUCAUCAUUAGUCAGUUAGUUUGUUAUACUGUUAGAGCAAGUCAGGGUUAGUUAGAUCUAUAUAAAUAGAAUGUACUCAGUUGUAAUAGUUAGUUCUAUUCAUUCAAUUCAAGAAAAUCAGUUUCUCUGUCAUUUUCUCUCAUACUCCUUCAAUGGAGUUCUGUAGUUCUUCGGCAUAUUAGUUGAACCUCUUAUCCUUGAUCACCACUUUCACAAAUCCAAACACCGAUAAUUUGACAAAUAGACUCUAUAGAUUCCACCUAUCAAAGCAUUUUAUGGUCUCAUACCUUCUUCAAUCCUUUAUUCUUGUUCUUUUUUUCUUUUAUUUUUUCCAGUUUAAGAGCACGGUGUCAUGACUGUCAUAUCAUCAUGUCACUUAGGCGUCGCAUGGCAUAAAGUUAUCAAUGUGAAAGCUUGCAUAGACAAAAAAAAAACUAGUUAUUAGUGUAAGCUUCCUCCACAGUUCUAGAUUUAUGAGAUUUAAUUUCAGAUUCUUCAUGUAUAAAUAAUUAAUAUACUAAAGACUUUAUAAUAUGAUUCAAACACUCUAUGUAUCAAAAUAAAAUGAAAUAAUUAUACUUCAUGAAAUUUCUUCAUAAUUAAAUACAUUCAAUUAUAAUUAUUAAACGACAAAUUAAAAUCAUAAACAGAUUAAUUUUUUGAAGUAAUAUGGAUCUAGCUUAGCCAUUGGGGUCGAUGAGCCCAACCAAACCGGCUAUCAAAAAACGACCUUUUUUAACCUAUCUUUUUUUUUUCUUCCUUAUGAAAGAUUAUUCUUUAAUCUAGAUUAUUUUUCUAAAAAAAGACUUCAAUUAAGAUUUCAAUAUUUGAGAAUAUUUCAAUGGGUUCAAAAUAAAACUCCAACAUCAGAACCUUGACAUAUACUUACUCUGUUUUAUAUUAUUUGGCUAUUAUUGAUGCCAAUUAGGCGUGGAAGUUUAUAAAUUGUGAUUUCAAUUAUUUCGAAUGUGGAUACUUAAUAUUCCUACUAAGGGUAGCAAAAAAAAAAGGAAAGAAGGAAAUUGUUUUUAAUUUUUAAAAUUAGACAAGCAAAAUGAAAUAUUUAUUUCCUCUUUAAUUUUUAAAAUUGAACGAGUAAAACGAAACAUUUAUUUUUACAAGACACGGGUUCUAAUUUGCCCAUUUAUAAAACCUGUUCAAUUUGCACAUGUCGGAUUCUAAUUAAUGUACUUGUUUAAGGAUAAUUAAGAUGGAUGUUGUUACCUAAUUAUUACUCAUUCGAAUGUUAGGUCAGCUUAGACUACAGUCAGAAAAAAAGGACAAAUAAAUGAUUUUGAAUGUAUUGUAAAAUUUUAUAAUGUAUUUUGGAAUAAACUAUUUCUUAAUAGAUUAAUUGGAAAAAUUUUACCAUGCAUAGGCACAAGUAUGAUGUGGCAGACAAAAAUUGUAUAAGGCCCAUUUAUAUUUUGCCAAGUGGAUCCAUUUCAGAAAAAUGGCCAAAUUCAUCUUUCUCACUCUACCUUUUAACGUUUUCUUUUUCUCUUUCUUACUUUUUUCCUUUAGUUUCUUUUCUAACAAUUCUUCCAAAUUUUAUAUUUCCACUUAAAUAACUUUAUUCAUGAAAAAUAUGAAAUACAAAAAAUCUUGCCGGAUUCAUUCUAUUUCUAACAUUUUGAUAUUAUUUUUUAUCUCAAUAUUGAUUAUUUAUAUUAUUAAAAAUAGUUAUAUAAAAUUAUUUGUUUAUUUACAAAGAUAUAAUUAAUUUCAAUUUUUCUAUUUUAUUAUAACAAUUAAUUAUUUUUGAAAGUAUAAAUAAAAUUUAUAAAUUUACCAAAAAAAAUUAAGGUAUAAAUUAGUAAAACUAUUAUUCUAUUAUGAUUUCUUAAGAAAUUUGUAAAAGAAAAAGUAGAUUAUUAAUAUGAAAAAUAAAGAAGGUACAAAUUUAAUAAGUUAUUUUAUUUUUCUCUCAACAAUUUCAUAAUCCAAAAGCACUUCAAUCCACAAAAUACUCUUCAAUAAGUAAAUAUAACGGAAAGAACAUCAAUGAUCUUGACAAACAAUUGCAUAAGUUUUGAUACUAUUGUCAUGAAAUUCAAAAACGAAAAACAUCCAUAAACAUCAACACAAAUACAUAUUAUUUUCAUCAAUUUAUACGAUAUUUUUAUUCUUAAAUUCAAUCUAGGUGAAAUUUAAUAAAUAUUGUUUAUCUACUUUUCUUAUACAUUUCUUAAGAAAUUAUAAAUAUAAACAAUAGUUUUAAUAAUUUAUUCCUUAAUAGAAUUUUUGCAAUUUUACAAAAUUUAUUUUAUAAUUUAAAAAAAAUUAAUUGUUAGGAUUAAAAAAAUUACUUAUAUCUUGAUUUUAUAAACUAAAAAAUAAAUUUCAAACAACUAUUUAUUAUAAUAGAAUAAUUAACCUAGAAUAGAAAAAAUAAUAUUAAAAUAGUAAACUAAAAACUUAUAUAAUGAUCGUAAAAUUUAUAUUAAAAUUCAAUACGUAAAAAAAGAAAAGCAUAAACUAAUAAGAUCAGCAAAUAAAAUUCUUAAAAGAUUUGAUCAACUUAAUCUUAAAGAAGAAAAAAAUAUUAAAAAGAUUAAAACACAAUAUAUUGAACAAGGGGCAUAAAACCAAAAAAAUGACAAAAGGGACUUAAAAAUGUCCCCUUUAUUAGCUUGGCAAAUGGGUCGCAUCCAUAUCCAUUUGUCAAUCAAAUAAUGCCUCAUACAAGUAUGACAUGGCGUGCCUCAUAUAUAAUAAAUUUUUUGGAUCAAUUGUAUAGCAAAGAACUAAAACUACCAGGAAAAAAAAAUCAUGAUGUGAAAGGUUGAUUUAGACGUGUUCACAUUGAACUUUAUUUGAUUCAUUUGUUAACCACUGAUUCUAUUUUUAACUUCUCGAUUCAAUCUAUUCAUUUGACGCCCAUAGAAUUUUUAGUAGGCCUAUCAAUUUAAAAUUGCUUGAAGUUGUUCUAUCUUGUUGGCUGUGUUUUGAUGACUUAUAACAUGAGAUAAAAACCCAGCUCUAAUUAGUGUGUCGACUUCAGAACUGAUAAAACUCAAUAUUGAGCAUGAAGAUCCACCAUUAAUGGUGGAUUCUAGCACAUACUGAUUCAGUCAGUUAGAGAGGAUCAAUUGAGAAGAUAGACUUUUCUCAUUUCUGAAUGAUAAAAUCAACUGUAAACUGCAUACAAUGUGUCACAUUUAUACAACUUGAUAGAAUCUAGAAAGUUCCUAAUCAAAGCAUAAACGGAAAUCUAACUAACUAACAAAAUCUGUUAACUAACUAACUCUGUGAAACUUUACUGUUAAUUGACUAACUCUGUGAAGUUAACUGUUAACUAACUAACAUAAUUAAUCUCAACACCCCCCCUCAAGUUGGAAGUGAGGUAAUCACAGCCAACUUGUUCAGCAUAGCAGUAUGUUUGAUUCCAGUUAAGGCUUUUGUGAGAAUGUCGGCCAACUGAUCACAUGUGUUGAUGUGAUAAAGUGAAAUUAAGCCUUCUUGGAGCUUGGAUCUGACAAAAUGGCAAUCCACUUCAAUGUGUUUGGUCCUCUCGUGGAACACGGGUUUCUUGGCAAUAUGGAGAGCAGCCUGGCUAUCACAAUACACAGGGGAAGGACCAAUGGGAGGAACAGUUAACUCAGUAAACAAACGAUGCAGCCAAACUAGUUCGCCAACCACUUUUCUUAGUGACCUGUACUCAGCUUCUGCUGAUGACAAUGAAAUGGUGUCCUGUUUCUUGGAUUUCCAGCUGAUAGGACUGGUGCCCAGUAAAACAAUAUAGCCACUAACAGACCUCCUAGAAUCAGGGCAAGACGCCCAAUCAGAAUCACAGAAAGCCUGUAUACCAAAAUCAGGAGAAGCAGACAUAAAAAUACCCAAAGUAGGGUCUUUCUGAAGAUAUCUUAACAUAUGAAAUGCAGCUUUGAGGUGAGGUUCCCUUGGGUCUUGCAUGUAUUGACUCAAGUGUUGUACCCCAUAGGUGAUAUCAAGUCUAGUAUGAGUAAGAAAAUUUAACUUUCCAACCAAUUUUCUAUACAAAGUGGGAUCAGGCAAAGGUUCUCCUUCAUGAGCUUUGAGUUUAACGGUAGGAUCCAGGGGAGAUGUUACAGGAGUGAGACCAUUAACAUGAAAUUCUUUAAGGAGGUCCUGAACAAAUUUCCUUUGGGAUAUGAGUAUUCCAUCAUUCUUGUACAGAAUUUCUAAUCCUAGAAAAUAGUGCAGCUUACCAAGGUCCUUGAUUUUGAACUGAUCAUUGAGGAAACUUUUGAGACUAGUGAUUUCCUCAGUAUCUGUUCCUGUUAUAAGAAUGUCAUCCACAUAGACCCCCAGGAAAACAGUAGAGUGCCCUUUUUUUCUAAAAAAUAAAGAGUAAUCAUGUAGUGAAUGAGUAUUUUCUUGGCAAUAUGGAGAGCAGCCUGGCUAUCACAAUACACAGGGGAAGGACCAAUGGGAGGAACAGUUAACUCAGUAAACAAACGAUGCAGCCAAACUAGUUCGCCAACCACUUUUCUUAGUGACCUGUACUCAGCUUCUGCUGAUGACAAUGAAAUGGUGUCCUGUUUCUUGGAUUUCCAGCUGAUAGGACUGGUGCCCAGUAAAACAAUAUAGCCACUAACAGACCUCCUAGAAUCAGGGCAAGACGCCCAAUCAGAAUCACAGAAAGCCUGUAUACCAAAAUCAGGAGAAGCAGACAUAAAAAUACCCAAAGUAGGGUCUUUCUGAAGAUAUCUUAACAUAUGAAAUGCAGCUUUGAGGUGAGGUUCCCUUGGGUCUUGCAUGUAUUGACUCAAGUGUUGUACCCCAUAGGUGAUAUCAAGUCUAGUAUGAGUAAGAAAAUUUAACUUUCCAACCAAUUUUCUAUACAAAGUGGGAUCAGGCAAAGGUUCUCCUUCAUGAGCUUUGAGUUUAACGGUAGGAUCCAGGGGAGAUGUUACAGGAGUGAGACCAUUAACAUGAAAUUCUUUAAGGAGGUCCUGAACAAAUUUCCUUUGGGAUAUGAGUAUUCCAUCAUUCUUGUACAGAAUUUCUAAUCCUAGAAAAUAGUGCAGCUUACCAAGGUCCUUGAUUUUGAACUGAUCAUUGAGGAAAUUUUUUAGACUAGUGAUUUCCUCAGUAUUUGUUCCUGUUAUAAGAAUGUCAUCCACAUAGACCCCCAGGAAAACAGUAGAGUGCCCUUUUUUUCUAAACAAUAAAGAGUAAUCAUGUAGUGAAUGAGUAUAACCCCUUGAGUUGAGAGCUGCAGUCAAUUUCUCAUACCAUUGUCGACUUGCUUGUUUCAAUCCAUAGAGUGACUUAUUGAGCUUGCAAACCAAACCUGUAUGUGGCACAUCAAGACCUGGAGGUACAUCCAUAUAGACUUCCUCAUUUAAAUCUCCAUGGAGGAAAGCAUUAUUCACAUCAAGUUGGUAUAUGCUCCACUGUUUCUUAGCAGCAAUGGCAAUCAAAACCCGUACAGUUGUCAUCUUAACGACUGGAGAGAAUGUUUCUGUAUAAUCUAUGCCAUGAUGUUGAGUGUACCCUUUUACCACUAGCCUUGCCUUAUACCUUUCUACACUUCCAUCAGCCUUAUGCUUAACUUUAUAAACCCACCUACAACCAACAGAUUUCUUACCAAUAGGCAGAGGCAUGAGAGACCAAGUGUUAUUAUCAUGCAGAGCAGUAAACUCUUGGGUCAUAGCUGUUUGCCAAGCAGGAUCAAGAGCUGCCUCUUCAUAACUGGAUGGCUCACAAUCAUUAGUGAUAUUUAAAGCAAAAACCUGACUGUCAGGAUCUAGAUCUUCAGGAGAUAUGUGGUGAUAUAGAGAAAAACAGGCAGUUAGGGAAGAAGGAUUUAAUGUGGAUUGUUUUGUGUUAGGUGCAGUGCAAACAUAAUCAGAUAGAUAUGAAGGCAAUUUAUGUGCUCGAUUAGAUUUUCUGGUUUCAACAUUGUGUUGUUGGACCGGUUGUGAAGGUGAAAGUGUGGUAGGUUGAGAAGAUGUGGGAGUGUCAAUGAGAGAAUGGGAAGAUGAACAUGGAGGUUCAGGAGACAUUGGAGGAUUUGUGUUACAUGACAUGCUUUGAUCACACUGGACAGGAGAAUUAGAUGAGGAGUAAGAAGCGGGGUCAACAAAAAAUGGAGAUUGAAUAGGAGAGGAAGGAAAAGAAGUAGGAUCUGCAGAUAAAGCAAAAGGGAAAAUUGUUUCAUGAAAGGUCACAUCUCUAGAGACAUACAACUUCUUAGUGGCCAGACUCAUUACCUUGUAUCCUUUUGUGCCAAAGGGGUAUCCAACAAAAACAUGUGGAGAUGUCCUAGGGUCGAACUUAGAUCUUUGUGAUUUAGGGAUGGUUGGGUAACAUAGGCAUCCAAAACUUCUCAGGUGUGAGUAAAGAGGCUUCUGGUUAUAUAACAACUCAUAAGGGCAUUUAUUUUUAAGGGGUGUUGAAGGCAGUCGAUUGAUGAUGUAUGUAGCAGCUAAUAUACACUCACCCCAAUAUUUUGUUGGUAAUUUGGACUGAAAAAGAAGUGCCCUGGCAGUUUCAAGUAUGUAUUUGUGUUUUCUUUCCACCACACCAUUUUGUUGAGGUGUGUAUGGACAGGAUUUUUGGUGAUGAAUGCCUUUGGAUUGGAAGAAUAGGAUGGACUCAGUAUUGGUGAACUCAAGACCAUUGUCUGAUCUGAUUACCUUUAUGGUGGUUUUGAAUUGGUUCUCAACCAUAUUGGUGAAGGCUUUAAUAACAUGUAGAGCAUUGCUUUUGUGACUGAGUAGGUGUGUCCAAGUUGACCUACUGUAGUCAUCUACAAAGGUAAUAAAGAAUCUAAAUUUAUCGUGUGUGGGUAUUUGGUAUGGUCCCCACAAAUCAACAUGCACUAAUUCAAAUAUAGUAGAGCUUCUGUGAAUACUUGGCUGAAAAGGUAGUUUGGUUUGUCUUGCCAUAGGACAAAUGGGACAAAGGAAAGGUUGUUUGGGAGAGAAGUCCACAGGGAUUGAUGGUAUACCUUUCAUUUUUACAAAAGGAACAUGGCCGAGUCUAUAAUGCCACAAGAGGUCUGUACUGUCAGGCUUUAAUAAACUAGAACCAACACUCACAUCAGCUGAAACAACAUUGUUCUUAUUAUCAGAUAAGGAGUUCAAUACAUUUUGAUGAAGUGAACAAGAAUGGGAAUUACAUUUGCAACACAUUUUAUCAUGUCUAUGAAGGGAAAAACAAGAAACAGGAUCCUUUGUUGAGGUAGGAUGAUUACUCUUUUGGAGACAGUUGGAGCACAAGAGAUACAAGCCAUCAUGCACUUUACCAACUUCCAGAGGCCUCUUCAGUGAAGGGGCCUGCAGAAGACAAGAGGUGUUAGUGAAAAAACAAUACACUUGAGGUGCACUGUUAGAGAGUUGACUGAAAUCAAGUUAUAUUGGAAAGAAGGGAUGAACAAAACAUUGUACAGUGUGAUCUGUGGUGUCAGCUGCACAUUUCCAACUUCUGUGACCUUAACCUUGUAUCCAUUAGGUAGUCUAACUAAUAAGGGAUAUGGUAGUGUAAACACAUUUGUGAGGUGAUGCUUGAUAAAGGUCAUAUGGUGUGAUGCUCCUGAAUCUAUAAUCCACAGGUCAGGUUUUGUUUUAUAACAUUCACAUGAGAGUUUGUCAAAAGUUACAGAAGAGGUACAAGCAGUGAUACCUGCAAAGUUCACCGCUGAAUUAGUCAUAUUGCCAGAGUUCUCUGUUGUAUUGAGUGUUUGAAACUGAUGGAGUAGAUAAGCAAGUUGAUCACAUUGUUCCUUAGAGAUGCCAAUAUUUGAGCUGUCUUGAUUGUUGACUUGAUUUUCAGAUCCAUUCCCCUGUUCCAUAUUGAGACCACAAGAUAAUCCUGCAGAGUUAGCUACCACACCUUUACCUUUGUUGUUGUACCUGUAACCAUUAUUUGCUUGCCCAUAAUUUUGUUGCCUGUGGGAUUGAUUGUAAUCUGGUUGUCCAUAGUUCUGUGGUCUUUGAGAUCUAUUGUUCCCAUUGUAGGAAUUCUGUGGGUAUCCAUGUAGCUUAUAACAUUUUUCUUUGAUGUGACCUGGUCUCUUACAGUGAUCACAGAAAGGUCUGCCUCUGUGAGAAGAAGAAGAAGAGUAAUUGGGUUUGAAAGCCCUACUUCCUGAAGUGCCUGAAGUAUUAGCAGCAAAAAUGCCUCCUGACGAUGUGCCUGAAGUACUAGCAUGAAGAGAACUGGAUUCAGCAAACAAUUGAUUAUUUGGCUUAAACUCUCGUUGUUUCUCUUCCUGAAUCAAUAGGGCGAAAGCUUGUGCCAUUGAUGGAAGAGGAUUCAUCAUUAAUAUGUUUCCUCUGAUUAUUGUGUAAACUUCGUUUAAUCCCAUGAGAAAUUGAAUUAACCUCCUAUCCUGUUCGACUUUGUGCAUAAGAUCCUUUGCUCCACAAGUACAUGCACAUUUGCAGUGACUCUUUAUGCAUAAACUGCUCAAUUCCUCCCAAAGUUUCUUCAUCCUAGUGUAGUAAGUUGUGAUAUCCAAAACGCCUUGAACGAGAUCAUUGAUUUCCUUUUGAAUCUGAUAUAACUUGGCACCAUUAGUCUGAUCAUAACGAUCUUCCAAAUCAUUCCAUAGUUCCAAAGCAUUGUCUACGUAUUCGACACUAUCAGCAAUAUCUCUGCUUACCUAAGUAUACCUCUUCUCCAGGAUCGAUAUCCAAUCCCAUCGAAAGGAACUGGUACAAGAGAAGCACCUGGACUAUCAGAUGGAUGUAGGUACAAAACACUACCUACUUCAAUCGUUUUAGUAACCCCUAGAUCAGUGACUUCCACCAUUGUAACAGAUCAGGAAAAAAAAAUUGAAGAAGCGAACAGUGAAGAAGGCGACGAACAGCAACGAGAGAGAGAAAAAAAAAAAAUUUGAUGCGAUCGGAGGAACCUGAAACAACUGGAGCAGCGAUUCUUCAACAAAGAGAUGAGAAAAUCAGGGAUGAUCGAUUCCUUGCUUUGAUACCAUGAUAAAACUCAAUAUUGAGCAUGAAGAUCCACCAUUAAUGGUGGAUUCUAGCACAUACUGAUUCAGUCAGUUAGAGAGGAUCAAUUGAGAAGAUAGACUUUUCUCAUUUCUGAAUGAUAAAAUCAACUGUAAACUGCAUACAAUGUGUCACAUUUAUACAACUUGAUAGAAUCUAGAAAGUUCCUAAUCAAAGCAUAAACGGAAAUCUAACUAACUAACAAAAUCUGUUAACUAACUAACUCUGUGAAACUUUACUGUUAAUUGACUAACUCUGUGAAGUUAACUGUUAACUAACUAACAUAAUUAAUCUCAACAAGAACAUCUUGUAAUUUUAAAUAAAUUAAUUUAAAAAAUUCUCACUUGAGAACUAUUUAUUUGCACUAAGGGUGUGCAUUCGAUUUUUCGGUUUGGUUUUACACUAUUCGAUUUGGAUUUUCGGUUUUGUAAAAGUGUAACCCAAUCCGAUCAAAAAUAAAUUUGGUUUGGUUUGGUUUUCCUCUAUUCGGUUUGGUUAUUCGGUUAUGUCAAUAAUUAAUAACAUAUAUAACCUAUAACCAAAGUAAUAAUAUUUAAUCCCUUAAAUAUUCUUUCUAAUAUAAAUCAUAAGUAAAACUUAAAACACAAUACUUAUAAGUAUACCUAUUAUAGAUGUUCAAGCAUAAAAUAUAAAUGUAAUCAUCGUGAAAGGCAAUAACCAAAAAGGGACAAAAGUGGUUAACUCCAACUUAAUUCUAAAACUAAACAUUAUAUAUAUAUAUAAUUCGGUUUUUUGGUUUUUAUUUUUUAAAAUCCGAAACCAAACCAAAAAACCAAACAAAGUAAUUUAUUAAUCCAAAACCAAUCCAAAANNNNNNNNNNNNNNNNNNNNNNNNNNNNNNNNNNNNNNNNNNNNNNNNNNNNNNNNNNNNNNNNNNNNNNNNNNNNNNNNNNNNNNNNNNNNNNNNNNNNNNNNNNNNNNNNNNNNNNNNNNNNNNNNNNNNNNNNNNNNNNNNNNNNNNNNNNNNNNNNNNNNNNNNNNNNNNNNNNNNNNNNNNNNNNNNNNNNNNNNNNNNNNNNNNNNNNNNNNNNNNNNNNNNNNNNNNNNNNNNNNNNNNNNNNNNNNNNNNNNNNNNNNNNNNNNNNNNNNNNNNNNNNNNNNNNNNNNNNNNNNNNNNNNNNNNNNNNNNNNNNNNNNNNNNNNNNNNNNNNNNNNNNNNNNNNNNNNNNNNNNNNNNNNNNNNNNNNNNNNNNNNNNNNNNNNNNNNNNNNNNNNNNNNNNNNNNNNNNNNNNNNNNNNNNNNNNNNNNNNNNNNNNNNNNNNNNNNNNNNNNNNNNNNNNNNNNNNNNNNNNNNNNNNNNNNNNNNNNNNNNNNNNNNNNNNNNNNNNNNNNNNNNNNNNNNNNNNNNNNNNNNNNNNNNNNNNNNNNNNNNNNNNNNNNNNNNNNNNNNNNNNNNNNNNNNNNNNNNNNNNNNNNNNNNNNNNNNNNNNNNNNNNNNNNNNNNNNNNNNNNNNNNNNNNNNNNNNNNNNNNNNNNNNNNNNNNNNNNNNNNNNNNNNNNNNNNNNNNNNNNNNNNNNNNNNNNNNNNNNNNNNNNNNNNNNNNNNNNNNNNNNNNNNNNNNNNNNNNNNNNNNNNNNNNNNNNNNNNNNNNNNNNNNNNNNNNNNNNNNNNNNNNNNNNNNNNNNNNNNNNNNNNNNNNNNNNNNNNNNNNNNNNNNNNNNNNNNNNNNNNNNNNNNNNNNNNNNNNNNNNNNNNNNNNNNNNNNNNNUUCGGUUUGGUUAUUCGGUUAUGUCAAUAAUUAAUAACAUAUAUAACCUAUAACCAAAGUAAUAAUAUUUAAUCCCUUAAAUAUUCUUUCUAAUAUAAAUCAUAAGUAAAACUUAAAACGCAAUACUUAUAAGUAUACCUAUUAUAGAUGUAAUUCAAACAUAAAAUAUAAACGUAAUCAUCAUGAAAGACAAUAACCAAAAAGGGACAAAAGUGGUUAACUCUAACUUAAUUCUAAACCUAAUUUUUUCGGUUUUUAUUUUUUAAAAUCCGAAACCAAACCAAAAACCCAAAUAAAGUAAUUUAUUAAUCCAAAACCAAUCCGAAAAUCCAAAAAACCAAUCUAAAUAAAAAUUCGGUUUGAAUUGAUUUAGUUAUUCGGUUUAAUCCGAAUAGUACACACCCCUAAUUUGCACAGUUAUUGUGGCAUUUAUCUUUUAUAUAUUUCGAAUUAGACAUGUAAGUCAAGUUAUCGACUAAAAAAAACAACAAAUUUGGGUCACUGUUUGUCACUCUUUGACCAAAUGUUGAAAGUUUACACGACUAAAAUAAUAUAAAUAUAUUAUUAUUUCAUAUAUUAAGGUUUAAGGAACACUAUUUUGUGUACACUAAGCAAACAUGUGUGCCAACUUGCCAACGAGUGAAAUCCAUUAUAAAUAUUUUUCUCACGUUACAACAGCAGAUAUCAACACCAAAAAUAUGUAAAAAAAAACACAAGAUCCAUAAGGGAAUAAUAUUUUUAAAAAUCUAAAUUGUAAGUGGGAAUGAAUAAUAAAUAUAAUAACAAUUCUCGUCAUUUUAGGGCAUAAUAAUUUUUAGAAUAGGAAUAUAUUAAAGGAAUCCACAUAACUAAAACACCAUAUAAUAUCCAUUAGGAUAGAGUGAGACCACCCUUGAACUUUCCACUUCUUUUGGUUUCCCACAUUAUUAAUCCAGUACCUAUUUUGAAGUCUGAUUAAUUCAGAUUCGCACGAAAAAGCUUUACUUUGGCAGUGAGCUUAUUUAAUCUACAUUCACACUAAAAAGCUUUACUUUGCUAGGUAAAUCUUUCUCUAUCUAAUCGAUUUCAUUUUCCAUUGCUCAAAACCCGAAAAAUCUGAUUAAAAAUAAAGAGUACCGACUACUCCAUUACCACCUUUGGUGGUAUGUAGUCUGUCAACUCAUCUUCUGGGAAUGGAUAACUCAUACUAUAAUAAAUUAAUAAUUCAUCACAUUCAUAUUGGACUCUCCUGCCCAACUUGCAAUUAUUUUUAUUUAUUUUAGAAAUUGCUCGUGACCAUUCCUUGGACCCUAUUCAAUGCGCGUUCUGUACACAAAUUUGUCAUUCUUGUUGUUACAUUAUCAUCUUUCCUUCUUUUCAAUUUAUUUUUCAUUCAUCAUUUUUGGUUUGUUUAUUAGAGUAAUGAUUCUCUUCAUUCAUGACUUUUAAGUACCUGCCCACUAACACACUAGCACGAAAAAAAAAGUGACUAUUGAAAGUAUUUGAAACGUGCACCCAUGGGUGUAGCCUAAUGGUCAGUAAAGUGGUUGAGAGCCCUUUAGGUCUCAGGUUCAAAUCUCAGCGGAGACAAAAAACACUAGGUAAUCUUUCCAUCUAUUCUAACCUUGGUGGGCAUGGUUACGUGGUACCUGUUGCUAGUGGGAGGUGGCAGGUAUCCCAUGGAACUAGUCGAGGUGCGUGAAAGCUGGCAUAGACAUCACCGUAAUAAAAAGAAGUAUUUGAAACCUAUACAAAACCAUUAGUUACAGCCUGUUGGCACUUUAUCAAGUACAUGGUUCAUCUAACAAUUUAAGUUGUAUCAAAGUGAAGUUACCCCUUUCCUCACAAUUCUAUCUAGCUUGCCCAACUCUGCUCUUGCUUCAGAAACCAAUUUCCCUUAUAAUAAAAAAAUAACAAACUGAACUUAACUUCUAGGAUACUUCAGUGAUCUGUCCAUGUGCUACUUCUAGAACAGCCGGAAAAAAAAAACAGUUGGCUCAAUGUAAUGUGAAUGCACAACUUGAGUUUACUAUCUAUUAGGUGGUCAGAAAGAUUUGACAUUUUUUAUGUACUCCUAGGUUUCGAGUAGGAGACGAAAUUCUUGUUGUCUUUUCUUGUGUGGGGGUACAUACAACUUGUUCUUUAACACGGAGCAUCCUAGAUUAGAGGCAUGCUUGGUAUUUUGUAACAAAUUCAUAGAAUGCAAGUCAUUUUCCUUGGUGUGAAUGGAUGACUAGUUGACUGCCACUGAAAGCAGUGAUUCACUGUACGAUUCACUAAGAAAUGUGUAUAAAGGCUUCAUUGUCAGCAUAAGUUUUUUCAGUGAGUGAAGCUUCUUUCUUUUGAAACAAUGAUGUCAAAGACAGUUGUAUAUGCAUUAGCCAUAUUUUCUAUUACCUUUCUCAUACCUCUGUCAUCUGGGCAACAUCCAAGCUUUGAAGUUGAAGUUGCUGCUUUGAAAGCUUUCAAGAGCUCAAUCUCUGACGACCCUUUCGGUGCACUUGUGGAUUGGACGGAUGCAAAUCACCAUUGCAACUGGUCUGGAAUCAUAUGUGAUCCUUCUUCAAGCCAUGUCAUCAACAUUUCGCUUAUUGAGACGCAGCUCAAAGGCGAAAUUUCUCCGUUUCUAGGAAACCUCUCCAAACUCCAGGUUCUUGAUCUAACUUUGAAUUCAUUUACUGGAAAUAUCCCACCCCAGCUGGGGUAUUGCACAGACCUGGUUGAGCUCGUUUUUUACCAAAACUCUCUUUUUGGUGAAAUUCCUGCCGAGCUGGGAAACCUAAAAAAACUGCAGUAUAUAGAUUUUGGAAAUAACUUUCUAAAUGGGAGUAUACCUGAUAGUAUAUGCAACUGCACUGAAUUGUCGUUAGUAGGCUUCAUCAACAACAAUCUCACAGGCAAAUUACCGUCUGAAAUUGGUAAGUUGGCCAAUCUUCAGUUGUUUGUAGCUUAUACAAACAAUUUGGUUGGUUCUAUUCCUACCUCCAUUGGAAUGCUUACAGCUUUGCAAACCCUUGAUCUGAGCGAAAACCAGUUAUCUGGACCUAUACCAUCAGCAAUUGGCAACUUGUCAAGUUUAGGAAUUCUUCAGUUACAUCUCAACUCUCUUUCUGGGAAAAUCCCAUCUGAACUUGGCCUCUGUAUCAAUCUUUUUACCUUGAACAUGUAUACUAAUCAAUUUACUGGAAGCAUACCUCCUGAGCUUGGAAAUUUAGAAAACUUGCAAGUGCUCAGAUUGCAUAACAAUAAGUUGAACUCCAGUAUACCUGCCUCAAUAUUCCACCUGAAGUCAUUAACUCAUUUAGGACUCUCACAGAAUGAACUAACUGGUAAUAUUCCUCCCGAGUUGGGAUCUUUAACGUCACUAGAAGUGCUUACCCUUCACUCAAAUAGGUUAUCGGGGGAGAUCCCAUCAACUAUAACAAACCUGGCAAACUUGACAUAUUUGUCUUUGGGCUUUAAUUUAUUGACUGGAUCACUUCCAUCGGAAUUUGGGUUACUCUAUAAUCUGAAAAAUCUAACUGCAAAUGAUAACCUCCUGGAAGGAUCUAUUCCAUCGAGCAUAACAAAUUGUUCUCAUCUUCUUGUUUUAACCCUCGCUUAUAAUAGAAUAGCGGGGAAAAUACCAAAUGGGUUGGGGCAAUUGUCCAAUCUUACAUUUUUGUCUUUGGGAUCAAACAAAAUGAUGGGGGAGAUUCCUGAUGAUCUCUUCAACUGUUCAAUGCUUGAAAUUCUAGAUCUGAGUGAUAACAAUUUCAGCGGGAAACUCAAAUCAAUGAUUGGCAGACUCUCUAAACUUCGAGUUUUAAGAGCUCGUACUAAUUCAUUUCUUGGGCCAAUCCCACCAGAGAUUGGUAAACUGAGUCAACUCGUGGAUUUAGUGCUUCACGAAAACAGUUUCUCAGGUGCGAUACCACCAGAAAUUUCAAUGCUUUCAAACCUUCAGGGUCUUUUGCUAUCUGACAACAAGCUGGAAGGUGAACUUCCUGUGCAGCUUUUUGAGCUCAAACAGCUCAAUGAACUCCGGCUGAAGAACAAUAAUUUCUUUGGUCCACUACCGCAACAUAUAUCCAAACUAGAAUCACUGUCGCUCAUGGAUCUGAGUGGAAAUAAGCUUAAUGGCACAAUCCCAGAGAGCAUGGCGAGCCUCCGCAGAUUGAUGACCGUAGAUCUUUCACACAACCUUCUUACCGGAACUAUUCCCAGAGCAGUACUUGCCAGCAUGAGAAGUAUGCAACUUUACUUGAACGUUUCCAGCAAUUUGUUGCACGGAGAGAUCCCAGAUGAGAUAGGCGUGUUAGAAAUGGUUCAAGAGAUUGACAUGUCAAAUAAUAAUCUGUCAGGCAGCAUUCCCAGAUCCCUAGAACGCUGCAAAAACUUAUUUUCACUGGACCUAUCAGGAAACAUGCUCUCUGGUCCUGCUCCAGGUGAAAUUUUCACCAAAUUAAGAGAGCUUGUGUUCUUGAACCUCUCAAGGAACAGAUUAGAAGGUAGUCUUCCUGAAAUAGCAGGAUUAUCACAUCUUCGCUCUCUUGAUGUUUCACAAAACAAGUUCAAUGGAAUCAUUCCCGAGAGAUUUGCCAAUAUGACUGCAUUGAAAUAUCUCAACCUUUCUUUCAACCAACUUGAAGGUCACAUUCCAAAGGGGGGUGUAUUCAACAAUAUAAGGUCGGAGGAUUUACUGGGAAAUCCAUCUCUAUGUGGAACAAAGUUUCUCAGUCCAUGCAACAUAAAAAGAAACCGAACAAGUUCUCAUGGUUUUUCCAAGAAAACCUGGAUCAUACUUGCAGCACUUGGAUCUGUUUUCAGUCUCAUUCUUCUUGUCCUGGGAAUAAUUUUAUUUCAUCGGUACAUGAAGAAGAAGAAAAAAGUGAAUGACGCGGAGGAUACAAAUCCAAAGUAUACCGCAGCAUUGAGCCUCCAGAGAUUUUAUCAAAAGGAUUUGGAACAUGCUACCAAUAAUUUCAGUCCGGAAAACAUUAUUGGAGCCAGCAGUUUAAGUACUGUGUACAAAGGUACACUGGAAGAUGGGAAGAUUGUAGCAGUUAAGAAGCUGAAUCACCAGUUCUCAGCAGAAUCUGGUAAAUGCUUUGAUAGGGAAGUCAAGACUCUGAGCCAACUCAGACACAGGAACCUAGUUAAGGUGCUAGGUUACGCUUGGGAAAGCAAGAAGCUAAGGGCUUUAGUUUUAGAAUACAUGGAGAAUGGGAACUUGGACAACAUGAUUUAUGGUCAAGUGGAGGAUGACUGGACGUUGUCCAAUAGGAUUGAUAUUUUAGUUUCAGUUGCAAGUGGACUGUCAUACCUGCAUUCAGGCUAUGAUUUUCCAAUAGUGCACUGCGACAUGAAGCCUUCAAAUAUUCUUCUGGAUAAAAAUAUGGAAGCACAUGUGAGUGACUUUGGGACAGCUAGGAUGUUGGGUAUUCAUCUCCAGGAUGGGAGCAGCAUAUCAUCAGCAUCCGCAUUUGAAGGAACUAUUGGUUACAUGGCGCCAGGUAAUAAUUCUUACAACUUCUUGACCCACACUUUACUAACUAGAUUAUGUGUUACAAUAGCAUGAAUACAAGAUGUCUACAAUGUAAACGAGCUUAUAUGGGUACCACAAAUAAUAUUUUGUCAAUGGUGAAUGUUUCAAAUACAUUCCAUUUUAGCAUCAUUCAGUAGUAACAUCACUUCUGUCAAUCACAAUAUGCAGCACAGCAGAUUUUUUUUUCCUUUCAAUCACAAAAUACUGAUUUAACUUUUAUGUGGAAGAAUAGACAAGCAAGUAAAUGAUGCAAUGUUUAGAACAUAUAAUCUGUAAAGUAUUAUUUUAAAUGAUAAUGUCAGUUUUAAUCUAUCCAAAAAUCUAGCGCCAGCUUUUACAUGCUCCUAAUUUAAUUUGAGACCUCACUUACAUGAAAUGUUAUCUAUGCAACAGAGUUUGCAUAUAUGAGGAAAGUGACCACAAAAGUAGAUGUAUUCAGCUUUGGUGUCAUUGUGAUGGAGAUCAUUACAAAAAGAAGGCCAACAAGUCUUACCGGAGCAGAUGAAUUACCAAUGACUUUGCAUCAAAUUGUUCAGAAUGCCCUUGCGAAUGGCAUAAACAAGCUAGUUCAGAUUGUGGAUCCUAAUCUAGCUUCAUAUGUCUCCAAGAAACAGGAUGUACUAGAGGGACUUCUUAACUUGGCUUUGUCCUGCACCUCUGCUGAUCCUGAAGAUAGACCUGACAUGGAACAAGUUCUGUCUUCUCUUUCAAAGCUAAGUAAGAUGGACUGCAUGCCUUCACAUUUGGUAAAAGAUUAAAUUUGAUGUAGAAGAAGCUGGAAUAUCAUCACUCUUAAAGUGAACCACCACCAAGUUUCUCAUGGGGCUAAUGGAACUAGUUCAUAACUUAAAAUGUAUUUACUAUUUAAAUAAAUUUUCCGUAUUUCAAGCCAUAAAUGAUCUCUCGAGUAUUCCUGCUUUACUAGAGAGAUAUAAUGGAACUGUCCCGUCAGAUUAUUUUGAAGUUGACAUGCAUCAUGAAAAUGAACAAAAUAUUCAACAAUACUUCACAUUAAUUACAACUAAGGAGCAAAAAGCUAGAUCUUUACGAAGUUCUCUAGUGACAUGUAAUAGAGUUAGUGAGCAAGCAGUUGAUUGCAAACCAAAGUGCUAAUGUAGUCUGUCACUAAAGAUUAUCUACAGCAAAUGAGUACACUUACGAACACACAUAUAUAGAAGUGAAACUGAGGAAAACUCAAUAAGGGCUUUAAUAAGCCUACAAUCAUCCAUCAUAUUUUACCUUGAAAUAUGCAUUCUAGAAAUUUAUUUACUAGAGAGGGAACACGCAACCUCAUCUAUUGGUGGAUCAUUAUGCAAGAACUCGUCAAUGGUAGAGGGAAACUCAAAGCUUCCAACACCAUCAAAAACCUCUGAAUGAAUAAGAGAAGCUUUGCCUAAAAGCAGAUGAGCUAACCUAAAUGAUUCUCUUCUCUCUCCAUUACUCCUAUCCAGAAAAUGCUCAAUCCAACCUUCUAACCUCUCCACUUCUUUUUCACUUUUUGGCCCUUUAACCCCAACAAUGUUUCCAUAAAAUGCAUCAUCACAGCCCAAAUCCACUUCCACACUUUUGGUUCCUCCCCUUUUACUGUCCGAUAUACCCAAUAGCUGCAUCAACAGUUCAAUGUCAUCAACCCCAUCACCACCAGUUUCAACUGUACCAACUCUUUCUUGAACUUGUGUAGGGUUUAUCUGAGGUGGGGUUUCUUGGGCAAGUGGGGAAUUAGAGAGAAAUUGAAGUGGGGUUUCACUUUCUUUGAGGUUUGUGUAGCUGGUGAUGGAGUCAACAGGGGUCUCACUCUCAUCACAGUUAAGGUAUAAUGGGCUGAUCAUAGACUGGGUCGGUGUGUCGACGGCUUCUUGUUGUGUUGGUUCAUCAAGUUUCAAUCUUUUCUCCAAUUGUUUGAGAGAAGAGAAGAAAUUUGAGUGUGGAGAAGGUCUUUGCAUGUUUGGGAGGAAAUCAGAAUGAAUGAUUUGGGGGUUUAGGGUUUUAGCUGUGAGUAAAGAAGGGAUUAAGAAAAAAGAGCGCCAAUUGGUGAGAAAAAACAGUUGAAUAAACGGCUGAAUAGCUACAAUAUUGCUCUACGUCUCCGUGAGUUGUGGUGAAAUAGUUGAAUUCGAGCCCCCAAUGAAAUAAAUCUGUUUGCAAGCAUUGCCCCUGCUGUAUUAGCAGGCUCUAAUAUUAGAGUUGAUAAUUUCCUUAUUAUUUAUUUUAUAACUAGUAAAAUUAUUCGCGUUUUGUGCGGGAAUUUAAUAUCACAAAAUUUAUAAAAUAAUAUUUAAAACAUAUCAGUCAUUAAAAAAAAAUCACUAUAUUAUCUUAUAUACAAGAUUACGUAGUAACGAACAUUAAUAAUGUAAGGGAAAAUGAUAAUUAUAACAUUUUAUCAUUUAUCCUUCAAUCAAUCAUCCUUUUGCCUCCGGGAAGUGUUACUAUUUGAUAUUUUUGGAAAAUUAAAUGAACAUCAAUAUGAGAUAUUAAAUUUUAAUUGUGCAGAAGAAGAAGAAAUUCAAAAUUUCCGUUGUUUUAAAAUGAGAAAAAAUCCCUCUAUUCAUAGACAACAAAUGGUAGUGUGAACAAAUACUUAUUGUGCCUUAUCGAAAAUGUCACAACUCUUUGGAAAAGUUACAACCCUUCGGAAAGAUCACAACCUUUCAUAAAAAUAACAUUUUUUCAUAAAAGUCGCAACUCUUUAUAAAAGUCACAAUUUUUCACAGAAGACACAUUUUUUCAUGAAAGUGGAGGGCUAUUUUGAAAAUAAAUAAAUUUAAAAGGAAAUUCUAACUUGUGGUGGCGCCACGUAGGCGGACCUAUGGUUAUAUAUAUCGAAGGAAUUAGUUUUCUCAAAUUUAUUUUUGGAGGACAAUAAAGGAUUGAAUAACAUAUGUUGUGAUUUGUGAACAUGGAUAGUCCAAAUAGUGCUUAUGGUUAUGGACAAGUAGUCCAGCCAAACUGUUGGGCCUGUGGUACGAAACUAAAGGGACAAUUAAUCAAAAUGGCCAAUUGGUGAUAAUUCUCUCUUCUAGCAUCUUCAAAGCUCAAAUUUUAAAAUUAAUAUGCCGCAAACGUGGAUCACUUUGAAUAAAUAGUAUACCAAAAGACUCAAAACAUUGAGAUAAAUUCAUAUCUAAAAUUUGAGAUUGUUUAGAGGAAAUUUGAAAUGGUUGAGAUUGAGAAAAUAAUUGGUCUACAAUAUAUACUUCAUUGUCUCAACAAUGUAUAUAGAUGUAUAUAUCUCUCUCUAAUAUAUAGUUAUACAUCAUUCAUACAUGAGUAUACACUAUUUAUACAAUAUCGAUACAUUACAUAUACAUUUGUUGAUUUUUUGUUGUUGUCCGUACAUAUAUUGCUAAUUUUGGGUUAUUUUAUUAAUGUAAAUGAAAACUUGGCUACAUUUGAAACUACUUUUUAUUUUACCCAAAACUAAAAAUCUGAAAAAGAAAUUUUUUCGCAGGAACGGUUGGUUUAUUAGGUCUGCUCACACCUAUAUUGAUUCAUCACUCAAUUUGAUCUAAGUGAUCUUUGGACGAAAUGUAUCAUAAUUCUUUUAUUGAAUCAUUAUUUUUUAACCUUCUAAACUCGCCCUGUUCAUUUGAAGCUCCUUAUAAUUUUCUUCCAAUUUUAAAUUGCAUGAAGUUGUUUAUCUCGCUAUGCUUAUUUAAUUUCUUGGUAAAUAACAAAAUUAUCCUUAUGUUAUUGCGUUAUUCCAAGUUUUAGCCCUUAUGUUAUUCAUUUGAGCACAAUAAACCUUUGAUUAACAAAAACAUGUGAUAUUGGUUUUUUAAAUUAAUAGAAGUUAAAAAUUUAAAAGAAUUAAUAUUUGAAAAGUUUGAAAGAUCAAUAUCACAUAUUUUAAUUAAUUAAAAACUAAAUAUGCUCAGUGGUAUAACGCAAAGGACUAAAGUGGAUAUUCACCUUUAUUUUCUUGAUCAACUCAAGCUAAUGAUAUCUAUUAUCUAGUAGCAAUAUUGACUGAGAUUUGGCGACUUACAACAUGAGACUAUAAUUGGCGUGUUGACUACAAAACAAGUUAAUUAUGAUUAGUCAAGUUUAAUUAUUUUCAAAUAGAACCCACUUAUUUGCAUACUUUUUGCCACAUUCAUCUCUUAGAGGUCAGAUAAAAAUUGUGUGUACAUAAUCUAUUCAAACAUGUUGACAACUAAAAAAAUGAUAAAUUUGGGUGGCUGUUUGUCUCUCUUUGACCUAAUGUUCAAAGUAUACACGAGUGAAUGACAAAUGAUAAAAUAGAUUUAAACAUAUUACUUUAUUAGUUCAUAUAGAAGGUUUAGGUACACUGUUAAAUCAACGAUGAUUUCAUUUUGAACAAUAGUUUCAGGAAUAAGACUUUAUAUUAUUCAAUCUAUUAGGAACACAGGCGGAUCUAAGAAUUCUAUUAAAAAAAGAGAGGAAAAAAUACAUAUAUUAAGUGAUAAUUGAUCCUUGGGCGAUUAACUCAACAUUCAAUCAAGUGUACCAUUUAGCCUUAUUGGAGCAUGAGUGUGAUUAGAUAGUAUUAGAUCAAUUCUAGAAUAUAUGUACAUAAAACGACUAGUUUGAUGAAAAGAUCAUAGGUUCACGUGCACCAUAAAUAGGCUAUAAAUUCACCUCUGAUUGGGAAAUGACCACCGCUGAAUGUCAUCUUUCAGCUUGUCUAACUCUGCUGUUUCUCUAGAAAAGAAACAACUGAAAUGAACUUAUACAAUAUUUCUGCUCCAUAUGGCAGUUCUAGAAAAAAUAAUAGUAAUAAUAAAAACAGUUGACAUGAUGUAAUGUGAAUGCACUCAAUUUUCAAACAAUAUGAUCAGUUUUUGUAGGAAUUUCUGACAAAUUCAUAGAAUACAAGUCAUUGUACUUAGUUUUGAUGACUAGUUGACUUCUUCAACAGAAAACAGUAAGCAAAUAUCAUUAAUAAUUGUAUAAACUAUUCAUUUUCAGCUUAAGUUUGUAAAGAGAGUGAAGCUUCUUUCUUUUGAACCAAUGAUGUCAAAGACCACUGUAUAUGCAUUAGCCAUUUUUUUUAGUUCCUUUUUCAUAGCUUUGUCCUUUGGGGAAACUCCAAGCUUGGAAGUUGAAGUUGCUGCUUUGAAAGCUUUCAAGAACUCAAUCACUGAUGACCCUUUUGGUGCACUUGUGGAUUGGACUGAUGCAAAUCACAUUUGCAACUGGUCUGGAAUCAUAUGUGAUCCUUCUUCAAACCAUGUCAUCAACAUUUCGCUUAUUGGGAUGCAGCUCAAAGGCGAGAUUUCUCCGUUUCUAGGAGACCUCUCCAAACUCCAGGUUCUUGAUCUAACUUUGAAUUCAUUUACUGGAAAUAUCCCAGCCAAGCUGGGGCAUUGCACUGAGCUGGUUCAGCUCAUUCUUUACCGAAACUUUCUUUCUGGUGAAAUUCCUACCGAGCUAGGAAACCUCAAAAACCUGCAAUUAUUAAAUUUUGGAAAUAACUCUUUGAGUGGGAGAAUACCUGAGAGUAUAUGCAACUGCACUGAAUUGUUGUUAGUAAGCCUCAUCAACAACAGCCUCACAGGCAAAUUACCAUCUGAAAUUGGUAAUUUGGUCAAUCUUCAAUUGUUUGAAGCUUAUAGAAACAAUUUGGUUGGUUCUAUUCCUACCUCCAUUGGAAUGCUGACAGCUCUGCAAACCCUUGAUCUGAGCUCAAACCAGUUUUCUGGACCUAUACCACCAGAAAUUGGCAACUUGUCAAGUUUAGAAACUCUUCAGUUGCAUCACAACUUUCUUUCUGGGAAAAUCCCAUCUGAACUUGGCCUCUGUAUCAAUCUUGUUACCUUGGACAUGUAUAAUAACCAAUUCACUGGAGGCGUACCUCCUGAGCUAGGAAAUUUAGAAAAUUUGCACAGGCUCAGAUUGUAUAACAAUAAGUUGAACUCCAGUAUACCUGCCUCAUUGUUCCACCUGAAGUCAUUAACUCAUUUAGGACUCUCACAUAAUGAGCAAACUGGUAAAAUUCCUCCUGAGUUUGGAUCUUUAAUGUCACUACAAGUGCUUACCCUCCACUCAAAUAGGUUGUAUGGGGAGAUUCCAUCAACUUUGACAAACCUGGCAAACUUGACAUAUUUGUCUUUGAGCUUUAAUUUAUUGACAGGAUCACUUCCACCGGAACUUGGGUUACUCUAUAAUCUGAAGAAUCUAACUGCAAGUAAUAACCUCCUAGAGGGACCUAUUCCAUCUAGCAUAACAAAUUGUUCUCAUCUUCGUGUUUUAACCCUCACCUUUAAUAGAAUAACAGGUAAAAUACCAAAUGGGUUGGGGAAGUUGUCCAAUCUUACAUUUUUGUCUUUGGGAUCAAACAAAAUGUUGGGGGAGAUUCCUGAUGAUAUCUUCAACUGUUCAAUGCUUGAAGUUCUAGAUCUGAGUGGUAAUAAUUUUAGCGGGAAGCUCAAACCGAUGAUUGGCAGACUCUCUAAACUUCGAGUUCUAAGAGCUCAUAGUAAUUCAUUUCUUGGGCCAAUCCCACCAGAGAUUGGUAAACUGAGUCAACUGAUAGAUUUAGUGCUUCACAAAAACAGUUUCUCAGGUGUGAUACCACCAGAACUUUCAAAGCUUUCAAACCUCCAGGGCCUUUCUCUGUCAGACAAUAAGCUGGAAGGUGAACUUCCUGUGCAACUUUUUGAGCUUACACGCCUCUAUGAACUCCUGCUGCAGAACAAUAAUUUCUUCGGUCCAAUCCCCAAUCAGAUAUCCAAAUUAGAAUCACUUUCACUCCUGGACCUGAGUGGAAAUAAGCUUAACGGUACAAUCCCAGAGAGCAUGGUGAGCCUCCGCAGACUGACGACCUUAGAUGUUUCACACAACCUUCUAACCGGAACUCUUUCCAGAGCAGUACUUGCCAGCAUGAGAAGUAUGCAAUUUUACUUGAACGUUUCCAGCAACUUGUUGGAUGGAGAGAUCCCAUAUGAGAUUGGCAUGUUAGAAAUGGUUCAAGGGAUUGAUAUGUCAAACAACAAUCUAUCAGGCAACAUUCCCAGAUCCCUAGGACUCUGCAAAAACUUAUUCUCACUAGACCUAUCAGGAAACAUGCUGUCUGGUCCUGCUCCAGGCGAAACUCUGACCAAAUUAAGUGAGCUACUAUUCUUGAACCUCUCAAGGAACAGAUUAGAAGGCAAACUUCCUGACAUGGAAGGAUUGCCACAUCUUCGCUCACUUGAUCUUUCACAAAACAAGUUCAAGGGAAUCAUUCCUGAGAGAUUUGCCAAUAUGCCUGCAUUAAUAUAUCUCAACCUUUCUUUUAACCAGCUUGAAGGUCACAUUCCAAAGGGGGGUGUAUUCGACAACUUAAGGUCAGCAGAUUUACAGGGAAAUCCAUCUCUAUGUGGAACAGAGUUUCUCAGUCCAUGCAGCAUCAAAAGAAACCAAACAAGUUCUCAUGGGUUUUCCAAGAAAACCUGGAUCAUACUUGGGCCUGUUUUGGUUCUCAUUCUUUAUGUGGUGGGAAUAUUUUUGUAUCAUCUGUAUAUGAAGAAGCAAAAAGUGAAAGACACGGAAGAUAUAAUUCCAAAUUAUACCUCAGCACUUAGCCUCCAGAGAUUUUAUCAAAAGGAUUUGGAACAUGCUACUGAUAAUUUCAGUCCACAAAACAUUAUUGGAGCCAGCAGUUUAAGUAAUGUGUACAAAGGAACACUGGAAAGUGGGAAGAUUGUAGCAGUUAAGAAACUGAAUCUCCAGUUCUCAGCAGAAAUUCGUAAAUGCUUUGAUAGGGAGGUCAAGACUCUGAGCCAACUCAAACACAGGAACCUGGUUAAGGUGCUCGGUUAUGCUUGGGAAAGCAAGAAGCUAAUGGCUGUAAUUUUAGAAUACAUGGAGAAUGGGAACUUGGACAGUUUUAUUUAUGGUCAAAUGGCGGAUGAAUGGACAUUGUCCAAUAGGAUAGACAUUUUAGUUUCAGUAGCAAGUGGGCUGUCAUACCUGCAUUCAGGAUAUGAUUUUCCAAUAGUGCACUGUGACUUGAAGCCUUCAAAUAUUCUUCUGGAUAAAAAUAUGGAAGCACAUGUGAGUGACUUUGGGACAGCUAGGAUGUUGGGUAUUCAUCACCAAGAUGGGAGCAGCAUAUCAUCAGCAUCUGCAUUUGAAGGAACUAUUGGUUACAUGGCACCAGGUAAUAAUUAUUACAACAUCACUUCUGUAAAUCACAAUACACAGCUUAGCAGAUUUUCUUUUCCCGUCAAUCACAAAAUAAUGAUUAAUUUGUAUGUGGAAGAAUGGACAAGCAUUUAAGUGAUCCAAUGUUUUGAACAUAUAAUCUGAAAAGUAUUUUUUAAUGAUAAUACCAACUUUAGUCUAACCAGAAAAUGCUAGUGUCAGCUUUAGAAUUUUGAAUUUCUUGAACAUUUUACAUGCUCCUUAUUUAAUUUGAGACCUAACUCAAAUGAAAUGUUUUUCUAUGAAACAGAGUUUGCAUAUAUGAGGAAAGUGACCACAAAAGUAGAUGUAUUCAGCUUUGGUGUAAUUGUGAUGGAGAUCAUUACAAAAAGAAGGCCAACAAGUCUAACAGGUGCAGAUAAAUUACCAAUGACUUUGAAUCAAGUUGUUCAGAAUGCCCUUGCGAAUGGCAUAAGCAAGCUGGUCCAGAUUGUGGAUCCUAAUUUAGCUUCACAUGUCUCCAAGAACCAGGAGAUAGUAGAGGGACUUCUUAACUUGGCUUUAUCCUGCACCUCUCCGGAUCCUGAAGAUAGACCUGACAUGGAACAAGUUCUGUCUUCUCUUUCAAAGCUAAGUAAGAUGGAGAGCAUGCAUUCACACGCUUGUUUGGUAUCAUCAUUCUUAAUAUGAACCACCACCAAGUUUCCCUCGGUGGCCAAUGGAACUAGUCCACAACUGAAAAUGUAAUUACAAUUUAAAUAGAACUUACGUUUUUCAAGCCAUAAUUAUCUUUCAGGUAUUCCUGCUUUACUAGAGGGGUAUGGUUGAACUCUCACAUUAGAUUAAGUUAAAGUUGACUUGCAUCAUGAAAUUGAAGAACUCUGUACAUUAAUUACAACUAAGGAACAAAAAGCUAGAUCUUUACGAAGUACUCCAGUGACGUGUAAUAGUCAGCGAGCAGUUGAUUGCUAGACUAAAGUGCCAAUGCAUUCUGUUACUAGAGAUUGCCUACAGGAAAUGAGUACACUUUUGAACACGAAUAUAUAGAAGUGAAAUUGAGGAGAACUCAAAAAGAGGCCUUAAUAAGACUACAAUGAUACAUCAUAUUUUACCUUAAAAUAUGCAUUUUAGAAAUUUAUUUACUAUGCAAGAACUCAUCAAUGUAAGAGGGAAACUCAAAGCUUCCAAAACCAUCAAAAAUCUCCUAAGGAAUAAGAGCAGCUUUGCCUAAAGGCAGAUGAGCUAACCUAAAUGAUUCUCUUCGCUCUCCAGUACCCUUAUCCAGAAAAUGCUCAAUCCAACCUUCUAAUCUCUCCACUUCUUCUUCACUUUUUGCCCCCUUAACCCCAACAAUCUUUCCAUAAAAUGCAUCAUCACAGCCCAAAUCCACUUCCACCCUUUUGGAUCCUUCCCUUUUACCCUCCGAUAAACACAAUAGCUGCAUCAUCAGUUUACCCUCAUCAACCCCAUUACCACUAGCUUCAACUAUACCAACACUUUCUUGGGCAAGUGAGGAAUUAGAGAGAAAUUGAAGUGGGGUUUCACUUUCUUUAAGGUUUGUGUAUCUGGUGAUGGAGUCAGCAGGGGUCUCAUCACAGUUGAGGUAUAAUGGGCUGAUCAAAGACUGGUCGGUGUCUCAACGGCUUCUCGUUGAGAUGGGUCGUCAAGUUUCAAUCUUUUCUCCAAUUGUUUGAGAGAUGAGAAGAAAUUGGAAUGUGGAGAAGGUCUUUGCAUUAUUUUUUUAGUGAAUCAGAACUUGAAUUGAGUUUUUAGUUAUGGAAGGUUGAAGAAUGGAAAGGAAAAAAGAGCGCCAACUGCUGCAAAGGACAAUUUAAUCACUUUUGUUUGAAAUUUUACGCCGAUUUGGGAUUUCUGGGUAUGUUAUUUAAGGUAUUUUCUGAAUUAAUCCAUAUUCUCAAUGUUUAAAGAGCUUUGAUAUCCAGGGUCAGAUCCAGAGGUUCUGGUACGGGUUUACGAGAACCAAAUAACUUUUGCUUAUAUUCUGUAUGUGUUAAAAAUCUGAUUGUGAAUAGAAUUAUCAUUGAUUUAAAAGGUUCUAGGAUGACCUUUCAAUACAAGUGACUUUCCUUGUGCAUGUUUAUAGCUUGGAUCAUAUAGUUGCUAAUAAGAGUAUCCGAAAAAUGGAACAGGGAGAGAACAUAGCUACUGAAGUUUUGUGGAAAGUGUAUUCAUUUGUUUGCGUGAAACCAUGCAGUACAAAUGCUGAUAAGAGUAAAAAUAUAUUCAGAAAGGAGAAAAAGGAAUGUGUAAUAUAGCCACAUAGGUAUAACAUUGAGGAUAUAGACAAAUGAUUUCUCACAUGAUCACUCAACUAAUAUGUUAGCCAUUAUCUCAUAAAGUCACCUUAUUCUUGAUUCUAAUUUGUUUUUAACAAGAGUGACUUCUGAGAUAAUAACUAUCAGUUGAGUGACACUUUGAAGGAAACCAAAUUGCAGUAGAAUUAUCUGUUGUUCAACUGGUGGAUCACAAUUUGAUAGCAUUAGCAUUUCCUGCUCAUUUGGCAAAUUAAAGUCCAAUACCAAUAACCACGACUCUGUUUCAUUUAGAUACAUUAUGCUUUGAAAAAUCUAGUCCGAAUUUAGAUUUUUCCCAAUCAGGAGUUGGCAUGUAUGGUGGUGGAUUUUUGAAACAUUUACUUGGCCAGAAUAUGUUGUAUAAAGCACUGUUAUGUUCACAUGUGUCUGUUUGCCUAGGCGUAGGACCACUUGUAUGAGUGGUUGAGAAUAUGCCUGCUACUAGAAAAAUAGAAAUUAGUAAUGGACAAAUUUCGUAGUUAAACGACAAGUGAGCAAUUUAACGAUGAAGUUCAUAACCAGUAGAAGUUUUUUUUUUUAUAGAACGAUGAAAAUGAACUAACAUAACGGUUCAUUUUUCCCCUUAUUCCUUUCUAUUUUACACAGAGAAGGGAUUCGGGCUGUAAUUACUUCAAAAUGCCUGUAAUAGUGGUGUUGUCUUUUACCCUGCUGGAAGAAAAAUAUAUAAAGAAUGUCCUAAUGGAAAAAAGUAGAAGAUACUUUAAUGUAAGCUCAACAACAAAGACAGAGAGAAAUCUUUGUAGCCACAGAACAUUGGUUGGUCCCCCAAGUAAAAAUCUUGGAAGAUUUUUGGAUUUGUGAUUGCCAAGUGUGAAUGGAGAGUAAUCUUGACAUCCAAUGAGAUCAUAGAUAUAGAUAUCACUAGAUAAGGACUCUUCCCUAUCUUACUUACUAUAUAUAGUGAAGUUUCAAUAACUUCAGCUCAUCACAACUAACUUUUACAUAUCAAACUAGCAACCCCCUCACUUUCCUCUCUUUAUAAACCAUGGCAGCUGCUACAAUGGCUCUUUCUUCCCCUUCUUUUGCUGGACAGGCAGUGAAACUCUCACCCUCUGCCUCAGAAAUCACUGGAAAUGGAAGGAUCACUAUGAGAAAGGCUGUCGCCAAGUCUGCCCCAUCUAGCAGCCCAUGGUAUGGCCCUGACCGUGUUAAGUACUUGGGCCCAUUCUCUGGUGAGUCCCCAAGCUACUUGACCGGUGAAUUCCCUGGUGACUACGGACCGUGUUAAGUACUUGGGCCCAUUCUCUGGUGAGUCCCCAAGCUACUUGACUGGCGAAUUCCCUGGUGACUAUGGAUGGGAUACCGCUGGACUUUCAGCAGACCCUGAGACCUUUGCCAAGAACCGUGAACUUGAGGUGAUCCACUGCAGAUGGGCUAUGCUUGGUGCUCUUGGAUGUGUCUUCCCUGAGCUAUUGGCCCGUAAUGGUGUCAAGUUCGGUGAGGCUGUGUGGUUCAAGGCCGGAUCCCAGAUCUUCAGCGAGGGUGGACUUGACUACUUGGGCAACCCAAGCUUGGUCCAUGCACAGAGCAUCUUGGCCAUCUGGGCUUGCCAAGUUGUCUUGAUGGGAGCCGUUGAAGGUUACCGUAUUGCUGGUGGACCUCUUGGUGAGGUUGUCGACCCACUCUACCCUGGUGGCAGCUUUGACCCAUUAGGCCUUGCUGAAGACCCAGAGGCAUUUGCUGAGCUCAAAGUAAAGGAGAUUAAGAACGGCAGACUUGCUAUGUUCUCUAUGUUUGGAUUCUUCGUUCAGGCCAUUGUUACCGGAAAGGGUCCAUUGGAGAACCUUGCUGACCACCUUGCAGACCCCGUUAACAACAACGCUUGGGCUUUCGCCACAAACUUUGUCCCCGGAAAAUGAAUAUCAUAAUAUAAUUUUUUAAUUUUGAUUGUUCGAUGGCCCUGUAAAGUAGUUGUGACUUACUUGAUAAUAGAAUGGUUCUUUUUUCCAUAUUCCAGUGAUUGUGUAGUUCUGAGUUACAUUUUCCAAAUCUACGAAUCAAAUAUUGCCACUUCCAUACCAAAGGGGAAAUUAAAGAAAGAGAACAGAGCAAAAAGACUGAAGAUACAUAUGAGAUGUGGUAACAAGAAAAACUAUAAAGCUGUUGUAAGCUUAAAACUUGAAUUUUCAGACCAGAGGAACUUAUGGAAUUCAGUUAAUUCUCGAGAAACAAUACUCAAAAUUAGUGUAAAGUACUAAUGUUGAACAACAUGAUGUUAUUACAUGAUUCCUCAUUUAUCUAUCGAAAAGUGAGAGGAAAUAAGAGGACAUUGUUUCAUUUCACUACCAGAACAUUGAGACAGGGGAAGAAAACCAAUAUGUUUUGUAGUCUGAAUGUAGUAAGUAAUAUAUGAGUUUCCAGGUCCAUACAGUAUGUCUCCUUUGAACAAAUUCAUAAAUUUCUUGUAAAAUCCUCCUGCCUCACAUGAGGUACUAUCUUUAGAUUAAAAGCAUCCUUGACAGAUCCUUCAAAACAAGGUACAUAGUAAUGACCAGAGCACAAAGGACAUACAUAUGUAGUUAGAAGAAGACACAAGUACUGCUAAAUAUGACACUUAUUGGCAACAAAUUCAAGUUCCAUGCACUAAUAACGUAAACAAUAUUUACACAAAUUACUUAGUAAGUAAUUAAAGGUAAAUCACUUGAUAACAUUAAUCGGUAGUCUGGUAAAAAAUGGGAAUUGCCUACUAUCACACGUUAAAAUUUACUGAUGUAACUUCUAUUUCCCUUAACGCAGCGCAAAAUUGUGAUGCUGAUGAAUUCCAACAAAUUAAAAUCUUUGCUCAUAUUCUUCUGAACAAGCUCUUUCCAAGGCUCAGCAUUGCUCAUGUAGUAGUUAAGUAACACGUACUAAGCCGCAUUAAAUCUCUAAACCUAACAGUAUUGUGAAUGAGCAUAAAACAAUAUAACCUGUGUGGCUAACAUAAACAACUUUGGUAAUUAAGGUCUAAUAUAAUAAAGUUUCAAUCACAUUGCUUUCCAAACAUAAAGAUGCAUUAUUAAGUUCCCAAAAUUUAUGAAUCAAGUAGUAAUAAAUUUCAACUUUUCCUCAAAUUUCCUAAACCAUAGUUCUACAUUGAAUGAAGUAUAGUGGUGGUAUGUUUUACCCUGCAGGUAGAUAAAAUCUAGAGAAAUGCCAAGUGGAUAAUGAUAGGGAUAUCAUAUUGUAAGCUCAACAAAUCACAGGGCAGAUUCCAAUCCUUGUGGCAACAUAUGAGAGGACAAUAUUGGUUGUGUCCCUUGCUGGAAAAUUGAUGGAUUGGAGAUUGCUAAAUGUGCAUAAUUGCUACAAGUAGGAUCUUGAUAGCCAAUGAGAUCAUAGAUAUAGAUUUCACUAGAUAAGGACUCUUUCCCUCUUUCUUAAUUCCUAUAUAUGGUGAAUUAAUUCCCUUGUAACUUCAUCUCAUCACAGCCUUCAACAAUAUUUCAUACCAUCAAACACUCAACACUUUUCUCUUAAUCUAAAUCAUGGCAGCUGCUACAAUGGCUCUUUCUUCCCCUUCUUUUGCUGGACAGGCAGUGAAACUUUCACCAUCUGCCUCAGAAAUUUCUGGAAAUGGAAGGAUCACUAUGAGAAAGGCUGUCGCCAAGUCUGCCCCAUCUAGCAGCCCAUGGUAUGGCCCUGACCGUGUUAAGUACUUGGGCCCAUUCUCUGGUGAGUCCCCAAGCUACUUGACUGGCGAAUUCCCUGGUGACUAUGGAUGGGAUACCGCUGGACUUUCAGCAGACCCUGAGACCUUUGCCAAGAACCGUGAACUUGAGGUGAUCCACUGCAGAUGGGCAAUGCUUGGUGCUCUUGGAUGUGUCUUCCCUGAGCUCUUGGCCCGUAACGGUGUCAAGUUCGGCGAGGCUGUGUGGUUCAAGGCCGGAUCCCAGAUCUUCAGCGAGGGUGGACUUGACUACUUGGGCAACCCAAGCUUGGUCCAUGCACAAAGCAUCUUGGCCAUUUGGGCUUGCCAAGUUGUGUUAAUGGGAGCUGUUGAGGGAUACCGUAUUGCAGGUGGACCUCUUGGUGAGGUCGUCGACCCACUCUACCCUGGCGGCAGUUUUGACCCAUUAGGUCUUGCUGAUGAUCCAGAGGCAUUUGCUGAGCUCAAAGUAAAGGAGAUUAAGAACGGCAGACUUGCUAUGUUCUCUAUGUUUGGAUUCUUCGUUCAGGCCAUUGUUACCGGAAAGGGUCCAUUGGAGAACCUUGCUGACCACCUUGCAGACCCCGUUAACAACAAUGCAUGGGCCUUUGCCACAAACUUUGUUCCCGGAAAAUGAAUAUCAUAAAACGUUCUCUAGAUAUUAUUGUUUGAUGGCUUUGUAAAGUUUUAGUUGUGAGUUUACUUGACAAUAGAAUGGAUUUUUCUUAGUCCUGAAUUUCAUUUUCCAAUGAUGAAUGAAAUACUGCAAAAUUCAUAUUGAAGGGGAAAAUUGAUGACAAAGCAAAAAUAACAAGACCAAAGUUACAUUUGAGAUGUGGUAAAAGCUUAAACCUGAAUAUACAGACCAGAGACUUAUGGAAUUCAAUUAAUUCUCAAGAAGAAAUACUCUAACUUAGAGCCAAUAAUAACAUUGAACAACAUGAUGUUAUUUACUUUCAUGAUUCUUUAUUUUUCUGUCAAGAAGUGAAAGAGGAAUUAAGGGAAAACCAAUGUACAAUAUGUUUUAUAAUCUGAACGUAGCAAGUAAUAUAUGAGUUUCCAGGUCAUUAUACUUAUGUGUAAAGUACUAAUGUUGAAUACCAUGACGCUAUUACAUGAUUCCUCAUUUUUCUGUCGAGAAGUGAAAGAGGAAAUAAGAAGACACUGUUUCAUUUCGAUGAAAAGUGAAAACCAAUGUGGUUAAUAUAUGAGUUUACAGGUCCUUACAUUAUGUGUCCUGUGAACAAAUUCAUAAAUUUCUUGAAAAAACCAUCCUUCCUAACAUCUGAUACCAUCUUAAGAUUAAAAGAUCUUUGACAGAUCCUUCCAAACAAGGUGCAUAGUAAUGACCAGAGCCAAAGGACAUACUUGUAUAGUUAGUUAGCAGAAGAGACAUGUAAUGCUAUACAUGACACUUAUUGGCAACAAAUUUAAGCUCUAUACACUAAUAAUAUAAAAAAUAUAUACAAUCAGUUUACUUAUAAAGUAAUUAUAUGGAAAUCCGUUGAUAAACAUUACUCCAAUUGGUAGUCUCGUAAAAAUAGGGAACUGACCUACUGUCACAUAUUAAAAUUUACCGAUAGUGUAAAAACAUCUUUACACCGUCAGUGCAUAUAACUUAAAUCAACAAUUAGUAAAUUAUAUUUCUCUCAAGUCUUAACACAGCCAAUAUAUUGUGAUGCUGAUGAAUUCAAAUAAAUUAAAUUUUUUGCUCAUGUUCGUCUGAACAAGCUCUUUCCAAGUUUCAGCAUUGCUCAUCUAGCAGUUAAGUACAGGUACUAAGCCACAUUAAAUCUCUAAAAAUGAAUUAACAUUGUCUUGAAUGAGCUUAAAACAAGAUAGCAUGUGUGGCUAACAUAAACAACUUUGUCAAUUGAGGUCUAAUAUAUUAAUAAAGUUUCAAUCGCAUUGUUUUCCAUACAUAAACAUGCAUUAUUAAUUUCCCACAAUUUAUGCAUCAAGUGGUAAUAAAUUUCAACUUCUCCUCAAAUUUCCUAAACCAUAGUUCUACAUCUUUUACCCUGCAGGUAGACAAAAUCUAUAGAAAUGGCAAGUGGAUAAUGAUAGGUAUAUCAUAAUGUAAGCUCAACAAAUCACAGGGCAGAGUUCAAUCCUUGUGACCACAUAUGAUAGGACAAUAUUGAAUGUGUCCCUUCUUGGAAAAUUGAUGGAUUGGAGAUUCAAGUGUGCAUUAAUUGCCACAUAUGGGAUCUUGAUACCCAAUGAGAUCAUAGAUAUAUAUAUCACUAGAUAAGAAGAUUCUUUCUCUCUAAUUACCUCCUAUAUAUUCUGAACCCCAACUAACUUCAGCUUCAUCACAACCAACUUUGAGAUUUCAAACACCCAUCACUUUUCUCUUGUUAUAAACCAUGGCAGCUUCCACAAUGGCUCUUUCUUCCCCUUCUUUUGCUGGACAGGCAGUGAAACUCUCACCCUCUGCCUCAGAAAUCACUGGAAAUGGAAGGAUCACUAUGAGAAAGGCUGUCGCCAAGUCUGCUCCAUCUAGCAGCCCAUGGUAUGGACCAGACCGUGUUAAGUACUUAGGCCCAUUCUCUGGUGAGUCCCCAAGCUACUUGACCGGUGAAUUCCCUGGUGACUACGGCUGGGAUACUGCUGGACUUUCAGCAGACCCUGAAACCUUUGCCAAGAACCGUGAACUCGAGGUGAUCCAUUGCAGAUGGGCUAUGCUUGGUGCUCUUGGAUGUGUCUUCCCUGAGCUCUUGGCCCGUAACGGUGUCAAGUUUGGUGAGGCUGUGUGGUUCAAAGCUGGAUCCCAGAUCUUCAGCGAGGGUGGACUUGACUACUUGGGCAACCCAAGCUUGGUCCAUGCACAAAGCAUCUUGGCCAUUUGGGCUUGCCAAGUUGUGUUGAUGGGAGCCGUUGAGGGAUACCGUAUUGCUGGUGGACCGCUUGGUGAGGUUGUCGACCCACUCUACCCUGGUGGCAGCUUUGACCCAUUAGGUCUUGCUGAUGACCCAGAGGCAUUUGCUGAGCUCAAGGUAAAGGAGAUUAAGAACGGUAGACUUGCUAUGUUCUCUAUGUUUGGAUUCUUUGUUCAAGCUAUUGUCACCGGAAAGGGUCCAUUGGAGAACCUUGCUGACCACCUUGCAGAUCCAGUUAACAACAAUGCCUGGGCCUUCGCCACAAACUUUGUUCCCGGAAAAUGAAUAUCUUAAAAUGUUCUCAAAGAAUAUGAUUGUUUGAUAGCCUUGUAAAGUUGUAAUCGUGAGUUUACUAGACAAUAGAAUGGAUUUUUCUUAUAUUCCAAUUAUGGUGUUGUCUAUAAGUUUGCUUUCCAAUGGCAUGAAUGAAUCAUAUCAAAGGGAAAAAAAAAGAUGACAGAGCAAAAACAAAAACCCAAGAUACAAUUGGGAUGUGGUAAAAGCAUAAAACUUGAACAUACAGACCAGAGGAACUAAUGGAAUUCAAUUAAUUAUCAACAAGAAAUACUCUAAUUUAGUGCCAAGAAUAACAUUGAACAACAUUGUGUUAUUUAUUUACAUGAUUCCUUAUUUUUCUGUCAAGAAGUGAAAGAGGAAUUAAGAGGACAUAAUAUUAUUUCACUACUAGACCAUUUACAUUUCAAUGAUAAUGGAAAACCAAUGUAUAGUAUGUUUUGUAAUCUGAAGAGAAAAAGCUCAAAAUAGUCCCUUAUCUUUGAGUUAAUGCAUGAGUUUCCAGGUCAUUAUACCUAUGUUCCCUUAGUUUAUUUAGCAUGAACAAAUUCAUAAAGUUCUUGUGUAUUUCUCCUUCGUUACAUGCAUAUGGUACUAUCUUUAGAGAAGAACAUGGCACAUAGCAAUGACCAGAGCCAAAAGGACAUAGUAAGCAGAAUAUACUAGUAAGCUAUACAUGCAUGACAUUUAUUAGAGAGGUAAUUAAGUUCUCGCUGUAAAAAAUACUUAAACCAUAUCACUUAUUAACACAGGCAGAGGUAGACUACAGCGAUGAAUGGAAUGUCCCACAUCAGUGAAUGAAUGAAAUCCUGGCCUCCUUAUAAGGCUUGGGCAAUAUUAUUUCCUUUGAGCUAGCUUUUGGGGUUGAGUUAGGCUCAAAAUCCGUUUUAUACAUCCAACAUUAAAUAUGUACGACUUACACAACUAAACUUAGAAUCCAUUUACUAAAAACCAAGUAGUUUUGGUCCACCUCAUGUAUAUGUAAAGAAAUAAAGUUCAAAUCUUGAUCCAUCUUUACUUAUUAAGUAAUUACAGGUUAAUCUUUUGAUAAACAUUAAAUGAUAAUAUGAUUAAAAUGAAUUCCAGCUUUUCCUCAAUUUAUUUAGUGAAAGGUUACAUUAUAGUUCUAGAUUGAAUGAGCUAUAGUGCUGAAAGAUAAAAUCUGGAGAAAUUACCAAUGGAUAACUGACAAGAGAUAUCAGUAUUGUAAGCUCAACAAAUCACAGGGUAGAGUUCAAGCCACACAUAGGAGGACAAUAUUGGUUGGGUCCCUUUAGUAAACAUCUUGGAAAAUUGAUGGAUUAGAGAUUGUCAAGUUGCAUUAAUUGCUACACAUGGAAUCUUGAUACCCAAUGAGAUCAUAGAUAUGAAUAUCACUAGAUAAUUAGGACUCUUUCCCUCUUAAUUACUCCCUAUAUAUGGUGAAUUAAUUCCCUUUGUAACUUCAUCUCACCACAGCCAAAUUCAACAGUAUUUCAUACCAUCAAAUUUAUAUAUCGAAACUAUAAUAAGGGGAGGACUAAACGCAAAAGAGUUUCUUCUUAUGAGUUAACUAUACAUUAUAAACAUUUAUCAUUUUACUUUUCAUAGUUUUGUUGCAACUCAAAUACAAUUUUAAAAGAAAUUAUGUGAUUUUUAAUAAUUCAUAUUCAUCGUUAUGGAGUACACAUGCAACGCACGUGAGUGCCAAGAAUAACAUAGAACAACAUGAUGUUAUUUACAUUAUUCCUUAUUUUUCUAUCUGAGAAGUGAGAUGAUUUAAGUGUACCUAACAUUAUUUCACUACUACAUCAUUGACAUUUCAUUGAUGAGGGAAAACCAAUGUGUAUGUUAUGUAAUCUGAACGUAGCAAGUAAAAGCAUCUAUGCGACUGCUUAUAUAACAGAGGCAGAUAUAUAUCCUCCAAAUAUUGCAUAUAGUAACGAGUAACGACCAGAGCCAAAAUUAAGGAAAUAGUAAGCAGAAGAUACAAGUAACUGAGUAAGCUAUACAUGAAAGGAAAUUAAGUUCUAAGCAUUGACAUUGUAAAAAUGCUAAUGCUCAUGUCACUUAUUAACAGGGGCAAGGGUAGGCUUCAUCAUACAUGUUUGUUUGACAGAACCAAUUAAGUAGCUUUGGUUCAAACCAUAUAUAUAUGUGUUAAGAAACAAACAAAUUAAAUAAAAGAAUCCAUUUACUAGUAAUUAAAUUAAACAUAUAUAGAAUGUUCUAUGACUAUAUAUACCUCUUCAUGACCAUAAGAUUUUCAAAAAUCCAUGCAUGGACCUUGGUUAAAAAAAAUGAUAUUCUGCAUUGCCUUAAUGUCGCCAAAUGCUUUAGUGACUCUUGGAUGCAAUGACAUUAAAUCAAAGCUGCUAAAUGUUUUUGCGGAAAAUCUAUUGUCAUUGAAUGUCUCUUUUGUUGUAGAGAUAUGUGUUAAAGAAAUUCAUUACAUAUAUACACAAAUUAAAUUUAGAAUCCGUUUACUAGUACUUAAGAUCAUCGUCCUAGAUUUCAGAACCCAUAAAGUUCAAAUCUUGAUCCACCUUUGCUUAUUAAGUAACUAGUUAUAGGGAACGUGCGUUGCACGUUUGUUUCCUACUAUUUUAUAAAAUCAUAAUUUUAUGUUGAUAGUUAUUUAUCGCAUAAUUUAUUUUUAUAGAUAUGCCAAAACUUGUAUUGAUUAAUAUGUAUAUGUAUAAAGUUUACAUUUUCAUCCAAAAGAAAAAAUAAAGAUUCGAAAUAUAGUCGUCUAGACUAAGAUAUAUUCUAGUAAAUAUAUAUAUAUGUUUUCUCUAUACAGACACAACCAUUUAGAUUAAUAUUAUAGUUUUAUUUUUACUUAUUUGUUUGACAGCUAAGAAAUACUCAAAUAUGUAAAAUCAAUUAAGAUUAUAUAACACCUAAUCUAAUAAGAUGAAUAUUAGCUUUAAAUUUAAGAAUAAAAUAUACAACAUUAUGGAGUAUUAUCUUCUAUAAAUAUUAUAUGAUAAUAAUACAUCAUCAUUUUUAUUUUUUUAUUUUUAUCUUACUGUCUACUUUCAUUUUCAUUUUCCUCUCUUACUAUGUACAUAUAUAAAUAUUUCCCACUUUGUGCCUACAUUCAUUCAGAUUCUUCAAUUUCCACGUUUAUGAAAAAUCCAAUGUUAUGGAAAAUUAACCCAAAAUCAUUUUUUAAACUAAAACUUCUAGUAUUUUAAUUUUAAUAUAAAUUUAAAAUGCUCCAAUACAAAAAGGGAAAUGACAUAAGAAGAAAAUUAUACUGACACAAGAGAUCACGUAGCUUCAGAUCAAAAUUAUUGUAGGACUCACGAUCCUUAUUUUCUUUCUUCUUCUUAUUUCACCUCAUGAUAAGCUUUAACUGAAAUUACAAAAUGAUCUUGUAUUGUUAAUGCCUUGGUAUGUCACAUCUUUACAUUAUACUUAUUUCUAUAAAAUUCAGACUAUGAAGAAUUUGGACUUGGGAUAGAAAAUGUGAGAUGGUGAAUGCAUAUGAUGUGUCUGUUUGUACAUAGUAUUUUGGGAUAAGCGUCUGAAAAAUACCCCAACUUUGGUCGGAUUUGCUGUUGCGAUACUAAACUUUUCACGAGGACCUAUUACCUCCCUAGACUAUUUAAUACCGUAUUUUAAACAUAUAUAUUUGUCCACGUGGACAUAAAAAAUAAUGCAAAAUUAUAAAUAGUAAUGUGUCCACGUGGGCACAUAUAUACCUUUAAAAUACACUAUUAAAUUGUUCAGGGGGUAAAAAAUACGAUAUUAAAUAGUCGAGAGAAAUAAUAAGUCCUCGUGAAAGUUUAGUAUCGCAACAGCAAAUUCGACCAAAGUUGAGGUAUUUUUCAGACCCUUAUCCCUAGUAUUUUCAAAAUUUAAGAAAAGAGUCAUUUCUCUUUUUUAUGAAGCUAUAACUAAGAAUUUUUGAAGAUUUCGAUAUUGGCAUGUGUAAUUGAAGAACAAAAAAGUGUCUAAUGAUGUAACGGAAGAAAAAAAAAGAGAUUGUUAAUAAUUUCGCGACUUAACUUUUCUUUUCAAUACCUUAAAUGUAUUAAAAAGAAAUUAAAUAGAAGAAAAUGCCACUUAACUUUUAUAGGGCCCUUUUGUAAUCGAACUUUCAAUUAUAAGGUUAUCGUAUUACACGUGCAAUACAAUAAUGUUUGACAGACGUCCCCUCAGAAUUUGGCUCGUCGUUUAUUAUCUGGCAUAACCAUUUAAGAUGAGAAACAACAACAUCUUUCUUCUUACCCCAUUCACGAAUCCUUAUAUGAAAUUCAGCCGCAACAAUUAAUAAAUAAACACCUUGAAUUGAUGUCAAAAUGAACGCUUAAUAUAUAUAUAUAUAUAUAGAAAGAGAGAGAAAGAGAGAGAGAGGUGGAGCUACAUACAAAUUUAGCAUCAUAUAUAAUUGCUUAUUUCUAAGGUAUAGAAUGAAUAAUGUCAAAUACUCGGUGCAGAUAAAGUUAUGCCUUUCAAUAUUAUGAAUUACCAAAUAUAAGGAAAGAAUAUUAAUCAUAAAAUACCAUACAUAAAAAAAUAAACUAUCACAAUUAUAUUGAUGUAGAAUAAACACAAACUUACUUUCUUGAAGCUUGUUAUAAGAUUAUAGGAACUCAUUCUCAUGUUCGAAUUCAAUUAUACAUCCUUGACUAAAUUUUUAUUGCUGCAACAAAAAAAUAUCCAAAAAAUUUAACAAUCAAAUAUUUUGUUUAAAUAACUAUCAAAGAAAAAUCAACUACAAAAAAAAUAAUAUAAUAUUUUCUAAUACAAUUGAGAAUCUAAUAAUUAGAAAAUUAAAAAACACAUGAACCAUAGAAAAUGUUGAUAGGUCUGGAAUAUAUAUAGUAAGAGGAUGCAUAUUUUUUUGACUUAUGAAAUUCUUCUUUAAUAGACAAAUAAAUAAAGAAAAGAUCAAUUGAAUAGAUAAGAUGAAUAUGAACAUUUCAAAUUUUAUUUUUCCAACCUUUGAGAUUCUCAUCAAACGUAAUUAAUUGGUUAAUAUGUGGUCACUUCCCAUUUAAUUGAUUAUUGUCAUUUAUUAGAUGGUAAAUUUAUUAUUUGGUACAAAAAUAUCAUAGAAUCAGUAUUUAAAUUAGGGGUAGUAACGUUGAUUAAUUUUAAUGUAGAUUUUUGUACUUAUUUUAUUUUAAACUUAUGUUUUCCUACUUUUAAAUAACUUACAAUUCAAAAAAUAAUUAAAAUAAUAUUAUUUAAUUAGUUAGAUGUUUAAUUUAAUCUAGGGGUAAAAUGGUAAUUCAACUUUCAUCUUUGGAGCUUCCCACUUAUAAUAAUAUUAGAUUCACUGCACGUGCGUUGCACGUGUAGGUUAAGUCCUGAGAUCCCUAUACACGAUAUAUUUUAUAUUUUAUGUAUAUUUUAGGCUUUCAACAUAUCAAUAUGCAUUUAAUAUUGCACUACGUCAUACUAAGUAAAUGGCCAAUCUAUUUGCCUUCUUGCUUGUUCGUCAUGUGGUGACGAACGUCGUAUUCUUAAAUUGUUAUUAGGCAAUUUGUUAGUAAGUAAUUGUGCACGAAUUAACUGGUUGCCCUCUUAGUUAUGUCGUGUCAUGAACUGUAUGCUCCCUUUCAAUAUUUGAAAUUCAAUGUACCCUGUAUUUGAAUAACUUUAUAUACGCAAAAGUAAUAUCUUCUGUCGUAGAUGUCUGUUGUUUUUCAUAUCGUCUCCUCUUCCACCAAAACUAAGAAUUCUUCCAAUAUAAUUUUCAUUAGCUACAUGUGUGGUGUAUGUUUUUUCCUGUUUGAUUUCUUACAAUUUUGGUAUUAAUCAAAUCUCACCUAAUACUUUCUUGUAGACAGUAUUUUCUUGUGUUUAUCCCGAUGUAUCAAUCUGGUUGUUAAGUCAUGACCUGCACUUUUUUUGUUGACAUAGAUAUUCCUCUAGAUAGUGCAACAUAUAGUUUGCCAUGUGAGAAAGCAUGUUGUGGUAGGUAUACUCCUACAUUUGAUAUCGUUUGACUUUUAGCUUUAUUUAUCAUCAUUGCAAAAACAUAGACAUAUUGGAAAUUGUUUCCGAAUAAAUUUGAAAGGGUAUUGUUGUUUUUUCUGCAUGUAUGACAUUCUCGUCAAAGCCUCUACAAAACAACCAUGCCCCAUUGCAUAAGCCAAUUGAAGGGUCCAGUUUUCUCAGCAGCAUGAUGGGCGCAUUUUCUUUCAAAACUAACCUAAUGUAUAAAAUUAAAAGAAUCAUCAAUUGUUAUGUAUAUGUAAUCCUGUAAUUGUUUUCUUCUCUUUUAUGCUAUGAAGUAUCACAAUAAGAUAACUGUAAAAGUUAGGAUGUAUUAAACAACGUACCUAUGCGGCGGAGUCCAUUGGUUGUUAAGGUGUUUAGGUAUAAAUACAGUUCAUAUCUUUACUGAGGUCGAUUCUAUGUAGUCUUGCAUGCUGCAGCCUAGUAAAUAUUUAGCCUCUUCAAAAUAGUAUUUGGUAGUUAAAUUUCAGUCGUCAUGUGGGAUGGAGCUUGAUGACUACCAUUGGGAGAUGAGAGUGACAAUGUUAAUUCUAUGCGUUAUUGUGUAUUAGUACCAUUGAUGAGGGCGGCAAAUGGUCGAAAUCGACAUAAUUAGGCAGGAAUUUAUUGCAUAAAAGAGGGUGUCAUUAAGAUGUAAAGUGCAUCUAAAGUAAGGUUAGAAGUAACAUAUAUAUGUAAAGUAUGUGUCUAAAAUUGGCAGGAGACUGUAUGUGAGCAGGUUAACCAAUAAUAGGUUGUAUAAGUAAUGCUUCACUGUGAAGAAACAAAGUUAAUUAGUGGUGUAAAGUAUGUGUUUACAAUUGCCAGGGGACUGUAAGCAAGCAGGUGAACUAAUAAAUAUAUAAUUGCAUUAAUAAAAAUACUUAUCUCAUAAAAUUAGCUAUCAAAUAAAUUAUACAAAUUAAACUAAUACAAACUUCAACUGGCAUUAUUACAAGUCAUAUGAACUUUUCUUCAUCUAAAAUACUGAAAUAUUAAGAAAUAAUAAAUAAGUAGAACAAAACGGCAAUGUUUAUAUAGUAAUAAAUUCAUUCUUUUGUCUUGAGCAUCAAAAACAAAUCGUGACAAUUCUCUAAAUUUUGAAAAAAGAUAUUUAGAAGCAUAUAUCUACUUCACAAGAGAAAUUGUUAACAAAAACAAAUGAAUUUAGACUACAUUAUGUUAACUUCAUUUAUUGGAACAUUACAUACUAAUGUAUAUAUUAAGCAAAAAAAUAAUUAUUAUAUCAUAAAAUUAUAUUAUUUUCCUCAAGUACUCGAGGUAAUGGAAUAUACCCUCUUAGGAUAGAACGACUUACUUCAUCAGAAUAGUGGUACCUCAUAUUAUGCUAAAUUUCGAACUCACUCAACGACAAUAAAUCAUACCAAAAAAAUUAAAAUGCAAGAAGAAGAAGAAGAGUAGAAGAUUAAAAAAAAUGUGGUUGAAAAAUGAGAGGAAGUCCAUCUAUUUAUAUUCAACAAAGGGUAGUAUGAACAAAAAAAAUUUGUGUCUUAUCUAAAAAAUCAUGACCUUUCCGAGAAGUCACAACACUUUGGAAAAUUAACAACUUUUUGAAAAAGUCACAACUCUUUGGAAAAGUUACAACUUAUUGAAAAAUUCACAAUUCUUUGGAAAAGUCACAACUUAUUGAAAAACUCACAACUCUUUGGAAAAGUCACAACUCAUCGAAAAAUCAUAACCCUUCGAAAAAAGUCACAACUUAUUGGAAAAGUCACAAGUAUUCGAAAAAGUCACAACCUAAGUUAGGGAUAUUAUAGUAAUUUAACAUUCAAGUUAGGAGUUCAUGUUUUUAAGGUAAUAUAGAUAUGAUUAGAGGUUAAACAUGAAGUGAUAAUAUGAUACAAACGAAUUUCAGCUUUUCCUCAAUUUAUUUAGUGAAAGGCUUAACCAUAGUUCUACAUUGAAUAAGCUAUAGUGCUGAUAGAUAAAAUUUGGAGAAAUUCCCAAUGGAUAAUGAUAAGAGAUAUCAGUAUUGUAAGCUCAACAAAUCAGAGGGUAGAGUUCAAUCCACACAUAGGAGGACAAUAUUAAUUGGAUGGGUCCCUUUAGUAAACAUCUUGGAAAUUGAUGGAUUGGAGAUUGGCAAGAUUGCAUUAAUUGCUACACAUGGUAUCUAGAUACCCAAUGAGAUCAUAGAUAUAGAUAUCAUUAGAUAAUUUGGACUUUUUCCCUCUUAACUACUCCCUAUAUAUGGUGAAUUAAUUCCCUAGUAACUUCAUCUCAUCACAACCAACUUCAACAAUAAUUCAAACCCUCAAACACUUUACUUUUCUCUUCAGAUAUAACCAUGGCAGCUGCAACAAUGGCUCUUUCUUCCCCUUCUUUUGCCGGACAGGCAGUGAAGCUUUCACCAUCUGCCUCAGAAAUUACUGGAAAUGGAAGAAUCACUAUGAGAAAGGCUGUCGCCAAGUCUGCCUCGUCUAGCAGCCCAUGGUAUGGACCAGACCGUGUUAAGUACUUAGGCCCAUUCUCUGGUGAGUCCCCAAGCUACUUGACCGGUGAAUUCCCUGGUGACUACGGGUGGGAUACUGCUGGACUUUCAGCAGACCCUGAAACCUUUGCCAAGAACCGUGAACUCGAGGUGAUCCACUGCAGAUGGGCUAUGCUUGGUGCUCUCGGAUGUGUCUUUCCUGAGCUCUUGGCCCGUAACGGUGUCAAUUUUGGUGAAGCUGUGUGGUUCAAGGCUGGAUCACAAAUCUUCAGCGAGGGUGGACUUGACUACUUGGGCAACCCAAGUUUGGUCCAUGCACAAAGUAUCUUGGCCAUCUGGGCUUGUCAAGUUGUGUUGAUGGGAGCCGUUGAAGGUUACCGCAUUGCUGGUGGGCCUCUUGGUGAGGUUGUCGACCCACUCUACCCCGGUGGCAGUUUUGACCCAUUAGGUCUUGCUGAUGAUCCAGAGGCAUUUGUUGAGCUCAAAGUUAAGGAGAUUAAGAACGGCAGACUUGCUAUGUUCUCUAUGUUUGGAUUCUUUGUUCAGGCCAUUGUUACCGGAAAAGGUCCAUUGGAGAACCUCGCUGACCACCUUGCAGAUCCAGUCAACAACAAUGCCUGGGCCUACGCCACAAACUUUGUUCCCGGAAAAUGAAUAUCAGCAAACAUUCCAUAAAUUUCAUUGUUUGAUAUAUAGCCUUUUAAAGUUGUAAUUAUGAGUUUUCUUGACAACAGAAUGGAUUUUCUAAUAUCCCAAUUAUUGUGUAGUCCUGAAUUUAAUUUUCCAAUGCUAUAAAUGAAAUACUGCCAGUUUCAUAUCAAAGGGGAAAAAAAGUAGGCAGUCCAAAAACAAAACACAAGAUACAUUAGGGAUGUGGUAAAAGCUUAAAAGUUGAAUACUGACUAGAGGAACUUAUAAUACUCUAACUUAGUGCCAACAAUAACUUACACGAUUACUUAUUUUUCUCUCUGGGAAUUGAGAUGAAUUAAGAGGACAUAAUAUUAUUUCACUACUACACCAUUGACAUUUCAAUGAUGACGGAAAACCAAUGUGUAUGUUCUGUAAUCUAAAUGUAACAAGUAAAAGCAUCUGCGUGGCUGCUUAUAUUAUAGAGGCAGGUAUCCUCCAAACAUGGCAUAUAGUAACGACCAGAGCCAAAUAUAAGGACAUAGUAAGCAGAACUAAGUUAUAUAUAACACUUCUUUGAAAGGAAAUUAAGUUCUAUGCAUUGACAUUGUAAAAAUACUAAUACUCAUAUCACUUAUUAGCAGGGGUAGCUAGCCUUCAUCAUACCGGUUUUCUAGAAGCAAUUAAGUAGCUUUGGUCCAAACCAUAUAUAUGUCUAUUUACUGGUACUUAAUCCCAUGAACCAAUGUUUAUGUUGUUGUUUGUUGUUACUAGUACUUAAGGUCGUCAUCCUAGAUUCUAGAGCGCAUAAUGUUCAAAUCUGUAGGUCCAAGUCUCAGCAUUGCUUGCCAUGUAGUAGUUCAAAUUCACGUACUAAACCGUCGUUGAACCUCUAAAAAUUAAAUUAACAUUGCAACAUAUAUAGAACCUUCAAUGACUAUAUAUACCUCUUCAUGACCAUAAGAUUGUAAAAAAGUCCAUGCAUCGACCUUAGUUAAGAAAACAUUUUUUGAAAAGAAGUAUGACAUUCUACAUUGCCUGAAUUUGUAAAAUCCAAAACCAGUAUUUCACUUUUAUUGGAACUCAAAUAACUACGAUAUUGACUCUUGUGCUUAUGCUUCAUACUAGUUUUGAGCACGUGCGUUGCACGUGUAUUCGAUGCUAAUAGUUUAAACUUCUUAAAACAUUAGAAAUAACACCAAAACUGAAAGUGAAGGAUACAUGCUCAAUUGAUGAAUAGUUAAAUCGAUAUUCACUAUCAUCACAAAGUACAUCACACCAAAAGUUAAUAUCAAAUGAAGUUGAAAUGAUCCCCUUAGUUUUAAGAAAGAAAGAAAGUUCCUUCAGCAUUGUAUUCUAUUACUUUGAUAACUACUACUAUAGUUAGCAGUUGUAUACAGUCAACAAAUUGUAUAACGUUUUCUUGUAUAGUGCUUUUACUCUACCAAAUAUUCGGCCUAAAUGAUAUUUCAACGACAAAUAGUGUGGAUAUGAGCAACACCACUAAUGGUUACAAAUACUUCAGGCCUAUCAAGUAGCUAUUGUCAGAUGAAAGUAGUGUUUGUUGAAGUGUAUCAACUUAAGAGCUAAAAUAACUACAAAGGUUUGUUUCUAACUAGAUGUACCCAAACCCAAACAACUAUAUCAAGUUAGUUAACAAGAAAUUAGCACAUAUCCAAAACACACAAGCAAGUUAAAACAAAUAAAUGCUAAAUAGUAAUAAGUAAAAGCGACCCUCCAAAUGAAUUUUGCUUGCUAUUUGCAUAGUCUAGGAUAUCGACUUCAUGUGCGGGUAUGAUGAUGUUGAGUCCAUGAGACUCUAAAUUUGCGAGAGUCCUUAAUCGGGACUCCAUUUUUUGCUCCAAAAGUUCAUGCAAGUAGAAAGAGGGUAAAAAGAUUAGUAAGACUAUUCAACUUUAAACAAUAUACUAAAUAAGAAUAGAUAGAGCUAAGUAAGGUUACACUUCAAAUACAUUAUUUUUAACACGUAAAUAAGCAUGAGAGCCAAACAAUAUGAUCACUUUUGUAAUUAGUGACUUUCGAACACAACAUCAAAGCAACUAUAUAUUUUAAACAUCAUUUAAGCACUAUAUAAAAUCAAACAAGAUUUAUUUUUUUACAGAUGCCACUGCUUACAAUUUUUGAAGAAAACACGUAACAUAAUCUAAGAGGAAUUCAAAAAAUCAUAUUUAUGAAUAUAGAAUAUAGAGGGUUGCAAAUAUUAAGGAAUAAUAAUGACUUACAGUUUAUUUUUUUUAAACUAAAAUAAAGUAAAAUUAUAUCCCUUAAGCAAUGUUUCUGCAUAUAAUCCAAUGAGCUGAAUUUUCUUAACACACCAAAAGAUAAUUAAUUUAAAAAAAAAAGAUUUCGUGCAGCUGACUCAUCCCAAUCACUUUUAAAGGUUAAGCUAACUAGACGUGAAAGGAGAGCAUCAGUUUUCUAAUAACUAACUAAGAGAAAUUGAUUGAUAUACGACAUUCUUAAAAUAGAAGAGCACAUUAUAAAUUAUGUAGAUAGAAACAGAGAAAACAUGGGAGGCGAGUAUAACCUGUUGCGGGGCAGUGAACGAGGUGCUUCAAUCGAAGGUAAUCUCAAACCACGACUAACUCGAGCAAACUUACAACCAGAGAUUUGGCUGAGAUCGCAACAGAAUACAAAAGGUAAUUUUGAGAGCAAAAGACAAUAGUUCAAGACGCUAUCGGGGCAGAAGAGCUUCUUUUCAUAAGAAUGAAUAUCAAGGCUAUUAUCAAGAUCCAAAAAGUCCCCCUAAAACGAGUGGAAUAUGUUGGUAUUUAUAGCCAUGAACUAGGGUUCUUGGCUCAAGUUUGGGCGGGAUUUGAAGAAGUAAAAGUGCCGUUUUGAAUUCAAAAUUGUGCAUGUGAUUCUUCAUCAGAGAUGUCAAAAGUAUUUUGGCUUUUUGUUGACUAAAUUAAAGAAGAAAGAGUGAAUCAGGAAGGGGAAGAGGGCGCUGGCUUUUUGCAGAAGAGAGAGGUGAAACACUUGCACGAAAAUGGAGACACUAAGCUCUGCAUAAUGUUAAAGAUCUCUGAAAUUUUCUCAAAGAGGAAGAACGAUGCUGCUCUUUUGGACCAGGCGCAGCUGCAUGUACGAAUUAGAAUUAGGGCUCACGUUUGGGCUGAAUAUUUGAGUGGAUUUUGGGCUGUGCUUCUUUUAGUUUUAAAUCGGUAGUAAUUACAAUGGCAGCAUUGUCUUUUCAUAUGAUGAUAAUAUCGGGGAAAUGAUCAAAAUGGUCCUUAAUGUAUGGACUUUGAUUCCAUUUGGUCCUUAAUAUAUGAACUUCAUGGAAAUGGUCCUUUAUGUAUCAUAAAUUGUGAUCAAUUUGGUCCUUAACCCUAAAAUUAAUAUAUUUUAUUUUUUUUGCCAUCAAAAUACACGGAAUAUGUAAAAGAUGCGCUCGUUCAAGACUUUCCUUCCCCUGUUUCCAAAAAUUCCAAAAGGGCACAUACAAUUUUUUUUUUCUCUUUUCUUUAAAAUCGCUGCUGUGAUUUUAUUUUUUUUAACAACGCUGUCAAGCAGCGUUUAAAAAUUAGAAAUAGCUGCUAUAGUAGCCAUUUUCUUAAAAAAGUUAAAAUUUUAUUUUAUUAAAAAUUCCCGAGGCGAGGACUGCUUAAAAAAUAAUGGGAAAUCGCUCCACGUGUAGCGAUUUUAGUUNNNNNNNNNNNNNNNNNNNNNNNNNNNNNNNNNNNNNNNNNNNNNNNNNNNNNNNNNNNNNNNNNNNNNNNNNNNNNNNNNNGCGAUUUCAGUAGAAAAAGUUUCCCAAUUGAGUUACUUUAUAAUUUUUUAUUGUAUACUUUUUGAUUGCUAGCAGCAAUUGGAAAAAAAUAAUAAAAAUUCUUACUGAAAUCGCUGCCUUGGCUGCGAUUAUUUUUUAAAAAAAAUUAACUAAAAUCGCUACACGUGGAGCGAUUUCCCAUUAUUUUUUAAAGUAGUCCUCGCCUUGGGAAUUUUUAAUAAAAAAAAAAUUUAAACUUUUUUAAGAAAAUGACUGCUAUAGCAGCUAUUUCUAUUUUUUAAACGCUGCUGGGGCAACGUUGUUAAAAAAAAAAAUCACAGCAGCGAUUUUAAAGAAAAAAGAAAAAAAAAUUGGACCUGCAGCGAUUUUUAUGUUUUUUAAAGGAGUAACGGCGUCAAUUUUGUCAGAACAAAAUCGCUUCGUCAGGAGCGAUUUUGCCCUUUUGGUUAAAAAAAAUUGAUAUGCCCUUUUGAAAUUUUUGGAAACAGGGGAAGAAAAGUCUUGAACGAGCACCUCUUUUACAUGUUCCGUGUAUUUUGACGGCAAAAAAUAAUAAUAUUAAUUUUAGGGUUAAGGACCAAAUUGAUCACAAUUUAUGAUACAUAAAGGACCAUUUCCAUCAAGUUCAUAUAUUAAGGACCAAAUGGAAUCAAACCCAUACAUUAAGGACCAUUUUGAUCAUUUUCUCUGAUAAUAUCAUUAGUAUUAAUUAGUGUACUACGGUCAGUUUAUUGUUUAAUAAUUUAAUAUUUAAUUAAUUAUACAUUUUAUGAAGAGAUUUUUGGAUUAUUAUUAUUAUUAUUAUUAAUUUAUUAUUAUAUUCAUAUAGACUAUAGAUGAUAAAUAUGUAUUAAAAUAAAUAUUUUAUAAUAUUUUAAUUUAUAAUAGGGGUAAAAUCGUAAUUCAACUUUUUAACUUUUUUUGUUCCCACUUAUAGUAAUACUAGUUCUCGAACACGUACGUUGCACGUGUAUUUCACGCUAAGUAAUUUUUUUUUAAAAAUAUUAGAUUAAAUGUGCAAUGAGUUAUAUGAAUUUUGAAAGGGAAGAUUACCUUUUUCUCUGAUUUAAACUUCUAAGUCAUUUCAUCUUUGAAUUUUAACAUAAAUAAUUAGUAAAAAUUGUAUAUAUAUAAUAUCAAAUGUAACAUGACAAGCUAUUUAAAAAUCAAUGUGUUUCAUGCAUUACAACACCGCAUUAGACAAAUAACUUCAAAUUUUGGAUUAAACCUCUAAAGUAUAUAAUCUCAUACAUAACACUUUUUUUCUAUAGUAAUCCAUGCAAUUACAUAAUAAAGUGUAACACAAAUUAAAGAUUAACAACAUAAAGACACAAUAAUUUUAACUAAUUAAUCAACAUCACCUGGGAGGUAAACUACCACGAAAUGGUUCUUUGACAAGAACUGCUUCACUUAUUGCUGCCUCAAAUCUGCAAUCGGCUAGAAGAAUCUCUAGCUUUCAAUUAUAUGAUAUAAUUUGAAUAACAAUACAGUUACCUAAAUUACUGUGCAAAUCAAUGGGAACUGCAUCCUAUACUUUUUCUAAAAAUGUUAUGUGUAUUAUAUAAAACUUAAUAGAGUACAUGAAAAGUUUUCUAAUGGAUGAAAAUUAAAAGAAUUAACAAAUUUAAAAUUAAUGGGAUAAGUGCAUAUAAUUAUAUAGUAAAAGAUAAACUACACUAAGGGCUAGACAGAUUCAUUAACUUCACAUUAAUGUUUCACAAUUUAUUGAUUUAUUAUUAAAAGGUAAAUGUAUUAUUUGAUUGAUAGUAUAAAAAUAUUCUGAAAAAGAAGUGUGUAGAUAGGGGUACAAAAUAUCCCAUAAGAAGGUGACUUAAAUGUAUAUAUUCAUGAAAUAGUGGCAAAACGAACCAACAAAAUAAUUUGUUAAUAAUUUAAAUUUAAUUAUUCUAUAUUAUUUUGUCCUUUUAUUAGAUCUUUUCUGUAUGCGCAUUCCUUGAACUUUUUUAUUCAUAUAUUUAUUUUUCCUAGUUAAUAAUUAGUCUACAUUUAAUUACUCAAUGCAACUCUUCCAAUUCUUCUAUUUAUUUAGCAACGAAGAGGCUUAUUGCGUAAAUUCAAAAGGGUCAUUUUGAUUUGAUUCAAUGCAUGUUAAAGUAGAAUACCGAGACAUUAAAUUGGUAUACAAAAUUGAAAAAUAAGUUAAGGAAGUUGAAACGAAACCAAAAUAUUGAAUAGAGGAUAAUUUUAGGAAGAUGAAAAAGCUAGCAAUUCCAAGACAUUGAAUAUAGGCUGCUGUAAUUGUGUGAUAAUUAAAAUAUUUACUCCUAUUUAAUUUAGAGUAGAUAUUUUAUUUAUUACAUUAGGGUGCAGUAAUUGUGUAACAAUUUUAAAUAUUGCUACUAAUUAGAUUAGAUAUUUUUUAUUUAGUAAAAGGGUAAAAGAGUAAUUCAACUUUGAAAAUUGAGCCUCCCACUUAUAAUAAUAUAUGAUGAUAUGAUGAUAUGAUUAUAAGGGAAAAGCAUAAACCAAGAUAAAUUGUGUGGCUAACUUUAGUGACUUUAUUAAAAUCCAAUAGUAAAUUAGUUUCAAUAGCUUGGCUUUACAUGCAAUAUUAAUUUCCCACACAAUUGAAUGAGCUAUAGUGGUGGUAAUACCAGCUUUAGAUAGAAUCUGGUGAAAUUCCCAAUGGAUAAUGAUAAGAGAUAUCACAUUGUACGCUCAACAAAUCGAAAUAAUAGAGUUCAAGACCACAUAUGAGAGAAGAACAUUGGUUGGGUCCCUUUAGCAAACAUCUUAGAAAAUGAUUGCCAAGUGUGUAUUAAUUGCUACACAUGGGAUCUUGAUACCCAAUGAAAUCAUAAAUAUAGAUAUCACUAGAUAAGGACUCUUUCCCUAUAUAUGGUGAAUUAAUUCCCUUGUAAAUUCAUCUCAUAACAGCCAACUUCAACAAUAUUUCAAUUUUCAUACCAUCAAACAAUUACUUUGUUCUCUUGAUAUAAGCACCAUGGCAGCUUCUACAAUGGCUCUCUCUUCCCCUUCUUUUGCUGGGCAGGCAGUGAAACUCUCACCAUCUGCCUCAGAAAUCUCUGGAAAUGGAAGGAUCUCUAUGAGAAAGGCCGUCGCCAAGUCUACCUCAUCUAGCAGCCCAUGGUAUGGCCCUGACCGUGUUAAGUACUUGGGACCAUUCUCUGGUGAGUCCCCAAGUUACUUGACCGGUGAAUUCCCUGGUGACUACGGAUGGGAUACCGCUGGACUUUCAGCAGACCCUGAAACUUUUGCCAAGAACCGUGAACUUGAGGUGAUCCACUGUAGAUGGGCUAUGCUUGGUGCUCUUGGAUGUGUCUUCCCUGAGCUCUUGGCCCGUAACGGUGUCAAGUUUGGUGAGGCUGUGUGGUUCAAGGCUGGAUCUCAGAUCUUCAGUGAAGGUGGACUUGACUACUUGGGUAACCCAAGCUUGGUCCAUGCACAGAGCAUCUUGGCCAUCUGGGCUUGCCAAGUUGUGUUAAUGGGAGCUGUUGAGGGAUACCGUAUUGCAGGUGGACCUCUUGGUGAGGUCGUCGACCCACUCUACCCUGGUGGCAGUUUUGACCCAUUAGGUCUUGCUGAUGAUCCAGAAGCAUUUGCUGAGCUCAAAGUAAAGGAGAUUAAGAAUGGUAGACUUGCUAUGUUCUCUAUGUUUGGAUUUUUUGUUCAAGCCAUUGUUACUGGAAAGGGACCAUUAGAGAACCUUGCUGAUCACCUUGCAGACCCAGUCAACAACAACGCAUGGUCCUACGCCACAAACUUUGUCCCCGGAAAAUAAAAAUAUUAAAACAUUCUCUAGUUUCUGGUCGUUUGAUGACCGUGUAAAGAUGUAGUGUGCUACCUGACAAUAUAAUGAAAUUUUGUU